GCAAUAUCUAACAUGUAAGCACGUCAAAUCAUUUUCUAGACAGAAUCUGAACCUCUUUUUCUGUUUCUCUCUCUCUCUCUCUCCCACUGUCUCUCUGUCUCUCUCAUUCUCUUGCAACAUGGAAUUUGAAAAGCAUGAAAAAGGAAGCUUAUUAAAUGAGAAUUUAGAGGAGAAACUGACGGUAAGAUGUGUGAGAUUUAUCACAGAUUUAUAAUGUAAUUGACAGUAAAAAAGCAACUAUCACAGAUUGAAAAAGUUGUACUAACUAGCUUGUAUUUCCAUGUGUUUUUUUUUGUUUUUUUGUUUUUUGUUUUUUCUGGUCAACCGUCUUAAAAUUAAUGAAUUCAUGGGUUUUGCUGAACACAGUGUGAUAAAAUUAUUAAUAAAAUUUCAGUACUACAAUGUGGGCAAAAUGGAUUUUAGUUGAACGAUGUGGUUUACCUUCCUUUUUAAAACCAGAAUCUAUUUAUUUUGAGCCCUUGUUGUGAUUGUUCAAUACUGGAAGAUUAUUUCAUUAAUUGAGAUGAAGCUGAGCAAAGUCCAGUUUCUCUCAGAGAUAUUAGGAAUAUGUGUAAAGAAGAAUAUAUAAAUAUCCUAGUCUAUUUUAAUGUUUUAUCAAAUAAGUUAACAAACUUCUAGUGUAAGGGUAAAGUCUCUGAAAGUUUUAAUUUUUUUGUUAUGAAAGUUAUAAAACAAGUUUACCUUGAUGCUAAGAAAUUACAUGUCAAUGAACAGUAGUGUUCACCUGUUUUUGCUCAAACACAAAAUACACCAUAAACUUGAAUAGUAGAAUGUGCUGUUCAUGGCUCACCUGAUGUGCAGGGUGUAGGAGGCUAAUAUGCUUGUAAGUUUACUGUGGCUACGGAGUUAACGUUACAACAGGGCAUGGCUAAUUUUAACAACAGUACAACUAGCAAAACGUAAAACUAUGUCAACUUUAAGACCGGGACUUCUGAAAGUCAUGAGAAUGCAUUGUUCUGGAUGUUUGAAAUAGAGAUUUAUGUGCUCUUAAUGAUGUUAAAUCUUGAAAGAGGAAGAAAUAAACCGGAGGUUUGAAAAUUCUUGAAGUACAUUAGAAUUUCAAAGCUUUGAAGAAAUAUAUUGACUACAAUAUAACGGAAAGGAUUCAGAUCAUCAUGUUAAAUAUUAGCAGCGGAUCUCUGUUCUAGUGGUUGUCUAAACAAGUAAUGGCCACUAUUUGGCUUUUUGACUAUUUUGGAAAACUAUGGUUUAUUAUGAACUAACUGGGGUUUUGAGAGAAAAAGUUUUGGGUGACAGUUCUUACACCACAACUUCAAAAUGUAGGACUGUGGGAUUUUGUUGAGGCUUCUGAGUCUCUGUUAACUCACUAGUAAGAUGGCGAGACAUCAUACUGAUUUGAAGGGUGUUGUGAAGAUGAAAAACUAUAAUAUAUGUGGAUUCCCUGCUCUGAACUGUUAUUUUCAAACUGGUGUAGGCUUGACCUGCUUAGAAAGUACAUACCCAAAGUUUAUUACUAUGGAAAGAGAAAUCUGAAAUGUGAUUCAAAGUAAAAGGAAAACUCAGAUAUGCUAACCAUCAAGGCUUAGUGGCUGUAAACCCAUUAUGCAACCAGAAAGAGAGUAAAUAAAUACAUGAGUAAGAGUUGCUAUGAAUUAUUGUGAAAUUUGACCCAGAGGUUUUUGGCAAUCUUUUAUGGCAAGUUUUGCAAAUACGGUGGAUGUGGGGCAAGUGAACAAAAGUGAGAAUGGUCUCUUAUUUCACAUUUUACUUUCUGGAGGGUCAGACAUUCUGGAUUCAGGACUCUAUCUUGAAUGCAGGUAUAAAUCUAAAAGUGAGCAAAAACCUCUCCUUAGAGGAAGCAGCUAUCACAAAGUUUAUGAACAUUUCCCUGGAGGAGAGAUCUAGGACCAGCCUCUGAUUAAGUUCAAGAAGAGUGGAGGGAAACACGGGACAAAUCAGAAGGCAUGGGAAUAUCUAAUCUGUACUGAGAAGAGAUGGUUCUUGCAGAAGGGGGAACACAUGAAAGUUUCGUCGUAUGGACAGUAGUCUCUAUAAGCACACAGAGCUACAUCUGUAACUCAGAUGUCUUUCAGAUAAAGGAAUUCUGCCACUGUUAGCAAGAAAAGGUUACCUUAUAUUCAGUGUCUCUAAGAGAGCAGGAAAAUAUGUAACAUAUCUUUGAAAGUUUACUAUAGAAAUGUGGUUAAUCCUGGUAUAAUAUAGUAUGACUGGCUAGGUUGCCAGAUAUAGUUAAAAAUGUAUUUUUGAGGGGUGCCUGGGUGGCUCAGUCAGUUGGGCGUCUGACUCUUCAUUUCAGCUCAGGUCAUGAUCUCACUUUUUGUGAGUUUGAGUCCCGUGUUGGGCUCUGUGCUGAUGGUAUAGAGCCUGCUUGGGAUUCUCUCUCUCUUCCUCUUUCUCUGCCCACACACUAUAAAUAAAUAAUAAAUAAAUAAAUAAGUAAAUAAAUAAAUAAAUGUAUGUUUUUGUAGAGUUCACUAGGUUCUGAAAAUUAUUAAAUUUAUUAAAAACAGUAAAGUUUGUAAAAAUAUGGCUUUAAAAGGAGAGAAUAUUUUUCUAUUAAAAUAUUUAAACAUGGGCCCAGUAUAAUAUUGCUGAAUUAUAAUAUGCAUCUUCUUUAAAAUGAAAGGUGUACUUCUCAUAAAGAUCUGUAUUAUGAACAAUGUUAUGAAAUAUAUGACACAAUUAAGACAUUUACAUGAUUGGCUGAAUUUGAAAAAAAUUUCCAAGGUGAGAUCUAUAGCAAAUAAGAAAAUCAAAAGUCUUACAGAUUUUUUUAAACAAAAUUUUUUAAUGUUUAUUUAUUAUUGAGAGACAGAGACAGAGCCUGAACAUGGGAGGGGCAGAGAGAGGCGGAGACACAGAAUCCAAGGCAGGCUCCAGGCUCUGAGCUGUCAGCACGGAGCCUGAUGUGGAGAUCAAACUCACAAACUGUAAGAUCAUGACCUGAGCUCAAGUUGGAUGCCCAACCAACUGAGCCACCCAGGCACCCCUGGUCUUACAGAUUUUUAAAAUUCAUCAGUUUAUUCUACUGAAGGAUCUACACAAAAAUAAAAUAGGAUUCUUUACUACAUAUCCAAUAUGGAUCUCGCCUUAUGGGGGGAGAGAAUUGCUACCUUUAGCUAUUGACUUUUUUUUUUGCCCUGAAUUUGUUGCUCUUUGGUGAUUAAAAUAAAGAUUCCUGGGAGCUUGGCAAUUAAAGGUGUAUCAAUAAAUAAUCAGAUAAGAAAUAUGAUACUCAAAUCCUUCAAAAUGUCCUAAAUUUACCAAACCAAUCUAUUUUUCACAAAUUGGUUGAUAUUAUCCCAAUUUUUAAAAUAAUUUUUUAAUAUUUAUUUAUUUUUGAGAAAGAAAGAGACAGAGUACGAGUCGGGGAGGGGCAGAAAGAGAGGGAGACACAGAAAUGGAAGCAGGUUCCAGGCUCCAAGCUGUCAGCACAGAGCCCCACGUGGGGUUUGAACCCACCAACCGCGAGAUCAUGACCAGAGCUGAAGUUGGACACUUAACUGACUGAGCCACCCAGGUGCCCCUGAUACUGUUCCAUUUUUUGAUACAUGAAAAGAAAAAUCAAUUACCAUGGGCUUAAAAGGACAUUUCCAUCCCUUGAUAAACCAACAACAUAGUAAGCUGUGGUAGAUAUUUUAGUCAUCCCUGAUUCUGCAAAAUCCAAAUUAUUCUGAAGGUAGUUUUUGUGGGGGUGCAGGGAGGGAGGGAACUAUUUUGUAACAAUAGUUUUGUUUGCUUGGUUCCACAAUAACUGAUGUUGGAACUGAAUGGAUCUUUUGUUUUUUCUGAUGAGGCUUGAGUAACUAUUGUAUCGUGAGUUCCCCAAAGUACAUUCCUUAAAAUUCCGAUUUUCCAUACUGCUCCAUGAAAAGAGGUUCUAAUCUAUGCUUAAGAAUAUUCAUGCAACACUGUGUACAGAAUGAACUGCACAGUAUUUCCUUUUGGAGACUCCUAAUGUAUUUUAACACACUGAAGGCCAUGAGACACUCUGGAGGUUAAUCUAGUAUUUCUUAAACUUGCUACCAGUGUAAUGCAUUUUAAUGUGUUUACCAUGACAAUGAAUAUUCUAACUAGUGUUCUCUAGUUUAGGAAGUGGUGUGUCAGUAUAUUAAUUGUCUGAUUUUAUUUAUGAGUUUCGUUUUCAGAGUAAUGAUACACAAAAUAAUAAAUUUAAGCUGGGUAUCAUUUAUAUCUAUAACAUGAGGUUAUUUCUGGAAUAGUGUUGAAAGUAAAUAAUUUCUGUUUAGUACAUUUUAAUAAGUAAGUAAAAUUAAGGAAGGACAUCCUGACUAUUUCCUCAAAUCUUUUUCUUUUAGAUUAUUAAACAAAUCAACGAAGCAUUUAACUUCAACUAAAAUUUCUUAAUGAAAAGGAACAAUUCAUGUAUUAACAUAGUAAAAAUAGUCAUGCACUUCAGGGUAUUCUGAAAUAAUGAUGGCUCUUUCUCUAACAGAUGAAAGCACAAAUAGACUUUACGCAUAAAUCUAAUAAUUUCUAUCCCAUAAGUAUAAUAUGUCUCGAGACAAUUGUAUGUUUCCAAGUAACAAAUGCUCACUAAGUAUGACAAAUAUAAUGAUAAUAAGAAGGGUAAGUCAUCCAAUUCAUUAUAUGUUGAAGCUUCGUAGAAGCAAAGUAACAUAGUACUCAACUUCUGAAUGUCAUAAAUAUUGCUUUUUUGAGUAAAAAAAAAUAUGGAUACUGAGAAAUUAUGUCAUCUGACAGAUUUUUUUAACAGGAUGUAUCUAAUUAUAAGGAGAUGAAACUUAAAUUUUUAAUAAUUGAAAUUUUACUUUUUAUAUUUAAAAUUUUUCAACUUAUUUUGAAUUUUUUGGGGAAAAGUUUAUCCAGUGACGUGUAAAUUUACCUGUGAUCUCACAACAAACAUUAUUUUCAGUUUCAUGAAAAAAGAGAUCACACCAUUUCUUUUUGAUACAAUGAAAGAAAAGAAACUGAAGAAAAAAACACAGAAAACUAUGCGUUCUGAAUGAAAUUCUGUGACAAUUCAGGGAGUGCACUUUUAUUUUUUUUUAUUUAUUUUUUAUUUUUUAUUUUUUUUAAAUUUUUUUUUUUUCAACGUUUAUUUAUUUUCGGGACAGAGAGAGACAGAGCAUGAACAGGGGAGGGGCAGAGAGAGAGGGAGACACAGAAUCGGAAAACAGGCUCCAGGCUCUGAGCCAUCAGCCCAGAGCCCGACGCGGGGCUCGAACUCACGGACCGCGAGAUCGUGACCUGGCUGAAGUCGGACGCUUAACCGACUGCGCCACCCAGGCGCCCCGGGAGUGCACUUUUAAAGUAAGGUGCAAUUAGUUAUUUAUAGCUUCAUUAACACAAAUAAAAUUAAUUAUUUUCUAUGAAGAAAUUUGUUAGCAAACAAAAAACAUGGGGCUGGCACUUUGGUGAUAGUUCCCAAUGUUAGUAUCUGAUGACAAAUGUGGCUUUUGUUGGGGGACAUCUUCAUAGGUGCAAGCUUGUGUCUAUUAGGUAGAAAUGUCCUCAGCAAAAGGAGAAUGAGCCUUUCAAAUCAGUGGACAUUUCUGAAUGCCUGUGUUGAACAAGACAGGGUCCUAUGGACUGUAGUGGACAUGAUAGAGUCUUGGCCACUGAAGAGAUUAUUAUAUUUUAUCAUUUUUUUAGUAGGUUAUGAAAUAAUAAUGGUAAAUUUUAGUAGCUUGGAAAUAUUUUAAGUAGAGAAAACAUAAACAUCCCAAUUCUCUUUUCUCACAUAGACUUGAGACAGCAAGUCUGUAAUUAUUCAUCAGAAUGUCUUAACAGUGGAGCUAUUGUAAAUCAUUUUAUAUAGUAACAUAUUUUAUUCUGUCAUAAUAUUGACUAUUAGCGGUCACUCAAAGGACGUGACCCCUGGUUGACCCACAAUCUGGACCCCAGCAAUUGGAGGCUCCUCCCCCUCCUACCACCACUUUCCUUGGAAUAUACGUUCUGCCUAUCAUUCCACAUGGGAGCUGUUUUUAAGGAGGUAGCCUUGAGAGAGUAAGGUGUUGUUGAGGCCACCUGGAUGAUCGUGUCUGAACCCGGUUAAGGCCCCUAUGCAAACUUUUAUGAUUAUGCCAGUUGGGUGUGGAGAUCUACUCAUUUUGUGACACCUAAGACAAGUUUAACAAGUAAGUUCCUUGCCUAUUAAACCUGCCACCUAGCAGUCUGGAGCAGUCUGCCCAUUUGGUCUCUCCUAGCUCUCCAUGUGUGGGGGACCAAUUUCAAAUUUCACCUGGGAAGCUCUCAAGAUUUUGAAUCAACACCACUUAUCUACUUAUUUUUCUAAUAUUGUCUAACUAGAGUCAUGGGUAACAGAUACUCAGUAGGUGCUGACAUACUUGAAAAAAAACUUUAGACUAUGGAUGUUUCUGAUGUGUCAUUCAGAGCUGAUUUUUAGUACAAGUUGAGUGUUGAUUUUGAUCCAUACCUAAUUCCUGACAAGACAACAUCAUAUAAUAAAAUAAGUGGUAAAUUUAGAUUCAUAAUCCUCUUGUGGUCAGGUCCUGGAUCUAUGUAUCUUUAUCAUAAUGGAUUGCCCUGGAUCCUUUUAUGCUAAUUUUUAUAGUGAUGAAAAGGAAGGAAAGAUGUAAACAAACAAAUGAACAGCUACAUCUCCUUCUCUUUGGCAUCUGAUUAUUUAUUUUAGAAAACUCUUUCCAUUUUUCCGCCAUUUGUACUAGUAGACCAAUGACUCUUGCUAUGUUCUGGAUUUUACUGAUAAAGUUGCUUUGGGUGCCCAUUUUGUUGGAGGGAUCAUUUUGAUGGUAGAGGAUAUAAGUUAAUUUGUCCCCAAAUCUUAACUCCUCUAUGAUGCUGGCUCAUAUUUGUUUGUAUGUGUGACACCAUCAUGGAGAAUAGUAGGCAUCUGGGCAUCUUUAAGAAUGCUGCUGGUCUCCUUAACAUGUUUGUGGUGCCUACAGUACAUUCUGUGUCUCUGUGUGGCACCUCUCCCAGGAUGGCCCAUUCAUGAGAAGUAUAUUUUGCAUUGAUUAAUCCUUUUUCUCCAGAGAGGGCUAGAGUUCUCUAAUAAGAUGACAUCCAAAAUACUCUGGAAAUAAUUAUCUAAAAAAAGGAGAAAACAGAUGGGCAUUAAUAAGCAACAUUUUAUAGUGUCUCAGUGAGUAUCCUUCAACUGGAAGGCAAAUGCAGGAAAUCCAGGACUAGGAUUCUCUGCGUUUCUGAACUCAGUGUCACUUCUGAAUUUUUAGUAAGAUUAAUUUAUUCCCCUUUCUCAUGGAGAUAAGGACUCCCUGAGAAGUCAGUAAAGCGGUUAUAGGAUUGAUCAGUCAGCACCAGGUAUUAGAGAGUUCACAGGUUAAGAUAAUGUUCUCCAAAGAACUGAGACAUCCCUCCAGCAUUAUGAAGGAUAAGAGGAUUUUGAUUUUACCCCAGGUGAAGUAUAAUUGCAAAGAAUAACCAUUAAAUCUAAUCAUUUGGCAGAUCAAAGUAAAAGCCUAAAUAAUUGCUCUUAAGUCUCAUUUGGCAUAAGAAGUAAUUCCACCCUAACUUCUCUCUGGCCUUCUUUUCAUAAAGCUAGUAACAAAAUUUUAAUAAUACUUGAAGACUCUGUAGCUUGGAAUAAAAAAAAGAAAAAAGGAGGGAGGAGACAAGAUGCCAUGGACCAUUGGGAUCCAUAGGAAAUUACUAAGCAAUAGGAAUUGAAGUCUUAAUGGGUAUAAUUGCAGAAAGAAGACUGGAAAAAUGAUGAGUUAGGGUAGGUGAGCACAUGCAUGUGUUCUGAGUACCAUCUUAACAUCUAUGAAAAUCGAAACACAGAACCUGUGUCUUUGUGUGUGUGUGUGUGUGUGUGUGUGUGUGUGUGUACUUCUGACUCCAAAGAAAGGGUCUUCUCUCUUUUUCUAAGUGCCAUCUAGUGUGGUAAAAAGUGUGUUGUAUCUGAGUCGAGGAGACCAUUAUUGGUGUUCAAGUUGUGUUUGUGUGACUUUACUUCAAUCACAUAACCGUUAGUUUCCUUCUCUACAGCCUGAGAGGUUGGGUUGGAUUAGCAUAUAUUCUGUAGCCUUUUAUAAGUCUGUAGGAAGUACCCACUGGCUGUGUGGUUAUUAAAUCCUUUCCAUACCAAACAAUGCCUAUUUACACAAACAUUAUAAACCUUGAAAAAUAUUAUAUUUUUAUGUCCUCACCGACCAAAUGUAAAGUCGAAGUCCUUGUUAUUAGUUUAUUUAGACUGUGGUAUAAAAAGUUCACAGUUCAGAACUCAUGAGUUGAAUUGCACAGAUUUUUUAUGUUUACGCGAAGAAGCCACAAAGAUUUGAGAAUGGGAUCAUGUGUGAACCUUAUGGAAUAGAUUAAGAAAGUAGCAUAAAAGUGGCUUAAUAUUAAUACCAAAAUAUUGUCAGAAUAAAGCAUUGUAUGUUCUCAUAAUACUACGUAAAAUAAAGUAGAUGCUGUGUUUUCAUCGGGAACAAAAUUUUAGAAUACGUAAAGUCUGUGUUUUAAAUGUUAUUUCUAAGAUGGGUUUCUUUAGCUCUUACUCAUUCCCUUUUGUAGUUCUUACCUCUCUCGGCAGUGUGCCUGACACAGAUAUCUUGGUCCCUGUGCAAUUCUAAUUUUAGUCCCUUUGCACUGCUGAAGGUUGAGGGAAAAAGUAGACUGCACCGAAUGGCAAAAUCCUCACCACCGUUUCCAUUUUUCUUUUUCCUUUAAGAAAAAUGAGGGCUGUGUCAGUUAACACCCAGGGACGGGAGGGGAGAGCAAAGUGAAACUGAUAAGGAGCCAGAUUUCUACUUUAUGGUUCAAAUGAAGUUCUUGAAGCCAUCCAGUCCUUUGAAAACCACUGCUAAUUAAAGCAGUGUCUGCUGAUAAUGUAAGUCUGAGAUGCACUGUUUGAAUGGAUCUUUUGAUGCAGCUCUGUGUGUUGGUGAAUAACAGAAGGGAGAUGGAUUGCAGGCUUUAAGCGAACUGUGCUUUCACACUGACAUUUAUAACACACUGUACGUGCGGCGAAAUAUUUUCUAGGUUCUCAUUGUGGGAAUUACAAUAACUUACAUACCUAGUUGUUCUGCCCCAACUACGGCUCCCCUCAGGGAAUGACAAAUAGACUGUUGUAUUAGUGAUGUAAUUACAUUACAGAGUUAUGGGCUUUAUUUUGCUACAUGAUCUUCAUAAAAAUAAGGAGGUGAUUUUUUAAAUGGUGAGAGGGUGUCUGUGGUUUAAUUGCCAGUUUUCUCCUUUAUUUACAAUCUAAACAUUUCUCAAGGGUACUUUCCUCAAUUUUCUUCUCAGCUAAUGGGUGUUGCCUUGUGUAUGUAGCUUCUGGGGAAGACGUCACCCCCAGUUUGUUCUUCAAAAUAGGCCUCCUGCCCUUGUGGAUGUCAGAAGGCAGCAAUUCAGAGACCACCUCAUGCUUUUAAAUACUAACUUGAUGACAUUCAUCUCAGGAGCAGAUGAGAGAGCCCCUAAGGUUGCUUUCCUAAACCUGUAAUAAUUUCUCUGGGAUAUCAUGUCAUAGUGGGAGACCGAAGGAGGAAAUGUCAGCAUGAAUUAAUAAUCUUAUCACAGAGAGUGGGGAGUUCUUUUAGAAUAUGUGAAGGAAACAUGGGAAAUAAAGUAGUUUUGUUCCAAUUUUGUUUUUGUUCCAGUUGAGCUCAGCUUUCAAUCUGGAAAUUCCUGCAUGUUUUGUUGUUUUAUCUGCUUUUGCUUAUCGAUUCAUCCAUCCAUCCAUCCAUCCAUCCAUCCAUCCAUCCAUCCAUCCAUCCUGGGGGUCCUCUGCUUGCAGUUUGCUGACCUCCUGGUGGCCGGGACUCCUCUGCAUGGUGUAUGGAAGGAGAAGAGGGAGUUGGUCUUGGAGAUUUGCAAUGAAUUCUCUUCUUUGCAACCCUAUUAAAGUCAUGACCCUAGUGGAAUUUGCCUGCCUUGAGUCUGGUGCAUCCUGCAGGGUUUGGAACGAUAUUUAUUAGGGUUCCUUCCUGACUGUAGCUCUGUUUCAUAGCAUAGCCAUAUACCUUCAUCUCCUUUUCAUCUUCCAGAAAUUUACGAGGUAUUUUUUUGUGCUGACUGCUCUCCCCUUCCAAAUCUUUUAUUGUUGUGGGUUUAUUCUUUUAAAUUCCUUUUAUUUUAAUGGAGUCAAGAAAAGGAUUUGAGAGAAACUGACGUAUUCCAUCAGCCAUCUUGAACCAGAAGCCCCUGGAUUUCUUUUGAAAGCUCGUCCUCAAUGCUUUGUGUUUUCAGUAGGUGAUGAGUGUUGUGGAAUACCUUUAUUCUUUAUUGAGAGAUACAUGGCAUUAUGUGGAACUAUUUAACAUAGACUAUGUUAAACGGAAUGCCAAAAAAUAUUCUGAGCAUAUAACUAAAAGUAUUUUAUGCCAUUUCUAAAAGUUUGAGUGUUGAAAAUUAAGAAGUUUCUAGUUUUUACUCUUCUUUGUGCCAUAGUGAUUUUGGUGGUUAAAUGCGAGGACUCUGGGGUAAGAAUUCAUAUUUGGGCUCUCAUGUGCUCAAAUUAUGUGAGCUACAGUUCCCUCAUCUGUGAAAUGGGAUCUGACUUACCUCCUGGGGCUGUUAUAGGGACUGAAAAUGAGGAAAUAUGUGGAAAGUGCUGUGCGUAAUACACACUCAGUAACUGGUGGUCGUUACAGAUAGAAUCAUAGUGGUGCCCAAGUUAUCCCUUGUGUCUGGGAAACCCUAGGUUAUGAUUGUAGUUUGUUUUCUUUAGACAGACCAUGUGUGAUUUCAAACUCACUCUCAGGCUAGAGGCCAUGCUUACUUUCCCACAAGGAAGGGUGUUAUCAUCCAAGUUUUAAUUUUUUUUUUAAGUUUAUGUAUUUUGAGAGGGAGAUAGAGAACAAGCAUGGGAGGGGCAGAGAGAGAGGGAGACAGAAUCCCCAGUAGGCUCCACGCUGUCAGUGCAGAGCCUGAUGUGGGGCUUAAAUUCACAAACCGUGAAAUCACCACCUGGACUGAAGAGUUAGGUGCUUAAUCAGCUGAACCAUGGAGAUGCCCCAAACUUUAAGUUUCAAUUUUAUGUCUGUCCUGUGAAGACUGACAAAGAUUCAAAAAUACGUGGUGCCCUUUGUGAAAGACAUUAUGGCCCACUUUCCAUGGGGAAUAAGUAUGUUCUAUGAAUGUAAGUACUAUAUAAACAUAGGAAUAAAUGGCUACAUUGUGAGUUGCAAAUAAUUAGGAUCAAACCUAAUAUGCGGCUCAUAUAAUUAAUAAAAAUUAUACUAGUAACAGCUAGACUUACCAAGUCAGGAUACUUGCAGGAGGGGAAGCAUAUAGGUAAGUAGAAGGAGAGUUGAGGAAGGCAUCCUGAUGCCUGUGUGUGUGCAUGUGUAAAAUGUUCAAAAGAAGAACAUAAAUAUGGUUGACAGUGCUGUCUGAUUCAAAACAGUUGUAAAUCUAGAAACUAUUUCAUUCAGGAUAUCAUAGUUUGUAUCUCUUACCUUCAUCUGCACGUAAGAUAUUUUCCCAGGAAAGCAACACUUCCGACAAUUAGUUAAUUUUUUAUUUAAGAAAUUUUCUAUACAACAUACAGUUUCAUACACUACACGUAGCACUGUAAAUUAGUACCACUUUUCUGGAGCAUAAUACAGAGGUUUUGAAUAGUUACAUACUAGCCAGAUAAUUUUACUCUAGAAAUCUGUUUGAAGUGAAGAACUAUACAAAUAUUUAGUUAUGAUAAUUAUUACAACAUUAUGUACAAAAGUUAAAAUGCUGGGCACAGUAGGGGAAUUAGUUACUAAUCUAUUAUAGAAUACAAGAAAAUUUAAGAAUAGUGGUAUAGUGGAAUAUAUAUCACUUUCUUCCUACAAGGAUACAGAUGUUAUGAAUGAUUCUUUUAUGGACCCUCCAUGUUGGCAGACCCACCAACAUGCAAUCAGUGAAUAUAUUUGCACAGCACAUCUCUUGGAGCUAAAGCAUAGAAUCUUAAUAAUCCAAAUAAAGGCUACAAUACCACGGGUUGAAUUGAAUUUUUCAGUUUUACUGAAAUUUCAAACAGUGUGGUAUUUUUCUUCACAAUAAUCUCACAUAUUUAUGACUCUGCUGAAUUGAUGAGAUUGUAUCAGAGAAGAAUUCAAGGUAUGUCGCAUUUGGUGCUCUAUUCUUCAUUUGAGAGCAGAUUUAUAGAAACCUUGAGUGCUUUUGUCCUUUUGCCUGAACAGCUUUGGCCACCAGCAGACUGUAAAGUCCUCUAGGUCAGGAGCUGUAUUUUCCUGGUACUUAGAACAGUGUCUGAUACAUGGGAAGUGGUGUUCAUGGAUGAACUGCAUUGGCAUGAUCGUGACAUGUCUCUGUGUGUGCAUAUGUCAUUCGCUUUAUCUGAUUUGGUAAGUGACAGGGAUCCCAAACUGAUCAAUCAAGUUAAUCACUUUUUUUUUUUUUAAUGUUUAUUUAUUUAUUUUGGAGAGAAUGUGAACGCGUGCUCCAGAGCCGGGGGAGGGGCAGAGAGAGAGAGAGAGGGAGAGACAGAAUCCCAAGCAGACUCCAUGCUGUAGCACAGAGCCCAUCAUGGGGCUUGAUCCUAUGAACUGUGAGAUCAUUACCUGAGCUGAAAUUAAGAGUCAGACGCUUAACCUACAGAGCGACCCAGGUGCCCCCAUGUCAGUCACUUCUGAUGGACUUGUAACUCAACCUUAUCAGUUUUGCUUGUGAGUAAAAAUGGAAAGUAUUGUCUUCCAUGAAAUCUCUGUGCAAUGUGAGGAACAUUAAAUCUCAGGAUGCUGGGCGCUCACACUUUUGGCAGAGGCAUCAGCACCCUCCACUCAGAGUCCCAGACUUUGGUGUGGCCAUAGACGUCCAAGACAUUGGUGGCAGAAUUGUAGAUUUUUCCAUUGGCAAUAGCACUGAACAGUGUGACAGCCAGAAUGUGACAGGAGGAAAAUGGCAGACUCCAUAUGUUAGCCAAAGCACUAGUUCAUGAAGCGAUGACAGAGGUUGUGGAACUUUCUCAGAGUGGGUAGAAGUCCAGCCAUAGAGAUACUAUUUUAAUACCAUUUAUAAUGAUGAAUUUGACCUCAUUUUAGCCUCCCCCCCAAACAGGUUAUAUUACCAAUUCCCUUGUGAAAAUUAAGUACUACCAAAAAAUGGUGUUUAAGUAUUAGGUAUUUUCAGAUACCUGGAAAUUCUUUACCACUGGCAGUUAGGAUUAAUGAGAUACUUAGGAAAUUGAUAGAAUCUGCAUUUUCCUUUGAGGAUUUUCAUGUUUAUUUUUGAGGAGCUUAUACUUUGCUUAGACCUUUUUUCUUAUCCUACCAAAUUCCAAUGCUGAGGGGUAGAUUCUCCUCAGUCAUACUCUGCAAUGGUAGCUGCAGAGUAUGGAGUAUAAUAGAGUGGAGUAUUUCCAGAUAGGUGGAAUUUUUGUGCAUUUGGUUUGGGUUUGUUUUUAUAAGACUUGAGAUGUAAAGGGGAUUAUUUUUUGCUUCCCAGUAUAUAUAAAUUCCCCAGGUACACUUUUAGGUUGAUACUUAAUAAUAAUUGUAGGAAGAAAUGAGCUUAUUGUCAUUCUAAAGGCACUAAACAUGCUGACAUUUUUCUCAUUACUCUGUUUUUGUUGAUGUUUCACCAUUGAUAAUGAGACAGCUAUUGGUGGUUUAAUCCAGUAGUCUAAUAUAUGUUAAGACUUUAUUCUUCCAGAGGAUUUCAAGUUGAAUUUUUAAUGUGACACCCAGCUUAAAAACCAAGUAUCUUUUGACUGAUAGUUUAAGAUAAAUGGGAUAAUCUGGCCCAGGUGAUGAUUGUGAUAAUAGCUGGAGCAUGUUUCACAUUCCAAGAAGUAGACAAAGCACUUAACUUGCAGUCAGCACUGCAACUCUAGAAGGUAAAUGAUAUUGUUUCCAUUUCACAGUUGAAAUAACUAAGUGUUAAGUCAGUUUUCCAGGACACAUAACAAGCCAGUGGAGGAGUUUCACCUCAGGAUAAUCUGGGUUUAGAACCUGCUCUCCUAACUGCACCUAUACCCCUCUCAUUGACAGCUCCAGAACCUCUGCUCCCCCUGUGUGGUGAUUUCCUGUUUUCCUCAGAGCAAACAAACACACACUUGGGGUUUAUUCCAGUGUCCAACAAUAAAAUAAUAAAAACUGAUAUUUACUUCAAGGGAGUUUUUUAAUUCUUUGUUCUUGAAAAAUUAGAUUAAUGCUUAGCCAUUGUGGAAUGACGUAGGAUGUUACUACAGUGGACUCUAAAUAAGUAAUAGUACUUUGGUAGUCUCCUUCUAAAUUCACUUGGCAUCUGUUAAAACAAUGUCCCUUUAAAUAGGGAAAUGCAUUUUGAUAACAUAUUGAAUUGUCACUAGAAAUAUAGUCGGGUAAGUGAUAACUUUUACAUUAUAUAAGGAGUGAGCUUUCAAAAUCUUGAUUACUAUUUUGAGAUCUAAAUUCUCAGUCAAAGCUAAAGAUUUCGGAUUCCAAUUUCAGUGAAGGUGGGGUGAUUUCCCUACACUAUCAAGCAAUUCUUGGACACCAGAUGAGUGUCCUACAAUCCAGCUGACUGAAAAUCUGAGGUUCCUACAACCUCCUCAUUGGGUUCAACUAAUUUGCUAGAGUGGCUCAGAGAACCCAAGAAACCUAUUUACUCACUAGAUUACCAGUUUGUUAUAAAGGAUACUAAAAGACAUGAGUCAACAGCCAGAUGAAGAGCUGCAUAGGACAAGGUGUGGGGGAAGGGCCAGGUGCUUUCUUGCCCUCUCCCAGAACAUCCCUUUCCCCAUAGCUCUACUGGUUCAUCAACCCUGAAAUUCUCAAACCCCAUCCUUUUUGAGUUUUAUGGAGGCUUCCUUAUGUAGGCACAAUUGAUUAAAUCAUUGACCAUUGCCUACUGAGCCCAAUCUCCAGCCCCCUUCCUUCCUCCCCUGCCCCCACCCCCAACCCCCAGGUCUUGGGGAUGGGUCUGAAAGUACUAACCCUCUAAUUACAUGAUUGGUUAUCUGGGCAACCAGUCCCCAUCCUUAGGUUACCUGGGGCUUUCCAAAGUCACCUCAUUAACAUGAUAAAAGACACCCUGAUUACUCUCAUCACUUAGGAAGCUCCAAUGGUUCUAGGAGCUCUAAAACCAUGCCAGAAGUGGGAUAGAGACCAAACAUUUCUUAUUAUAAAUCAUGAUAUCACAUUGUGAAUCAAAAACAAGAGAAAGAGGAUAUCUAAUAUAAUUUAUUUUCAACUAAAGUACAAUUAUUCCUUCAUAUUUCUAUUAGUGUGUAAGCUCAGAGAAUCAUUUUGAAGUUUCUUUAAAACAUGAAAUCCCUAGCAAUCUCUAAUCUAUUCUUCAUAUCUACACAGUUGACCCUUGAACAAUACAGGGGUUGGAAUGCCAAUUUCCCCCAAUUGAAAAUCCACGUAUGACUUUUGACUCCCCAAAACCGUAAUUAUUAAUAGUCUGCUGCUGAUUGGAGGCUUACUGAUAACAUAAACAGUUAACAUGUAUUUUAUGUGUUACAUGUAUUAUAUACUGUAUUCUUACAAUAAAGUAAGCUAGAGAAAAAAUGUUGUUAAGAAAAUACAUUUACAGUACUGUGCUGUAAAAAAUUCACAUAUAAGUGGACAUGAGCCGUUCAAACCCCUGUUCAAGGAUUAACUGUAAUUAUGUUAUUUCACUACUGUUAAAUAAAUGGAAUUUUGCAGUAUGUAACCUUUUGAGGGUUUUUUUUUUUCAUUUAGUGUAACUUCUUUGAGGUUCAUUCAAGUAGCAUGUCUACAAUCUGUUCCUUUUUGUUGCUUAGUAAUAUUCCAUUGUAAGGAUAUACCACAUUUUUUUAACCAUUCACCUAUUGAGGGACAUUUGGGUGGUUUUCAAUUUUUAGAUAUUAAAAAUAAAGCUGCUGUGAACAUUUAUGUACACAUUUCUGUGUGAAAAUAGAUUUUAAUUUCUUUGGGAUAAGUCCCUAAGAGUGCAACUCCUGAAUCAUAUGGUAAGCCAAUUUUGUGUUUUGGAAAGAGCUGCCAAACUAUUUUCCAGAGCAGCUAUGUCAUUUUACAUUCACACUGGUAAUACAUAAGAGUCCCAUUUUCACUAUAUUCUUGCCAGCAUUUGGUGUUGUCAUUAUAUUUUACUUUAGUUAUUCUAAAGGUUGUAUGGUAGUAUCCCAUUGAAUUUUUAAUUUGCAUUUCCUUGAUAGCCAAUAGUGUUGAACAUCUUUUCACGUGCCUAUUUGCCAAAUAUAUCUCUUUUUUGUGAUGUGUCUGUUCAGAUCUUGUACCCGUGUUUUAAUUAGGUUGUUUGUUUUCUUACUGCUGACUUUUUAAAAAAGUUUAUUUAUUUUUGAGAGAGACAAUGAGAGUGAGUGGGGAGGGGCAGAGAGAGAGAGAGAAUCCCAAGCUGGCUCCUUGCUCUCAGCGUGGAGCCUGAUGUGGAGCUUGAACCCACAAACCAUGAGAUCAUGGCCUGAGCUGAAAUCAAGAGUUGAACACUUAACUGACUGAGCCACCCAGGCGCCCCUCUUACUGCUGACUUUUGAGAAUUUCUUCAAUACAUUGUAGAUACAUGUCUUUUGUUGGGUAUAUGGCUUAGAAAUGUUUUCUGUUAGUUUGUAGCUUUUCUUCUUCCCCCUCCUCCUCCUCCUCCCCCUCCCCUUCCACUUUCUCCUCCUCCUCCUCCUCCUUCCUCUUCUUUGUCUUCUUCUCCUUCUUUUUCUAACAUCAUAAAUCUUAUGAGCUUAGGGAAGAUUAAAGGUUGCUCUUACCCUUGGUCUCUCAUUGUCAUUCUUAGAGUAGAGAAGCAUGGUACUGUGGAAGCAUUGAGGAUGAUUUGGCCAUCAGUUUAAGCAUGGCUGAGACAAGCUUAACCUCCCUGGGUCUAAAUGUCUUCUUUUAACCCCUAUGAAAAAGAAAAUAUUAAACCAGAUAAUCUGAAGUUUCUUCCAGUCUUAAUUUAUGUAAUUCUAUAAAUCUCCUAGGAGAGUGGAGCAUAGCCUCUUGAAAGUUCUGAUGGAAGGCAACAUCCCUAGGUUUCAUGCUUCACUGACAGAAAAAGGCCAGUCUGGAAUAAUUCUGGAAUUUUUUCCAUGGGGAAUUACCCUAGUAUAAAUGUAUUUAGUUAUUGAAGCUGUACCUUCUUUUUUAUUUUUUUUAAAUGUGUAUUUAUUUUUGAGAGAGAGAGAGAGAGAGAGAGAGAGAGACAGACAGACAGACAGACAGGAAGGAGAUACAGAAUCUGGAGCUGACUCUAGGAUCUGAGCUGUUAUCACAGUGUCCGAUGCAGGGCUCAAACUCACAAAUUGUGAGAUCAUGGCCUGAGCCGAGGUCGGAUGCUCAACAAACUGAGUCACCCAGCCACCCUAAAGGUGUACCUUUAAAAGCAUAAGUCAGUAUAUAGUAAGCCAUGUUAUGGGGGCCCCCAAACUGAAGUCUAUUACCAUGGACAAUAUAGAUAAGUAUUGAGCAAAGAUAAAAAAAAAAUGUAAAAAGGAACAGUUCGUUAAUUUAAGAAAUGCCAGUAUCUCUCUCAAAAUAUUUGAGUUGGUUUAGCCCGGCAUACUUAAGGACAAAGGAAUUAUAUAGUGGCGAAAAACAAUAGCCUGAAAAUUAUGAUCUGCACAAUUCCUGGCUCCCACCACUCACCAGCUAUGUAAUCUUGGCAAGUCUAUUCACUUCUCUAAAUAUCAGAGUUUUUGACUCUAAAAUGAAGAUAACAGUAGUGACCAUAUCAAGGGGUUAUUGUGAGAAAUGACACAUGGAAUAAUUUUGAUAAUUUCUUUCCCUGAAAUUCCAACCAGUCACCAAAGUUUUAAAGGGAAAAUGAUUAGCCUAAUUCAUGUGAAUUUGUAGAGCUGUUACAAAUAAACCCAAAUAUAUUGACUUAACACAGUAAAAACUUACUUUCUUCUGACACAACAGCUCUGGGAGGUUCCAGGCCAGCCCUGGAUGGAGGGAUGAGGGAAGUGAGGCCUCAAAUAUGUUCUGCCCAGUAACUACAGAGUAGAAAUCUCAACCUUGUCAACUGGGGGGUGAGGAAUGGGGGAGGGGCACACACACAUCCUUGAGAACUUGUGGAUAAUGCCAGGACUUAAAAAAUGUUCAUUUAACAGAGUAGAAAGCUAGUUGCCAAGGAGUGGGGUGGGGGCACAGGUGAAAUAGGAAAGGUUGGUUAAUAGGAGGGAAACAAACUUUUGGUUACAAGAUGAAUAUGUUCUGGGGAUCUAAUUUAUAACAUGGUGACUAGCUAACACUAUAUUGGAUGAUUGAAAUGUGCUAAAGGGGUAGGACUUAAAUGUUCUCACCAAAGGGAAAAAAAAAAGGUAAAUAUGAGAGGUGAUGGAUGGGCUCAUUAACUGGAUGGGGGGAUACCUUACACAAUACGUAUGUAUAUUAAAUCACAAACUUGAUGUGUGGACUUUAAACACCAUAUAGUUUUAUUGGUCAAUUUUACCACAAAAUAGGAAAAGACAUCUCUCAUAAUACCUUGUGAGAGUCACAGGGGCAUAGUAAGUGCUUGUAAUACUUAUUGAUCUUAAUUUUGGUUGACCCUUGAGAUGAUGAGUAAUCAAAGGACUUGGGCAGUGAAAGGGGGUCUCUAAUAGGUCGCAUUAUUUUUUUCCCACACCGUGUUCUGCUUUUGUUUUUAUUUGACUGGCAAUGCAAUGUGUACUCUGCAAAGGACUAGUGAUAAUAUUCACCAUGUUUCUAUGCUGGGGGCAUGUCAUGCAGCUGUAGUUCCAGCAGCAUUAAUCCUACAUGUUUGGUGUCUGGAAUCUUGCCAAUCUUCCAUGUCUCUCCUGGAUUAACUCUAUAGCCCAACAUGAUUAAGUGGGUUCAUAUAGAGGAUUUCUUCUCAAAGGACAUUUGUAAGCCACUAAAACUGAGUAGAUGCUUUUGUGUGUGUGUGCGCGUGUGUGUGAGAGAGAAAGAGAUUUGUUGGUGCUUCUAACAAUAAUAUUGUUCUCUGUCAUGAUUUUGAAUAAAGAUGAUGUUGUAAAUGGAAAUGUUUAAUUAAAGGGGAAGGAUAGUAUGUUAGUCCUUGGGGGGCUUAAGUUUAUCAGAUUUGUUGAGAAAGCAAAAGUCAGCAGCCUGGGGAUACAUUUUGAAAGGGGAAAGAUCAUUCUGAAAAAGAGAUUGAAGGAUAUCAUAGAGAAGAAUUGUGGGUAAUGGUCGAGACAAAGUUGCCAGUGCAGAGUACUUAAAAUGUCGUGAUGUCAUGUUGGAUUCAGAGAUAGAAUCAUGAUUCCAGUGACUUCCAGCUGUGGACUUGUCUUUGGCAACUUCUCUUUAGUGAAUCUUUGUUCUUUCUAAGUGUUGUUACUAAUAUUUGCUAAUAUUUUUAUGAUUUAGUGUGACAUUAAUAAUUGCACCACCUAGAUUAAUGCAUACGGUAUUCAGAAAAUGCUUGUUCACAACUCCCCUCACUCCCUGAAUCCCUCAGAAUUCUGCCAAGGGUCAGAUGUGGUCCUAACAUGUGGCAUGAGUACCCACAAAAUGAGCGAGAGUAAAAGAACAUACUAGAGUACUGAAUAUGUCCUCUGAUAACUCAUCAGUACACAUUUGUUCUCUGAUAUGGCUCCAGUCUGAGUUAAGGCUGUUGGUUUCAUAGUGAGGACUUCUCUUCUGUAUGGUCAGGAAAAUUGAGCAUGAUCCUUCAAGUCAGGGAGUGCAUGCCACGGGGGCACCUCAUUCAUUCAUAACGGUUUCUAGAGGACUGAAUGCCAAAAAUGGUUUGUGGGUUACUGUUUCUCUGUGACAAGAUUUCACAUACUAUAAAUGAGAAGAAGGAAAACAAUGCAAUCUCUGUAAAUAAUUUGUUUAUUAAGUAUAUUUAAUGACUUAUCCUUUUUUGAUAUUGUGCUCUUCCUGUUUUGCUUUUAAAAUUUUCUUUAUAUUUAUGAAAUGAUUAUGAAUCCUUAAAAAAGUUACUAAGCCAUGAAUUACAAAAGUCUGGAAAACCACUUUUUCUAACAUUUUUGUCUCUGCUUUCAGAUGUCUUUAGAAAGGUCUGCUGGAUUUUUUUUUUUUUGUCAUUACCAAACUGUGACUUCUUACCAUGUAUCAUAUCCCAUUUUCUUUUGCUUCUUUCAGAGUCCUCAUUUUCUCAUCUAGCAAACAAAUUGAUCUUUGUCAUAUGCAAACACUAAAAUUAAAUUUUUUUUCUAUCUUAUAAUUCUUGUCCCAUGUGUAAGUAAGUAGUCACAUUUACUUUUCACAUUAAGAAAUUAGACUUAACACUAACAAAGGUUUUGAGCACAUAUUCUGUAGAUAGGCACAGUCCUUGGGAUUUGUAUAUGCAUUGUCUCAUUUUUACGUCAUCAUAGCCUUGCUUCAUGUUCCCUAAGACUCUGAAAUUUCUUUUUCUCUUACAGAACUGGAUGUGUUGUUAAGUGGUAACUGAGAAAUUGUAAUAUAUGAGGUGUUUAGAAUUUUUUAAAGAGGAAUUCUUAUUUUUUAAAAAAUAUUUAUUUUGAGAGAGAAAGUGCAUGUUUGCACAAGUGCAAGAGGGACAGAGAGAAAGGGAGAAAGGGAAUCUCAGGAAGGCUCUGUGCUGUCAGUGUGGAGCUUGACAUGGGGCUCGACAUCAUGAACAAUGAGAUCAUGACCUGAGCCCAAAUCAAUAGUCAGAUGCUUAACCAACUGAGCCAGCCAGGUGCCCCUGGAGGAAUUCUUAUUAAUGGAACUUCUGGUUAGAAUUAAGAUGUGUGUUUUAUCAGAACUCAACUCAAAGAGAAUCUCAAAAAGACCACAGUCCCAUCAUGUAAGUUAAUAAAAGUAGAGUUACUUUUGGAAAAUUUACCUCUGGUUGGUGUAGAAGAUGCAUAAUAAUCAUAAAAAUCUAUAAAACCAAUUUGAAUAAUUUUUAAAGAUUGACAUGCUUUGGACCUUUGAACAAUAAAAAUAUCACUAAUAAUGGAUGUGAGCAAAAUUGUAUGAGAUCUUUGGAAAUUGAUGUUUCUAGUAAUUUUAGAUCAUGUUAUAUAAAAAAUUAAGUGGUUUAUGUUUGACUUUCAUCUUUGUUUCCUGGGUAAUUUGUUAGAGAAAGUGGUACUGUGUGAUGACAUUUUAUGAACUUUAAAUCAUUCUCCUCUGAAAAUCAUGCUGGGAGCUGCCAUUUAAAAACAAACAAACACAAAUAAAAUAGCUCAAGAGGAAUAAAUAUGUUGGAUUUAAAAUGAGUGAAUGUUAUUGAAUUGUAUUAAUGGCCCAGACUGAUAUUAAAGCCAGAAUUUUACCUGUCUUUCCAAAUGAAAAGCCUUCUGACAUGGUGUGAGUGGAGGCAAUUGUGUCUCUCAGGUUUAAAGAUGAAAAGAAAUGAAUACUAGUAACAAAAACACAAAUUAGAAAAUUUUCUUUGGCCUGGUGCUGAACUGUGAAUUUGGUUUCAUAUGAGGGAAUGGAUGUUAGCUGCCUAUAUGAAACUGAGUGAUGUUGGUUUACUCAGUGACCUAAACAAGCAAGAUAUUAUAAUUAAGAGCAUAAUAUUUUAAUUCUGUCCUUAAAUCUCCCAGUCCCUUUUGAUUUAUCUUAUAGUCACCAGGCUGCACAUUACAUCCUUAGAGCUUAUUAAUCUUAUAACUGGAAAUUUGUACCUUUUGACCGCCUUGACUCCUUUCCUCCAGCCCACACCCUCUAGAAUGAACUAUAAAAUGAAAUUGAAAAGAAUAGAGGUAAUGUAAUAUAUGCCCCACGAGUGCUGUGCUAUAGUGAGUUAUAUGUUGACUGGUCAGCCAUGAUAAAAUGCUAACCAUCUUUAGCCCAAAACUGAACAAUAACCACAGAUUUCUUCACUUGAAGAUAGCUAGAACGUUUACAAAUAAGAAAAUACCUGCUCAGCAGUGACUAUGACAAUGCAAACAUCAUACAUUUGACCUGAAAGAGGGUUUGAAAGCACAGACACUUGAUAGCAAGUUACAUUUUGUGCAUUGAUAUCUAUCUAUACAUCUAUAUCUAACUCUGUCUCUAUAUAUUGAUAUAUUAAUCCAGUAUAGAAUAUAGUAUGUUAAAAGUUAAACUGAGGCAUAAGGGUUUGAGCAGACAUUGGUUUGAGUUAGGCAGUGCUAAAGUGGAAGUGGUUAGUGGUGCCCCACCUACAGGAGCUGGGGAGACUUUUUUUUUUAUUAUGAAAUUUAUUGUCAAACUGGUUUCCAUACAACACCCAGUGCUCAUCUGGGGAGACUUUUAUAGAGUGAGGCGGAAGCAAAGCAAGGAAAUUAUUUUAUCGGUUAAAGCGUAAAGAGUUGCCUUACAUGAGAAAAUCUAGUUGGCUCUAUGUGAGGGGUUGUCCUUAGCUUUAGAUUUCUUCGCCUUGAGGCAUGACAGGCUUAGGUUUUGGUUUGCUUACAUGGGCUAAUGCAUGUCAGCCACCUGAGUCUAAUGGCCUUCUUGUUAAUUGAUUGAACAAGUAAAAUCAUUGACAUUUAGAUAUUGCCUCAUUAUCAUUUUUGAACACUUACAGUGUAUAAGGCUAUUUACUUUCAUUCAUUAGUAGUGCAUUCAUCUGUUUAAAAAUAUGUUUUGGGCAUCUACUGUGUUCUUGGUCCUGAGCACAUAGAGUGGAAGUGACCAACUAGGUCACAGCCUUCGCAGGACCAGCAUUACAGAAGAGGGCAAUGAUAGGGCUGGCAGUAAUCCAUUAAAAAAAAAAAUAGACAAGGUAAUUUUAAUUAACAAUAAUGGAAAAAGAAAACAGGAUGAAGGAAUAGAGAUUGUUAGAAGUGAGAGGGUAGAUGGUGGCUACUCUCUUUCUCUCUCAAAAUAAGUAAAUGAAUUAAAAAAAUAAUAAAGGGACCAACAGUAUCCAGAGUUGGUGAAGUAUCUAUCACAAUUUGAAUGUAAGUGUUUUAUAGUCUAGUGAGGCCACUUUCAACAAAAUGUGGUAGGCUCCUUGUUCAUAUGUAGCGAGUUGAAUGGUGCCUCGUGCUCCCAAAAGAUAGGACGAGCCCGAACCUGGUAAUUUGACCUUAUUUGAAAUAAAGGUCUUUGUGGGUGUAAUUAAGUCAAGGAAUUUCAGAUGAGAUCAUCCUGGAUUAGGGUGGACUCUAAAGGACACUCUUAGAGUGUCCUAAGAGAGAUGGAGAAGACAGACAUGAAAGAAAGCCAUCUGAUGAUGGAGGCAGAGGUUGGGUUCUGUUGCCACAAACCAAGUACCUGGAGCCACCUGGAACAGGAAGAGGCAAGGCUUUCCCCCUAGAGCCUUCAGAGAGAGCAUAGCCCUGCCAACAGCUUCAUUUUGGAAUUCUGGCUUCCAGAAAUGUGAGGGAACAUAUACACCUAUUGUUUUAAGACCAAGUUUGCAUUAUGGCAGCCCUGUGAAACUAAUACACAAAAUAUAUGAGCCUUUCAUGUAAUAGCAUUGUAAUGGCAAAAACUGGAAACAAUCUAAAUGCUUGUUAUUGUGUGGCAGGUUAACUAUAGGUCAUUAAAAAAAAUAAAAUCUAGCUAUAUUGAUAACUCAUCAAUAAUGUAUUGUUAAGAAAGAUGUGAAAAUAACACAACUAUGUAUAUUUCAUUUUUGUUAAAUAAAACCAAAGCACUGUGUUUAAAUAUACAUUUGACAUAAAGUGGCCCUGAAUGUGAGGUGAUUCUCCAUUUUUCUGAUAGGGACACCAGAAUUUUGGGGCUAACUUGAGUAUGUAAAUCUUUAGGGAUAUAGAUGAAAUAUCAAAAGUCUAUGCAUACAUUAUUAAUUUAGGUAAACAUACCUUUUUGACAGCACAUACAUAAGAUAAUAUUAACCUAGACACAGGUCCCUGGGUGGCUCAGUUGUUUACGCAUCUGACUCUUGACUUCAGCUCAGGUCAUGAUCCCACGGUUCAUCAGUUCGAGCCCUGCAUCCGGCUCUGGACUGACAGUGCAGAGCCUGCUUGGGAUUCUCUGUCCCUCUCUCUCUGCUCCUCCCCUGCUCAUGCUCUCUCUCUCUCUCUAAAUAAAUAAAUAAACUUAAAAAAGAUAAUAUUAACCUAGACAGAUUUGUUUUUUCUAAUCUUGCAUUUCUUUUCAAUUUUUAUUUUGUUUUUAAAGUUUUAAUUAUUUUUCAUUGAAUAAUAAUUAUCAUACAAUGUUACAUUAGUUUCAACUAUAUAUUAUUUUAUUUUUGACAUGUUAGGAAUUACUUGAGAUCAUUUCAGGCUUUCCCUAAAAACUGCCUCUAGGGGCGCCUGGGUGGCGCAGUCGGUUAAGCGUCCGACUUCAGCCAGGUCACGAUCUCGCGGUCCGGGAGUUCGAGCCCCGCGUCGGGCUCUGGGCUGAUGGCUCAGAGCCUGGAGCCUGUUUCCGAUUCUGUGUCUCCCUCUCUCUCUGCCCCUCCCCCGUUCAUGCUCUGUCUCUCUCUGUCCCAAAAAUAAAUAAAUGUUGAAAAAAAAAAAUUUAAAAAAAAAAAAACAAAAAAACUGCCUCUAAACAAACUUAGUGAGUUAGUUACAGUGGCUGAAGAUCACCCCAAAUUAUGGAAUCUUCUCAAGCUGUUUUUUAGGGGUAAUAUAGAGAAAUCUGAUGGAGAAUGAUUAUAGACAUUAGAGAAAAAUAAAAUCAUUUCAUGCCUGUAAAACAAAAUCAUUUUCACUGAGCUCAGUCUGGUCAAUAAACUGUUAUUUAGCAUUUGUAUAUGCAUUGAAAACUAUUUGGGAGGAUAUAAACCAAGCUAUGUCCAAGUUAACAGUGGUUACCAUGAGGAAUUGGAUUAGCAACGAUCAGGUUGUGUUUGUGUGUAUGUAUGUGUGUGUUUGUGUGGCUUUCACCACUUAGUUACAUACUUCUGUGUUGUGGGACUGUAUUGCAUGGCAUAUAUUACUUCUGAAAUACUAAUAACGCUAUAAAAAUUACAAAAAAUUACAAAAUAUACCAAUCUUCCAAGAUCCAAGCUCCUUUUAACUGUGUCCUCAUUCUUAUCCAGAAAUGAUUUCUCCCCACUAAACUCUCCCAGUGGAUUUUUCUGUCUCUCUUUUAUGCUGUUCCUUCCUAACACAUCCAUUUAUCCUUUGCUAAAUAACCUUAAUUUGUUCCUGAGAACCCUGCUGCAGAGUGAAAAGUUAUUGAAUAAAUAUAUCUAGUAAUUAUUUUUCUUACUCUUAAUUUUAUCUUAAAUUAGCAUACAGUAUAAUUGACUUUUGUAUGCAGUUCUAUGAAUAUAAUACAUCUCUAGAGUUGUAUACACUGCAACUGUAUACAUUGCAACAGAGCAAUUCAAUCUCUUUAAAAAACUCCCUUGUUGGGGAUACGGUAUGAAAUUUCAGAUUGCCCUUUUGUAGUUACAUCUUCCUCUUCCUCUCAACCCUGGCAACAAAAUAAAUCUGUGGAUCUAUUCUCUGAAACCAUAGUUCUAUCUUUAUGACAAUGUCCUAUCAAUAGAAUGGAAUAGUAUAUAACAUUUUGAUACUGGCUUCUUCCACUCAGCAUAAUACCUUGGAGAUCCAUGCAAGUGGUUGCAUGCCUCAAGAGAUCAAUACUUUGUUCCCUUACUGUUAGGUAAGAUAACAUUGUACAGGUGUUUCAGUUUGCUUAACCAUUCACCUACUGAAGGGCAUUUGGGUUGUUUCCGAUUUGGGGCUAUUAUGGAUAGGGCUGUUACAAACAGUAGUGUACAGAUUUUUGUGUGAAUGUAAGCCCUUAUUUCACCAGGGUAAAUAACUAGGAGAGGACUUUCUGGGUCCGAGAAGUGUAUGCGUACCUUUAUAGGAAACUGUCAAACUGGUUUCUCAUAGUGGAAAAACCAUUUUGCCUUCCCACCGGCAAUGUGUGAGAGUUCUGGUUGCUCUUUAUCCCUACCUGCACUUGAUAUUUUCAGCAUUUUUUAUUAUAGCCAUUCUAACAAGUGUGUGAUGGUAUCUCAUCAUGGUUCUAACUUGCAUGCCUAAUAGCUAAUGAUGUUGAUAAUUUCCUGUGCAGAUUUGACAUUUGUGUAUCAUUGCUUAAGUGUCUCUUCAGGUAGUUUUGCCAUUGCCAAAGGAUUGGGCCAUUGAUUAGUUUAGACUAGUGUUUUUCAAAGGCUCACUAUUGGCAUUUUGAGUGGUUAAUUCCUAGUUUUAUAGGCUGUCCUACUCAUUGCAGCUCAUGUAGAUUCCCCGGAGUUGGGACACAAAAUCCUCAAGGCACAUGCUAUUGUGAUGACCAAAAAAUGCUUUCAAAUUUCCAAAACUCCACUAGGAAAAUGGCAGCAUCUUUGUGAAAACCACUAGUGUAGAAAUUAAGAUUUUUUUCACUGUUCCUGGAAUCAGGUCAAUUUUCUCCAAUUCACAUGGAGUUUGUGGGGAAAGAGUGGGUACCUUAACACUAUCAGCAUUCUUCUAGGGAAGAAAGGGUAUGAAUGCUGAUCAGACAACCAACAUUGUCCACUGUGAUUUAACUCAACUUCUUUCUCAACUUUCUCUGUGUCUGUGGUUUUUACUCACAUCCUUUCUGUGAAUAAACAAUUGACAACAACCUCUCUGGAUGGUCCAAACAUUGUCUGGAUCAAUUUCUUCUCAUUACCCAUUACCUCAGGCAGUGUGUGUGUGUGUGUGUGUGUGUGUGUGUGUGUGUAUGUGUGUGAUUUUAUAGCUAGGAGAGGUAUGAGAAGGGUCGACCAGCCCCUGUUGUCUUUCUCUUCCUCCUCUUCCUCCCCUUUUAUUUCUUCUUCUUUUUGCCUUCAAUAAAUAUAUUUACUUAUUUAUGGCUGCAUUUUCCAUUUUCACUUAUUUCCCUAGUAACCGAUUUUAGGAUCCCAAACAAAUUAUUCUUUUUAAAGUCAUGACUCUUAAUGACAAUAGUAGGCAGAGAAUUGAACAGUAUAAUAACUGAAGUUAUCAUUAGAAAAUUGUAGUCUAGUUGGGGAUAAAAUAUGAAAUUACAUAGGAACAUUUAGAAAAAUUUCUACAAAUGAAUAUUCUGUGAUAAAAGCUAAAUAUGUUGGGGAAACACAGAGCAGAGGAAUUGUAGACAAAGUGCAGGGUCAGCAGACCGAGAGUCACAGGCUCUGUCCUGACAAGGGGCAGCUUACUGAACCUCUCUCCCUCCACUUCCUCACUUAUAAAUUAGGAAUGAAGUUCCUUCUCCUAUAAACCUGACAUGAUGCCUGCUAAGGCACCAUGGUAAUAUCUAUAUACAAUUUACAGAGACAUGUGAAUAUAGGUUAUAUAUAUAUGUACUGCAUAAAUGUAUAUAUGUAUAUAGGUAUGUGCAUGUGUAUAUAUAAACCUACACAUAAACUGGUAAUAUAUAUCACAAUGUCUUAAAAGUUGGAAAGGUAGGAAUCUAUCCAUUACCAGCAUCAUCAUCAUUAUCAUCAUCAUAAUUUUAUUAGUGUUCUCCAGAGAAAUAGAACCAAUAGGAAAAUUAUCUAUUAUCUAUCUAUCUAUCUUCUACUUAUUGUCUAUCUAGUCACCCUACCUAUCUGCCUGUCUUCAUAAGCAGAAAUGUAUUAUGGGGAUUGGCUCACAUGAUUAUGGAGGCUGAGAUAUGCCACAGUAUGCCAUCCGCAGGCUGGAGAACCAGGAAAGGCAGUGGUAGAAUUCAGUCCAAGUCUAAAGGCCGAAGAGCUGGGAGCUCUAAUGUCUGAGGGCAGAAGAAGAUAGGCAUCCUAGCCUGAGAAGAGGGAGAGAAUUCUCCCUUCCUCUGCUUUUUUGUGCUAUUCAGCAGUCAAAGGAUUGGAUGAUGCGUGCCUACCUUGGUGAGGGUGGAUCUUCUUUCCUCAGUCUACUGAUUCAUAUGCUAGUUUCCUUCAGAAACACCCUCACAGACACACCAACGAGUAACGUUUUGCUGGCUACCUAGACAUUCUUUAAUCCAGUUAAGCUGACAUAUAAAGGAAUCAUCACUAUCAUCCUCAUCCUCAUCAACCCUUAAUAGUGGAUGUUUGUCUGGAUUGGGAGGUAGGAAAAAGAUAAUGAAUGGGAAAAGAGACAUAAAAUAUAACAGGGAGUAAAGUAUCAUCUGGAAAGAUUUAGAGCUGGUUAUGCAUGUUUGGUAUAAACUGUAGGCAAAAGCCUCAAGACACUGAGAGAUUUUCUACCAGUGUGCUCUGAGAUUUCUGCCAGCACAGCACCUCACCACAUCCCUUUUUCUACAAUACUCUUAAACCUUCUUUAGACCCAGGGCUGCUUCCUUUGAGGUAGCCUCAGUCAGAAGGGUGGGAACAUGUACUCCCAAAUGCUUUGUGUAGCCCAAUGCUGUCUCCUCCAAGCUGGACCUUUUUAGAAAAUAUCUUAGCUUUAUCUUUUAAAAAGAAGGCAUGUACAUUUUUCAUUUUACUACAUGGCAUGUUUGUAUUAGUUUUAAAGUGAAAGUCAUGUUUUAAAUUAAUAAGAGUUUUUACCUAUCUCCCUUGUGAUUAGUUUAACUGUAAUGAAUCAAAAAGAUCAGUUUUGAAAAACUGAGCUGAAUUGAAAAAGUUCAGCAUAGCAUGUCAGGCCUGGUGUCUGUAGAAUUUCUCUUUUUGGUGUUUGAAUUUAUUCCAGAUAUUUUUAUUCUUGCUUACCGUCAACCCUCUCUAAGGAUAGCUGCUCUACUCACAGCUCUAUGACUUUAGUGUUUUGUGCAAAGGAUAUUCUCCAACCAUCUCUAUGGAAAGCAAACUGAUCCAGGGGACCCAGCCAACUCAGAGCCAGCACAGAUGUGGGCUGGGUUCACUCUUAGGGACUAGGAUGCUAGUUUGGGAUAAGCUACCAUGUAGAGAGAAGUGAAGGAGUUCUAUGGGAGACCAAACCUUGAGCAAGCAGUGGAAAUCCAGUCUUAACUAUUUUUUAAAAUUUAUUUAUUUGUGUGUGUGUGUGUGUGUGUGUGUAUGAGAGAGAGAGAGAGAGGGAGACAGACAGACAGACACAGAGUGCGAGUGGGGAAGGGACAGAGAGAGAGAGGGAGACACAGAAUCAGAAGCAGGCUCCAGGUUCUGAGCUGUCAGCACAGAGCCCGAUGUGGGGCUUGAACCCACGAACUGUGAGAUCAUGACCUGGGCCAGAGUCAAGCCAAAGUCAGAUGCUUAACCGACUGAGUCACCCAGGUGCCCCCAGUCUUAACUAAUUUAAGGGAAAGUCAGAUGACAAAAAUGCUAAAGAUAGCAUUAUAGAAAACCUAGUAUGGAAACUGUGUGGAAUGGAAGAGGAGAAAGAGAAACUGGAAGCAGAGAGCCGUGUAGAGCCUCACUUACCUCAAGACUGUGAAGUCAAGGUGGACUGGAAUGGGGUAUUGGCUGUGGCAUCAAGGAGAUUCAGAUCUCUGAGAAGUUAUGUGUUUUGCUAUUUAAUCUUGAAGAGUUACCAAAUCGACGAUGACAUUAGUGCUUCUUUCUUCCUUUCCGAGUAGAACACAAGCCAAAUUUCUUGGAAUUUUUAGAAAGAGCACUUACAUUAUCAUUAUGUUGCUAGUACAGAUUUAGCAAUUGACAGCCAACACAGUAAACAGUCUGGUCAUUUUAAGCAUUUAGUCCUUAAAUUUGACAAACGUGUCAAUUACCUCGGUGGUUCCUUGUUCAAGAAUUAAAAGCCACAGUCAAUUUUAAAUCCUGCCACAGUUCUUUAGCAGCAAAUGAAAACAGAAUGCCAACUAGCUGUCCUUCAAUGCCUUGCCUUGAGUUGUUGUCCGUAAACAUGAUGUGUGUUAUUGAUGAGACGUGGAGCUCUAUUUCUUUCCAAUUAAGCGUGAUCUCUCUGGCGCAAAUAGGACACUGUGUGUCCCAGGAUCUCUCAGUAUUGUUUAAAGUGUACACUUCAGGUUGUUGUUUUUUUGUGUUUUUUUGAAAAAUGGCAAUGUUUAUGAAGUAAUUCAAGCCAGUGGCCCCUUGCUGGUUAUUGUUCAAAUAUGUAGGUUAAAUGCAUGGCUGCUUUUGCCAACUAAGUUUUGGAUGUUUGAAAGCAAUCUUUUCCAUUAGUGAGUGGUAGGCUUUUUUUUUCCCCCAACAUAACAUUAUUUCCAAAAAUGACCUUAAGUUUCAUUCUAAAACCAUUAAUUAAUUUGCACUUCCUUUAUGAAGACUUUAGGGGGUAUUGAGCCAGUGAAAUGAAUGCCACAUAUAUUAGAAAGAAAUAACCAGACCUGACCGGGGAAAGGACUUAGGAACCAAGAAUUUCUAUUUGAAAACUCCUUUAAAAGCUUUUCUCUAGCACUGCUUAAGGUGCAUUAGUUUUCUUCCAAUCUGCAAUGGGAAACAGUAGAAUAAAAUUUCCUGUUGAGGUUAUAUAACAGGAAAUCAUUUGUGGAAUUAUUCACAAAAUUUGACCUGUAGGAAAUUCUGGAUUUUUAUUUAAAAAUGUUAUAUUUAUUUUAAACUUGGCUUCAAAUUGUUCAGUUAUACUUUCCUCAUUAGAAAUUCAUGAGGCAUGGUAUCACAGUAUCCAUGACCAAAUUUUGAGAGCUUUAAAUUUCUCAAGGAGUAUGUUCAUGGCAAACAUAUAAAUUUGAUUUCCCAAUGAAUCAUCAUGACCUAUUUUUAUUAUGCAGUUAGAGUUGCUGUGGAUGUUGAGAGAAUAAUAGCAUAUUUAGCAGAGACCUCUAACUUUGCAUUUUUUUUUAAGGUCAGCUGUAUUUGGUGGCAGGCUCUAUCUAGGCAAGAUUAUUAAAUGAGGAAGCUGGUAUUUUUAUUCUUUCUUUGACCAGCCCAAUCAUUGGGACCUAUAUUUCCCUUAUUUCCAGUGUCUUCAGAAACUCAUAUCUUCUUUUUCCCAAGAGUCCAUCAACAUAUGCUUUUCACAAAUGUUGGAUAACUUAAUUUAUAUUAGCUUUAAAUGUUGACCAAUAGAAUGCUAUUCUUUUUUUUUUUUUUUUCAACGUUUAUUUAUUUUUGGGACAGAGAGAGACAGAGCAUGAACGGGGGAGGGGCAGAGAGAGAGGGAGACACAGAAUCGGAAACAGGCUCCAGGCUCUGAGCCAUCAGCCCAGAGCCCGACGCGGGGCUCGAACUCACAGACCGUGAGAUCGUGACCUGGCUGAAGUCGGACGCUUAACCGACUGCGCCACCCAGGCGCCCCAAUAGAAUGCUAUUCUUAAGGGAUAGGCAUUAUUCUUUUGGGAGGAGUGGCUAUCAUUUCUAAGACAAAAACUUUUUUUUCCUUUCCCAAAAGUUAAUAACUGUCACUAUGGAAAAUACAGCCAAACAAAAAGAAAAAUUCACAUUAUCUCAUCUCUCUGAGACGACUUCUGCUAACCUUGAUAUCUAUUCUUCCUGUAAAAAAAUGGAAUCAUCUUGUUUGCAAGCUUUAAAGUGUAGUUUUCUCUUAAUUUUUGAUAUUUUCUAUAUUUUCAAACAUGUUGAUAAGCUGUAUUUAAUAUUUUCAUGAUUUUCUACUACAUGACUAUAUUCUAAGUUAUUUAAACAAUCCACUAUUAUUUGACGUUAAGAUUGUGUCCAUUAUUUCACUAUUAUAAGUUGCCAAAAUUAACACUCUUCUGCCUGUGUUUUCAAAUGAUCAUAUGAGGGAACACCUUGGAUAUGAUACCUCAUUGUCAGUGAGUCAGGGACAGAGAAAUUUCUUUACCCAUGAAAUCAUAUCUGCUUGUUGCAGAUGAUAGACUUUGUCCACUCUUGAAAAUUAACUAAAAUUGAGCUAAUUUGGCAUGCAUUGAGAGAGAACAGGAAUAGCAAAUGUUUGGAAGUGCCUUAUGUUAGAUUGAAAACAAAAAAAGUAAAUUAACUGAUCCAUGUUCAACCCAAAUAACUAUGAUGUUUGGAAAUAAUGCAAUAAAAUGACUUUAUAGAAUGUGGAAUUAGAUGCAGAGUCAUUCACAUGAAAGAUAGUCACGGAUGAAACAUCCAUGCUUGUAGACUAUUUCUUUGAAGCUGUAAUUCAUGAUUGGUAUCAAAGUUAGAUAGUGGGUGGAUCAGAAACUUUACUUGAGGCAUGUGUGAGGGAACUGAACAAGAGAAAUGGUCUGUGAAUGGAAAGGAGAGGGGUCUUACAGAGGCAUGACCUGUGAGAUUUGACACAUCAUUGGCCACUAGGAGAGGAUAGAGGAGGCACGAUAUGAGCCCGGAGACAAGACGAGGGCUGUCUCAUUCAUUGAAGGAGAGCAAGAUGUGUGGAUCUGAGACCAUUUCUGCUGCAGGCAGUUAGCCUGAGUCUGCCAAAUUAGCUAUGUGAAGAUAUCCCAGCAGGGAGUUGGAAAUACAAAAUGGGAGGUAGAACAAUAAGUAAUAAUUUUUACCCAUACAGGGAAUAAGUACUUCCAUAGAGAAAGAAUGCCUAUAUUUGAUGGCUGAAGUAAAAAAAAAAAAAAGAUGGCCGAUAGCAGGGAGGAAAUAAGAGGGGAGCCCAAGGACAGAGGCCUGGAAAUUGGUGAGGAUUAAAACUUGCUGGCAUAUUGACUUGCUGUCAAUGCUGAACUCCAGCAAAGGCCUUCCAAGGGAAUGUGGGUAUAGAAACAGAGAAUAAUAAGAAAGUAAUACCAACAACAAAAGGAAAGUAUAGCAUGUGUGGAGAAUUUACUGUGGGACAGCUACUGUGAUAAGCAUGUCAAUCGCAUUAGAUCAUUUAAUCCUAUCAGCAAUAGUUAUGAAGAAGAAGAGAUUGUCAUGGUCCCCCUUUUAUAGAGGAAAACCAGUCGACAGAGAUAAAUAUUUUUCCUAAGGUCACAACAUAUGCCACACAUAAGAUACAAACUCAGGACUGUGCUCCGAACUUCUCUAGUGACUGUAUUGAUUAGCUAUACAUCCUCCAAGGAUUAUACAAUAAACAGCUGGUGAGAAAGUGGGGGCGGAUGAUCGGACUCCUUUUGCAGAAGCUUAGCUCAUUACUGAAGAAAACCAUGCCAGUUCUGUAGGAAUAAAGAAGAUGAUAAUGUAAAAAAGAGGUACUUCCAGAGUUAGGCAUUGAAAGAGGAAUCAUUCAUUCCCAGUGAGAGUCCAAGAUGGUGACAUCUGUCAGUAGGUAGUAGAAGUACAGUGGAAAUAAAAGUGAUCUUGACUGAAAAGAUCAGGUUCUAACUUGAGGUCAGGGUUCUGAAAAGGUUACAUUAUAUAUGUCCCCCUUUAGGACACAGAAGAGACUAGCUUAAAGAUGCCCAAAUCAUCAAGGAUGGCAGGCAAUGGUCCUGUAGCCAGAAGAUGACAGAUCUGUACCAUCUGUCAUAGGCUGGGAGGAGGUGAUGCUUGUGGAAUGUAGAUUUUGAGAAAACAGAGUAUUUUUUAAGAGAUGGCAGAGAACAAUGAUCAUCAAUCAGCAACUGAGGGAUGCCUUGACAUGCCCCCAGCUUCCAGUAGGUGGGUGUUCACGAAAGAGGGUGAUGGCAAAGUGUAAGAGCUGCUGUGUUCCAUCACUCUAUCAGAGAGAUAUUUAAGGGGAAGGGGGCCAGGAGAGAACAAGGGCAGCUUUCAGUUAUUGCAGAAGAGGUCAAAGGAAUAAUCAAGGCACAAGGUAAACAUGUUUCUCCUCAAGAGAAGAGAGUUUCCACAGGGCACAGAUGAAGGUGCCAGGCUGAGCCUCCAGUGGCAUUGCUCUGUGUCAAGUAUAGGCUGGUUACGAGUUCCCCCUUACCCAUGGUUUCGCUUUCCACACUUUCAGUUAGCUGUGGUCAACUGCAGGCGGGAAGCAGAUGAUCCUCCUUCUGAUGUAUUGUCAGAAGGUUAAUGGCAGCCUAAUGCUGUGUCACAGUGCCUACCUCAUUCACUUCAUCUCAUCACGUAGGCAUUUUGUCAUCUCACGACAUCACAAGAAGGGUGAGUAUAGCACAGUAAGAUAUUUUGAGAGAUACCCCAUUCACAUGAGUUUUAUCACAAUGUAUUGUUAUAAUUGUAUUAUUGGUUCUUGUUAAUCUCUUACUGUGCCUCAUUUAUAAAUUAAACUUUCUCAUAAGUAUGUUUGUGUAGGGAGGAAACACUCACGGUGUUUUCAGGCAUCCACAGGGGGUCUUGGAACAGAUCCUCUGUGGGGUAUGGGGAGCUGCUGUACCUGUUAGUUAUAGGAAAAGGGCAGGAUGGAGGAGGAGUCCUGAAUUGUCUGAGUUUUAGAUGAUACCUUUCUCUCUGAAAUUGGCAGUCUGCUCUUCAACAGCCAAGACUCAGUAUUGAGAGCUGCUCCUGGAGAGAAUAGGGACAGCGAGGAAGGCUGGAAUGUCAUGCUUGAAAAGGAAAUGCUGACAUUGCCCUGGGUCAUCUGGAUACUUUUAGACUCUCCUUGAAGAUCCAUGGAAUAAAACUACAAAAUUUGUUUAAAAAGAAUUAGACAUCAAUGGCUUGAAUAUGAGUAGACAUGGUCCUAACAUGGAAUCAGGGUUCUCAACCUUGGCUAUGAGUUAUAAUCUUCUGGGGCUUUCAGAAAAUAUCUGACACCUGAGCGCCUGGGUGGCUCAGUCGGUUAAGUGUCCAACUCUUCAUUUCGGCUCAGGUCACGUUUGCAUGGUUUGUGAGUUCAAGCCCUGCUUCGAGCUCUGCUCUAUUAGCACGGGCCCCCUUGGGAUUCUCUCUCUCAGUCUUUCUCUCUCCCUGUCUCCAAAUAAAGAAAGAAACUUAAAAGAAAAGAAAAGAAAUGCCUGGUACCACCAAAGACCAGUGGACAGAGAAUCCCUGUGUAUGGGGCUAUGGCAUUGGCAUUUUAACAGUCCUCUUCAAGUGGUUCUAAUGUACUGUGAAGGCUGAAAGCAUCUGCCUUCUCGAAAGAGCAGGGAACCAGGAACGUAACUGAACACGCCUUUUAUAAAUGUGAACCCAUGUGUGUGUGCUCACACUUCUGCUGGGUCAGAGGUCUAGUGUCAGUAAGUCCAAGUAUCAUUUGUUGGCUGGUAUCAUUGGCUCAUUAUUAAACUGCAUAAGUGUUAACACACAUUUCUGCUGGAUUGGUGCUGAUGGUAUUUGUUUUUAUGUCAGUAUUACUCUAACCUUCAUCUCCCACAAAAAUAAAUGUUAGAUGAAAGAAAACAAAUCGGGCAACGCCCUGUUUACUUGUAGGGAGAGGGUAAAGCAUGAUUAAGGUACAGGCUUAGCACGGAGAGAAGCUUCCUUACCCUAUGGUGCUCAGCUGCAUAGCACCACCCACCCCCAACACUACCUCCAGGUUGUCUUUAAGCUGUUAUUCAGAAUUGUGUAAAUUCAGCUCUCAUGUCAGUUAUACCUUGCAUACAACUGAUAGACUGAUGUAAACUAGUUGUGAUUGCAAUGAAGUGACCAUUCAUUUUGAAGAGUCCUUGUGAGGUAAUGUCCAAAAGAAAUGAAAAUUCUUUUUCCUCCAGUUAUUUAAAAUGUAUAUUAUAUGAAAUUUUAUUAUGCUCAAGUUCAACAUUGCAUGUAUUCUCACUGGAAUGUUGAUGAUUGCAUAAGAAUUGUCUCGGAAUUAAAUGAAUUUACAUUUGACUCUUGGUUUCUGGAGAGUGUGACUAAAUUGUAUAGUAGAUACGGUUUUUCACAACGGGAAGUUUUGUUUUAGAACAAGAGAGCAUUUAUUCAUUCAUUUACUCAUUUUUGUUCUGAGUAAAUAUCUGAAUCCUGGUGUCCACAUGAAAUUCACUUUCUGCAUUUAAAGAAUUAAGCCCUGUACAUACCUAAGUACAUACAUGUAUUUUUACUUUACAAAAGUAACAUAUAGUAACAUACAGAGAACUCUGUAGUAAAGGUUUAAAGCACAAAUAAUCAAAAGAAAGAAAAUAAAAACACUGUAAAUUUUUUUACCUCACCAUCUAGAAAUAACCGCUGCUAACGCCUUGAGUACAGUCUUCUUGCUUUAUACACACAUGCACACAUACAUAUACAUGCAUAAGUAUUAAUUCUGUAUAUAGUGUUUACUAACCUGUUUUUUCCCCCACUUAACAUAUUUGAACACUCUUGUCAUUAAGUAUUCUUUUAUAAUAUGAAUUUGUAAGUAUAGAAUUCCAUGGUUUGGAUAUUAGAAUCUUUUUUUAAUAAUGUAGGUUUAAAAAAAAUAAUUAUUUUGAAAGAGAGAGAAAGAGCACAAGUGGGGGAGGGGCAGAGAGAGAUGGAGACAGAGAUUCCUAGUGAACUCGGUGCUGUCAGCACAGAGCCUGAUGCAGGGCUUGAUCUCACAAACUGUGAGACCAUGACCUGAGUGGAAAUCAAGAGCCAGACACUUACUCCACUGAGCUACCCAGAAGCCCCUGGAUGUUAUAACUUACUUGAUAAUCUGCUGCUUGACAUCUAGAUUGUUUAUAAUUUUGUUUGUUGUUGAUUUUGCUAAUAUAAACAGCACUGGAUUGAAUAUCUUUGUGGUCCAGCUCCAAGUUCUACCAUUUUAUGCCAGAACAUAAAAUGGUAGUAGAGAAAGUUGUCUUUUGCCCCAACAUGGUUACAGUAGGCAAUGGAGUACAUUUUUUCUAUUCUGUCUGGUUGCAUGAGCAUCAUGGUAUCAGUCCCCUAAACUCUGAGAGUCUAAGAAUUCCAAAAGCCUACCGAAGACAGUAAGAACCCCUGGUAUUCUUUGCCUCACACUAUUUUUAUGACUUAUCUUUCACAUGAAUGCUUAUGGAUCUGUGACUGCUGUGUUUACUAACAUACCCCGAACUUUCACGUUUCUGUACUCAUGCUGUUGACUACACCUGAACGCUUUGGUUCUGCCAUAUUUCCAACUCAGGCUUUUGAAAGUCAGCCCAUCAGUAAAGCCAGCUCAAAGGUCACUUUUUCAGGAAGGUCUCCCCAAAUCCUUCAGGAGGAAUUCAUCUCUAUCUCCUUUGUGCUCCUGGCUUCACUAAUAUCCCCCCACAUCCACACCCCAGUCUCCUUAUUGGACCUAGCACAGUCCAGUAUUAAUAUGUAGUAUUAACAUUUGAAGUUAUAACUAGUUAGCAUUUGAAGUUAUUUAAUAGCUAAUGUGUAGUAUUGACAUUUGAAGAGAUAUAUCCUACAGUAAAUAUGUUUUAGUCAUCCUUUUUUUUUUUUUUGGUCUAUUAUAUGUUGUAUAGCACUUUUCCACUUUUCGGAUGCUUGAGAUCAAUGUAUGUUCAUUGUUUUAAAUUUUUUACUGUUUAUUUUUGAGAGAGAGAUAGAGAGAGAAAGCAUGAGUGGGGGAGGGCAGAGAGAGAAGGAGACACAGCAUCCCAAAUGUCAGCACAGAGGCUACAUGGGGCUUGAACCCACUAGCCAUGAGACCACAACCUGAACCAAAGUCUGACGCUUAGCUGACUGAGCUGCCCAGGUGACCCUCAAGGUAUGUUCUUUGUAUUGAAUUAAUAAUUUAAUUUAAAAUAAGCCAUUUCAAAUAUUAAUUUUUUUCUUCUUUCUUCAUUGAAACACAAAAGAAGGGAACGGGUGGUAAUAACAGAAACGGAAAAAUCCUAAUUUGUGGAUUACCUUAAUCUUGUCUGAACAAACUAUAAAACCCAAAACAUACAAAGCACUCAAACUCACCUUGAGAGCAGCCUAUUCAUUUUUGUUUCUCUUUACCUAUUCCUGAGAUCUUCCAAUGCCUCUCUUAGGCCUUAAUUAUUCCUGAUAGUGUCACCCAUUUUGUAGAUAAUUUGGGGGGGAGUAUAACAUGCAGGAGAAAGAAAAUCUGAAUUCUGAUCUCAGAUACAUAAAUGAAGAAGAGUUUAAUCAUGAGAGACACUUUAACUGCCCUAAAUCUCAGUUUCUCUAGAAACUAAGGGACCAAGAAUAGAUCUUUAUGGUUUGAUCUAAUUAUAAAAGUCUAUAAGUUUUUAAUGUUGUUGAUUUCUAUACCCAUUUCUUUAUGUAUCUAUAUUUAAUGAGCACUUAACAUGGACUAGGCACAAUGCCAAGCAUUUUACAUGUUUGUUUUUAAUUGUUGGUGACAGAAACCCAACUGAACUUGCUUUUAAUAAAAGGAAUUCAUUGGUUUAUUAAAAGGAAUUCAUUGGGGAGACCACAGGUAUAUGGGCUUCAGGCACAGCUGAAUUCAGGAGUUCAAAUGGUAUGUUCUGUGUUUUGACUUUCUCCCUCAUUGCUGUUCUUUCUUCAUCUUCUGGCUUUUCUGAGGUGGCUUCACUCUUAGGUAGGCUCAUGGGAUAUGAUAUGAAAGAUGGAUGGUGACAGUCUCAAGCUGGAAAAUUAUGAGUGAAGAUUCUAAAUUACCAAGUUUAGAUCUGAGACAUAACCCUGUGCCCAAUCACUGGAUCCUGGGAAAGAAAUACACGAUUGUCCUAGGCUGUGAUGCAUGUCAAAUGGGGUGGUCCUGGGACAACUGUGAUAAAUAGUCAUACCAGAACCAAUGAGGUGUACAGGAACAAUAGAGUCAGGAUAGUAUAUUAAUCUCCUCUCAAAAUCAUGACACUCCUGGGGCAGAAGAAAACUUAAAGUUCAUCUAUCUAUUGUUUAACCAUCCAUUGAGAACAUCUAUACUUUUUCUGCAAAUCUGGCAAAAAAAAAUUAGGCUACGUGUAAUAACCUUGAUUUCAGAGGGUUAAUCAGAAGUUUUGCUUUUAAAAGACACAGAUAUUUAUUUUAUAUGAAAUAACUGAAACAGUAAAUACUUAUCUAUGUAAAAAUGAAUUCACAUAGUCAGGAAUAUUUAUAUAAUGUGUUAAAAAUUGCUUGAGUUGUAAUCACUAGUCUUACCACACAUUCACGAAUGCUCUUCUCUUGCUGCUUUACAAAGAAAGUAAAAGAAAAACUUGUUCUUCUUGAAAAGGAGAGAAUGAUGGUUCAAAAUAGAAAUGUGAAAAAAUAUUGUGACAAAGUUUUAAGUAUAUAGUUCUGGAAUGAGAGAAUAGAGUACAGAGCUGAAUUUUUAUUGGGUUCUAAGAUGAAUUUGACAUAUAUUUUACAGAAAAAGGGAUAGGUUUAUAGAUGAGACCUCAUUAAUAUGCCAGCUUAUUUUGAUCCAAGAGGAAGGUACAUGGACCGGGGGCUUGUAUGCUUGGUUAAAAUGUAAGUGGGUGCCAUAUGCAAUGAAUGGUCCCUCCAGAACAUCAUUGACUAGCAGCUAUAGGAGGGGUUCUCGGUAAGUGCUUUGUAUUCAUCAGCUUCUCACAAAGGUGAGCACUUUGAGUUACUCCUUUUUGCAAUGAAAGGACCUAUGACUCAGAGCAAUAAUGUGUCACAGAGCUAGAGAGUGGCAGUAGUAGGACUUGAACCUAGGUCUGCCUGGCCCUGAGCCCACAUCCUUAAGCAUCACUGUGUUAUCUAGUGGGUUGAACCAGGCAGAAUUUCCUUUUUUUUUUUUUUUUUUGUGGUUUAAAAUAGUUAUGUAUCAAUGACUUCAUACGACGAAAGAAUGUGCAUGGCACUAGAACUUUUAAAUGUUAAAGAGAUGAUCUUUAUAUUUUCUCCCUUUAAAACCUCAUGUGAGAAGGGUAAACAUUCAAAAAGUCUCUUCUUUCAUAGUUCAGAGAAAAAAAUCUUUCUUUUCUCCUAAUUUUCAUUCUAGGUGAAUGCAAUAUAAAGUUUGAAUUAAUAGUCUUACUUAUCGUAAGCAGGGAAUUGCACAAAAAUCUCAUUAUAAAGUUCAAGUGACAUGAUAUUAAUUUCUUGAUUUACCAUAGCAGUUGGUUGUGAAAUUAAAUGGAAGAAAGUAAUGCCAAAUUAUAGAAUGCUAUCAUGAUUCCUUGUUUUGUGACUGUGGGCAAGUAACUGAACUUAAUUCAGUCACACCAAUUUAAUAUGGUUUGUAGAGUUCCUGUGAAAAUGAAAUUAGAAAAUUGAGGUAAAGGACUUAGUAUAGUAGCUGAAUAAAUUUUCCCUAUUAUUGUUGUAAUUUUAUUUCCAGAUUUUUAAGUGUGCAUUUGGGAAUUGUAUCCGUUUUUAAGUGUGUAUUUGGGAUAUUCUGCGAUGGUUUGCUGAUACAUGUCAGCUAGGGGCUAAUAUAAAAACAACAUAGGAAUGAGCGCAUAAGCACUCCCAGGCUGUUGAAGCUUGGUUCUGAUACUUAAGCCGGUGGUGCUGUUUAUGAUCAAAGCUUCUUUCAGAGUUUAAAUUUAAUUUAAUGGAAAGCAUCCAACUUUGUUACCUGACCUGCAUGUGAGAAAUUUAGGCCCGUGCCAUUCAAUGAUGCUCUGAAGUGUUGCCUAUCUGCAUGUUUGCUCUUUCUCCUAAAAAAGACCCAAGAUGUGAAAGUUUGUAGCAGGCACAGCGCCUUUAAAAGUUAAAAGGCGCUCUCUCCUUCCCUUGCUGAAAGGCUCCUUCUUUAUCAGGGCUCUCACUAGAAUUUACAACCCCAGUGAGUCAGGCUGUUAAGUUCCGUGCUUCCCGGCAAGCGGAAGAGUCAAGUUCUGCAAGCUAUUCUUAGCUGUUCCCCACCCUGUAAUGCAAGACACUGGAUGAACUUGUGAAUGACACUUGUAAUGAAGACAACCAGGGUGGACUGUGUCAGCUUGAGUUACCAAGUCUCUGUUUUCCUUGGUGUGAUUAAGGAGGGUGGGGUGGGGGGAAGGAAAAAGAAAAAAACAACAACAAAGUCUUCUUGCAAUCCAGUACCUUCGCCGACACAGCACCAUGUGAGGGAACGUGCACUCAAAGUCGAAACAUGCUUCUUUGCAAUCCUUUGGAUUUCCACGCCACCAUUCUUUACCUAUAAUGAGCACUAAAUUGCAGAUUCCAAAGCAGUUAUAAUCUGUAUUUCAUUUGCAAGAUCUCAUUGUGAUUGGGAAUAAUUUUGAUAGAAAUAGUGGCGGUGCUUUUGAAUGGUAAGUAGAUUAGAAGAUUACAUCACCACAUGCAUCAACAAGAUAACAUUUUCCCUGGCAGUUUGGCCAUUAAAGUCAACACACACGUAUAAACUGCCUAUUCUCUAAGGAGAUAACUGUACCCUACCCAUUUUCCCAAGAAUCCAGACCUUUCCUAAAUUUAGCAGAAGGAAUGCACAUAUAUUCCUUUAUCUUUUUUUUUUAAUGUUUAUUUUUGACAGAGACAGAGACAGAGCAUGAGCUCGGGGGAGGGGCAGAGAGAGGGGGAGACACAGAAUGGGAAGCAGGCUCUGAGCCAGUCAGCGCAGAGACCGACGAAGGGCUGGAACUCACAGACCCCGAGAUCUUGACCUGAGCCAAAGCCGAAGUUGAAGGCUCAACCGAAGUUGGAGGCUGAACCGACUGAGCCACCCAGGCGCCCCUCCUUCAUUACAUUCUUAUGUCUGUUUCUUGAGUACACUUUUUUCAUCUAUAUGACUCUAGCACAUAUGCCAGACAUAUAGCAGGUACUAUGUAUCCAUACGAAUAUUCAAAUAAGUGUGUAUCAAUGGAAAAUGGGAUCAUAUUAUGUAUGUUCCUUUAUAAUCUGGCUUUCAAAAUCUAAUAAACAUCAUGGAACAUGAUGUUUACAUCUAUUAAUUGUAGGGAUACAUAUUUUUAGUAUGUAUCACUUCACAGCAGAAUCAUAAUUUAUUUAUCCGGUCCUUUCUCUUGGACAGGGAGUUUAUAAUUAUUAGAAAAAAGUUACACUGCAGGCUUUCUUUACUCAUUAAGUCAGUUGGCAAACAUUUACCAGUUGCCUUCUUUAGGCUAGACCCUAUUUAAACUCUGGGAAUAUCAUAGCAAACCAACAUCUUGGUGAGAGUAGAGAGAUAGUAAAGAAAAUAAGUAAGAAGAAUAUAUAAUAUGGAAUCAAGCUAAUCACUUUACGAGCUGCUAGUUUUCUUAGUAUGACACAUGAAUAAAUGUAAUUAUUAAACAUACAUAAAGAAAUGUUCAAAUGUGAUCAGUACUAUGGAGAAAGUUAAACACAGAGUGUUGGCAAGAUAUUUUAAAUAGAGUGUUCAGGGACAGCCUGACACUUGAAGGAGAGAGCACCUUAAGGGCAGGGAUCAUGUGUCUUGCUCAUCUUUAUGUGGCGACCCCUGCUCUCAUGAAGCUUAGAAUCUAAGGUCUCAUGUGAUCUGGGUUAUUUCCAAGUGGUGAGAUUUAGGAUGAUUUCUGUAUUGUGUGUGUGUGUGUGUGUGUGUGUGUGUGCAUAAAUAUAAACAUAAAUAUUUUAAAAUUUUUCUACAAUAACCACAUGCCAUUUUUAUAAGAAGAAAAAUGACAUCUUAAAAAAAAAAAAAAACGCCUCCUUAAAUUAGUUUGUUAGCAUGUCACACUGUAGACACAAGCCAGGACUGGAAGCCACCUCCUCCCUGAGCCUUAUUCACCUGAACUGCUGUUGUGCUGAGGCUCAUCCGUCACACGCACAGGCAAUCCUGUCUUCGCUCUACGUGCAAGACUCUGCAUUUGCAUCUUUAAGUUUCGGCCCUCGGUUGACCAAGUUUGGGAAAUUGUACGAUUUCGUGAGAAAAACUGAAGCAGGACUCACUGCACGGCAGCUUGAACGUGAAAGGUCAAGCAGACCUUGGGGAGAAAUUCACAGAGGCUUUUGCUCGUCUCUUUUAUCUUUUCUCCCCACUUUGGGAGGACGCUGCUUUCUCCCGUUGUUGGAGGUCAUUCUGCUCCCUGCAUCUCUGACAGGCUGCUCUAGGAACCCGUGUGCCAGAGAGUACUUGUGGAAGUAAACAAUGGGAGACCCACGAAUGAGAGACCCAUUCUGCUUCUGAGAGAAUGCUUUUAUAUUUUUGGGUAGUGUGUUUUUAGUUCACUCUGUUAUACUGAAAAAGCCCAAAUCUCCUCUAUGUAAAAAAGACUCUAAACCCCGUCUCUGGAAGCUUACCAGUAAGAAUGCCUUUAUUUCUAUAGCCAUUGUUUAACUUUGAUAUAAAAUUCCUAGUUCUUUUUAGUGAAAUAUUUCUCUUGCAGAGUGAAGAAGCAAGUUUAACAAGUACUUUUAAGGAAGGAAGAAAGGAAAGAAUUUGCUUAGCAGUUCAUAAUAUGUAUGAGUUUUAUUCACUCCUGGGUAUUGCAUAGAAGCUGAUAGAUUCCAAAUCAAUUUUACAUCUCUCCUGUGAUUUUCACAAUGGUCUAAGGUAGGAAUGUUAUUUUUGUAUAUGCUCUAUAAAUGAGAAAACUGAGAUACUAUAAAGAUAAGAGAAGUGCUUAAAGGCAUAAGGUUAACAUUUAUUGAGUACUUUCCUGUAUCAGGUAAGAUUCUGAGGACUUUAUAUGUAUUUAUUCAUUUACUUCUCACAAUAACCCAGAUGCUUUUGGUAUUAUUUCUAUUCUCAUUUUAUAGAUCAGGAAAUGAGGCAUUGAGGAAUUAAAUGACUUGGCCCAGGGCAUGCACAGCUGGUUAGUGGCAGAGAUGACGUUUACCCCUGCAGAAUUCUGGUUCUAACCCAGAACACUGGGAACUAUUUAGUACAGCUGCUCCACUGGAGUUGAUGGGAGACUGGGUCUAUCUAUGAUCAUGAGUCUUGGAAGGUCUCUAAGCUCUGGAGUUGUUAUCCCUGGCAUGGGUACUGCCUUGAGAUUCAUAAGGAAGCCAAAUUAAUUUUGGUAUUUUUAUAACUAUUACAGUAAACUCACCAUAAAAUGUAUUCGUAGCUACUCUAUUACAUUCUGUUAUCCGUAAAGGAUAAUGAAUUAACGAAAUACCUGUAAAUGCGCAUUCACAGGAAUAGUAGUUGUUUUUUGGUAGUAAGACCAACAUUCUUAGGAAAUGUUGAGGAUGCAGAUUUCCUCAAAAUUUCCUCCUUCCUGCAGGAAUCUCUUUAUGACAGCCAUGACAGAUAGAAACUUAUUUCUGCUUGAUCAGUCAUGGCAAGUCCCUUACUUUUGAAGCAUUUUGUUCUAUUUAGGGAUAACUAGUUGUUGGGAAUUUCAUAUAUAUCUAUAUCUCCCAGCACACGCACGCACGCACACACACACACACACACACACGCACAUAGGGUCAAAAUUUACGUCCUGAAUUUAGCAAAAUGUUUUGCUUUAAGGGUUCCAAGACACAGUUUGUAAUCUCUGCAAUUAAAUAGAGCUCCAGUUGCUCCGGUUUUAUCAAGAGGGUUUAGGAGCUCUUCACACACUGUUUGAGACAGGGAAGUAAAAAUAGAAACAAAAUGAUCAACAAAUGUACUAAUAGUUAUUAACAGGAGAGAAAAAUCUGACCUGUCACAAUACACUGUUAACUUCCAUAGUUACUUCCACUGUAUCUCUGAAACUUUCGCUAUAAAGCUAGGUUAUAGAAAUCAGACUAACGUAAGCAACAAUUUUGGCUUACAGGCUUGAAACAAAAAGAAAUUUGCACUGUAUGUAAAAAUGUGUGUGUGUGUGUGUGUGUGUGUGUGUGUGUGUGUGUAAGGGGAAUGAAAAGAGAAAGAUGUAGGAACGUUAAUUGCACAAAUUAAUUGAAAGGCUAUAUUUAUAACUGGGUCUUUCUUUUCAAAUGCCAACAUUUCAAGUAUUAAAAUUCAGGUUGAUAAGUAAUUAUCAAGCAUCUUCCAGGUGUCAGACUUUGUGUUAGGUACUGGGAAUACAGUGGUAAAAACACAGAUACGUUCUCUGUUCUCUGUCUUUAGGGCAUUCAUUGUGCUUGCGCAUGUGCCUGCCAAAGGCGUUAGUGGGACUGAAGUGCUGGCAACAUUCCGCUUGAUAAGCUUGUGCCUUGGCGUGGGGCCACACCUGCUCAGGGAAAAGGGGACCUUUAUCUAAGCAGCUCAGAUGUGCGGUAUGGGUUGAUGGCCACCUGCCUGCCUUUAUAGGGCUUACAUUCUAACAAGAGAGGCAGUCUUUAAACAAAUAACUAUGUGAUUGGUUACAAAAGAGAAGCAUAAGACACAGAGUUAUUUACCUGAGGUCAAAAGGCCAGGGAAAGCCCCCUGCAGAAAGUGACAUUUAAGAUGACUACUAAAGAAUAUGAGUAGGAAUUGAAGCCACAUUGGUUUAGAUAAAAAUAGCCAGCUCCCUUCUCCAUACCUCAUAUAGAAAGUUGUUGGUGGCACUGGCCCUUCAAACAAAUAUCAAAUAUUGGCUUAAAGACAAUUGUAAUUCACAGUGAGUUAGGGUAGGAACCGGAUAUCAAGGGGAGGACAAAGAAAGAUAGAAGGAGAAAAAGGAGGGACUAAAGAAAAAGUUACAUGAACAUUGACUUACCUACUUCUUUCACUGCAGCAAAUAGGAGCUUAAAACCCUAUAGCUGAACCUGGCUGGUUUCAACAAUAACAACAACAACAACAACAAUAACAACAAACAGGGAAAGUUCUACCAGUCAGUAAUAGUAUUAUUAUUAUUAUUAUUAUUAUUAUUAUUAUUUAGAAACUGAUGUUUGGUUGGGUAUACUUUUUUUAUUUUAAUGUUUUAUUUCUUUUUGAGACAGGGAGAGACAGAGCAUGAACAGCGGAGGGUCAGAGAGAGGGAGACACAGAAUCUGAAAAAUGCUCCAGGCUCUGAGUUGUCAGCACAGAGCCCGACGCGGGGCUCGAACUCACGGACCGCGAGAUCAUGACCUGAGCCGAAUUUGGCCGCUUAACCGACUGAGUCACCCAGGCACCCCUACUUUUUUUUAUUUUAAAUAAGCUCCAUGCCCAGUUUGGAGUUUGAACUCAUGACCUUGAGAUUAAGAGUCAGCCAGGCACCCCGGUUGGGUAUACUUUUUUUAAGGCAGGGAGGAAAAAGAAUAAGAGGGAGAGAGAGAGAGAGAGAGAGAGAAAGAAAGACAGAAGAACAUGUUGACUACUGUAUCUUCAAAGAUAUGCAGCAAUGUUCUCAGACACCUUUCUCCAGGGACCUAACUUGCUUUCUCUCCUUCCCUUCCUCUAUUCCUUUCUACCCGAAUGUGCUACUUCUACUUUUUUGGAUAGAGUCCAAGACCGUGUUUAGGCCUCAAAUCAAUGCACGCUUUUAAUCGAAACCUGUCAGUGGGGAAUCUGGUAGUUGGACAGUUAUUAAUAAAAUGGCAUUUUGAUUUAUCUUUGUGCGUGACGCUCCCUUGGAAUUCCUUGGAGUUGAGGUGACUGGCAAAACUCAGGCAUUUUUGCCAAAUACUAACAAAACACUGCUACUGAGUCCUGCUCAUACCCCGUCUUUAUUCUCAAAAUUGAAAGGAGACUAAUGCAUGAGGAGGAAAAAUACUUGAGUAAAUAGGAUAUGGAUUAAAACUUGCUUGAUAGCAGUUAUUAGAACUUUGGAAUGUGAGUGUCAGAAGGGAAAUCAUAAUCUGCAACAUUUUCAUUUUAUGGAAAUGUUAUAGAUAUGAAGGUACAAAGUUGUACAAUUAGUGAGCCAGUGACCCUGGAUUCACCAGUACAUAUGGGUUUAAACAUCUUGCUGACCAUAAAUAACUACGGUCAUAGUUAUUUUUAGGAUUAUUGGCAUGUUUAAAGGCUAGCAUUUAUUUAUGGUGAUUGGUUUAUUGACGUUAAUGGUUGUUUAGAAAGUAAAAGAGGGCGCCUGGGUGGCACAGUCGGUUAGGCGUCCGACUUCAGCUCAGGUCACGAUCUUGCGGUCCGAGAGUUCGAGCCCCGCGUCGGGCUCUGGGCUGAUGGCUCAGAGCCUGGAGCCUGUUUCCGAUUCUGUGUCUCCCUCUCUCUCUGCCCCUCCCCCGUUCAUGCUCUGUCUCUCUCUGUCUCAAAAAUAAAUAAACAUUAAAAAAAAAAAAAAAAGAAAGUAAAAGAGAAUGGUAGCCUAUGCCUAACUUUGUUCUUUAUUACUUUGCUUCAUGAAUGGAGUGAUCAUUCUGUUAAACUGGUCAAAUUUAGUUUCUUGUCUUCAAUAUGUGUUUCCUUGUUUAGUUCUCAAAAUAUUUUGAAACUUGAUAGAAAAUGAGAUACAUUCAUUCAUAAUGGUAUGUAUUGAUUUCUGUGAAAGAUCUGUUGAAAGAGUAGACUUUGGUUAAAAGGUUUUUAAGACUUUUUAAUGCUCUUUUCCAAUACUAUUACACUCCAUAAACGUAGGGAAUUAGAGUAGUGGAAAAAUUUAAAUGACAUAUGAAAUUACUAUGUGUCUGGAGAAAUCUUGGGUAGCUUCAAAUAUUCUCCCAGAAAUGCCUAGAUACCUCCAGAAACACUGAAAGCUAUAGUUAUCUACUCUGCUUUUUAAAGAUGACAAUAUUAUGUCUUAAAUAUAUGGCACUAUUGCCAAAAUUAUAAAGUACUUCAUGCUUAAAUGACAUUUUCUUGAAUCACAGUUAUUUUAGCAACUCUUUCUUCUUAACAAGUUCAACUGAGAUGUAAGAAAUCUUGAGAGAAUUUAUUUACCUGAUUGUAAUUUGACCUUUCACUGUUAAAGCCAAUAUUCAUAAAUGUCUCCAAAGGGCCAGGUCAGAAAAAACAGGAAGCAAAUCUCAGCUGAAGGAGAAUGUUCGUGGGCUACAUGUUUAGUGAUUAUGUGUGGAGGUCAAACUUGUCAGAUGUGACUCCCACUUUGAAUUCUGACCUGAGCCAUGCUACCUCUUUUACUCUGCCUCCAGUCAUUCAGCUAAUACAUAUUUUAAUAUCGUGUAGAUAUCUUUAGAUGAUAUUUUAAUGUUUUAUUUNNNNNNNNNNNNNNNNNNNNNNNNNNNNNNNNNNNNNNNNNNNNNNNNNNNNNNNNNNNNNNNNNNNNNNNNNNNNNNNNNNNNNNNNNNNNNNNNNNNNNNNNNNNNNNNNNNNNNNNNNNNNNNNNNNNNNNNNNNNNNNNNNNNNNNNNNNNNNNNNNNNNNNNNNNAGAGAGCGGGGGUGGGGGGGGGGAUAGAGGAUCUGAAGCAGACCCUGCUGACAGCAGAGAGCCCCAUGUGGGGCUCAAACUCACAAACCACAAGGUCACAAACCUGAGUGAAGUUGGAUGCUCAACUAACUGAACCACCCAGGCGCCCUGAUAUCUUUAGUUGAAAAUGAAAUCUAAGGGAUAGAGGUGGGAAACAUUUUUACUAUCAAGGGCAAUAUAUUAGUCAAGGGCAAUGUGAGUAACAAUUAUUCUAAUUUCUUACUUUUGGAACUAGAUAGCUGCCAAAGAGAAUAGAGAACAAAAGUCAUUUCACUAGGGCAGUACAUUAGCAGGAAGGGACUUAGAAAAGAGGAGAGGGAAAAAAAGCAAAAGAAAGAGGAUCAAUCACAGUAUGAGGAUAGAAAGAAAGACACAUCGAGAAAAAAUACAACAUAUGCUUGGUAAAGAAAGAAGACACAAACCAAUGCAUAUUUAGCAGUAAUGCUCUGGGGAGGAAAGUUGGUGGGCAGAGAGGAAAGAGCGCUAGUGACGUUCACUGGGGACAUGGACUGAGGUUUAGACUUUUAUCCAUUCUUUGGGUAAGGGAUUUUAAGUCUGUGUUGUGUUUCACAUUUCUAGCCAUAGGGGACAAUGGUGACAGUGGUGGAAUGUUUACAAAGUAUCGAAAGGGGUUGGGAUCUCUGGGAGAAGUAUCUGGGAUACGAGGAAUAGUCACCCACAAUUUGUUAGCUUCACUCAUCUAAGCAGCUUUCCUGACUUGGUUUUGUUUUGCAAAUACCUUACCAUAUUAGUGGAAAAUGGCUUCUUCAGGAAGAAGAUGGGGGCAGGGACAAAGAGAUGUUUCAGUUAACGGAAGACAAGGACCAGAGAAACAAUAGACCAAACGUUAUCAGGAGGGCUGACUUCUAGACUGUACCUGCCAGCUGUAUAGUCGGUUACUUAAAAUGUGAGUUUAUUCCCUUAUCCAUAAGGGAGGGUAAAACCUUGCUUUACUGGCUUGCCUUGAAAAUCAAAUGUAGCAGUGUAUUUUUUUCCUAAUUGUAAAGUGCACAACAUAAGAAAGUAACCACUGUCACUAUUAUUCCACUGGGCCUAGGGCCUAGUAUAAACUGGGCAUCAGGCUCCAACUUUUGAAGAGUUUAUGUAAUUCCAGAGACAAAACCUGCAAACUGAAUUCAAAUGGCAUUGCAUAAAUGAGACCUUUAUGUCUAGCGUCAGGAUACAGGAAUAAAUAAGACAUCACCUCUGCCCUCAGGGCGUUUAGAUUGGGGAAUUAGUGUAAAAAUAAAAUAAAUACACGUUCUAUUUUAAUGAUAUUAAUGUGGAUGUGAAGGCCAAAGAGAAGUGAUCAGAGUGUUCCAGGGUUAAACAGGAAAAUCUUAAGGGACGUGGAAGUUAAAGAAAAAGUCAGUUUAGAAGUGUAGUUAGGUUAUAGCACAAGGAUUGCCUCGGGAUUUGUGACAAUCCCAUUACUUGCUCAAGUUGGUUCUAUAUUUUUUAAACCACUGCCUUUUAAAACUCUCUCCUUUGAAAUGUACUUACUUUUGCUCUACACAUUUUAAACAUUUCAUUUUAGGAGAUUUCUGAAAUCUUUUCCAGCUGACCUGAUUUUACAUUAGACACCUUUGUGAUCAAAAAGGUAAUGGCAUACAUAGACAUAAAUCCCAAUCCUUCCCUGUCUGAAUAACAGGGACAAAUGAACCAAAGCAGAGAACAAAUUACUUUCAAUAUUAGAACUGUGUGGACUUUUUUGUAAUGUUUCUUACUUCUAACCCCAGUGCUAUCCUAAUGUGUUAGUUCUCCCCCACAAGCUGUUCUUCCUGGUUCUCUUUUUCUAUUAAGGAUAUUCUUAUUCCAAUCACAAAUUUCACUUCCUUUUUUUACAACCCUUACUCCUUUCUAUUGUCAAAUUCUGACUAAAGCUUUGUUUUAAAUAUUUUUGAUUUCAAUCCAUCUAUUCUCCACAGUUCCUAUUUUUGGGAUAUUUUAAGGGGCUUUUGCAAAUCUCUCUCUCCAUUCCAUCAUGCAUAUCACAGCCAGGUCAAUAAAUCAGGCUAUUUACUUAUUUAAAAACUUGAUGGUUUUCCUCCAUGGUUAAGUCAGAAUUACUGUAGACUUUAAGAUGAUCUAUGAUCUAGACUAGUCACCAGUCACUCACCUUUCUGAAGCCUCUACUGUAAUCUGAUUUACACACUUUCCCUAAAAGGCAGGGGCUGGGGGAGAGAGAGAGAGACAGAGAGAGAGAGAGAGAGGCAGGCCUUUUCAUUUUCCUUCCCAGGAGUGUCCUAGGAUGAAGGGGAGGGAAGGGAGAGGUGAGGACGAAAAAACAGAGGUGGUACUUACCAUCCCUCAAAAGAAUUCUGCUCCAAGCCACGGUUGUUCCUGGCUUAACUUUAAUAUCUAUUUCUCGUUUUUUUUUUUAAGUGGAAAAAAAAAUACUAAAGGAAAUAAAUGAAAGUAGAGAAAGUCAAGUUUAGAGUAGCUUUGUGAAUAGGUAUCAGAUCCUGUGCCUGCCACAUAGUGGGUGCUCAAUAAAUAUUUGUGGAAUAAAUAAAUGAAUGUUCAGGACCAGAAUUGAAAUGGGUGAAAUUGUGAGUUUUUUUCCUUCUUUCCCUGAUCACUCAGUUCCUCCACCUUUCCCCAUCACCUUGUUUCUCCUUUAUCCUGAGAACUCCUGACGCUGUCUGCAUCAAUGUGUACGCACUUGUGUGUGGGCAUGUGCACUUUUAAAAGUUAAUCGGAGAAAAAAAUUACAUUUAAAGCUUACUGAUUUUGUGGGGUGCCUGGGUGGCUCGGUCAGUUAAGCAACCGACUUCGGCUCAGGUCAUGAUCUCUCAGUCUGUGAGUUUGAGCCCUGCAUUGGGCUCUGUGCUGAUAGCUCAGAGCCUGGAGCCUGCUUCAGAUUCUGUCUCCUUCUCUCUCUGCCCCUCCUCCACUCACACUCUGUCUCUGUCUCUCAAAAAGUAAAUAAACAUUAAUUUUUUUAAAAAAAUAAAGCUUGCUAAUUUUGUAAUAUUUAUAGGAAAUAUUUUGCAUAUGAUAAAGAUAUUAUGACUUUGGCAUAUUUAACAAUGGUGUGUUAACUCUGUACAUAUAGUUAAUUUUCUUAUCAUUUUGGUGUAAAUGUACUGCAAAUAGGAAUUAAGCAAUUUGAAUUAUUUGGAUUUAUGUAGUCAGAUAUUGUGAAAAAUUGCUCAAUAUAGACUCAUUCAAAAUCAAAACCUUUUAAAAACAUACAUGAUCAGAUGGCUGGAGGAGGCAGAUGUAGGGCAGUGAUGUGUGUGUGUGUGUGUGAGAGAGAGAGAGAGAGAGAGAGAGAGCGAGCUUUCUUAGUACAGAGACUGAAAAUCUUGGUCCAAAUUUUAUUGUCCAAGGCAGGUAUUUGUGCUUAGAGAAUCCAUUUUUAGAAUUCCACACUGAACUUAAUUAGUACAAAGAGUUAGAAAAGACGUUCAUAGGUUUAAAUUAAAUAAUUUGUUUUUAUCAGAACUUCUGAUUAGUGUUUCAAUGGAAACAAGUUAAAUUUACUUCUGCAAUUGUUCCAUUUGGACAUGCUUGCUGGAAGUUAUAGUACUAAUAAGUUCUGAUUUUCCAACUACUAAAAACUGUUUUUAGUUUGGAAAUAACUCAAAUGUGUGGAGAUAAUUUUGACUUAAAAGACUGGAAGGAAAAGAUAAAAAACAAGAGGGAGGCAAACCAUAAGACCCUCUUAAAUACAGAAAACAAACUGAGGGGUGCUGGAGGGGAGGUGAAUGGGGGGCUUACUAAAUGGGUGAUGGACAUUAAGGAGGGCGCUUGUUGGGAUGAGCUCUGGGUGUUGUAUGUAAGUGGUGAAUCACGAAAUUCUACUCCUGAAAUCAUUAUUACACUAUAUGCUAACUAACUUGGAUUUAAAUAAAAUUAAAAAAAAAAUACUAGAAGAUCAUAAAAAUGGAAGCCUGAGAAAUUAUGGUGGAUCCUGCCUAAUUUUUACUCAUCUAUUUUUGCAUGUUAGCUCCAAUCGUAUCCCAGGGCCAAAGUUAACAAGGUACACAUUUGUGUGGAGCCCGGGGCAUGUAAUUGUGUUUAUUCGAUUCUGUGAAAAGGAGCAUUAGAAGUUUGAAGGUUUUCAUAGUAUGAGGCCACUGGCUGCUGACGGCUAAAAUAAAGCAGCCUGCAGUUUGUCUCCCUUCAACUUGUUCCCCCAUACCAUCUUUGCCUGAUAGCAUUUGGGUAUUUAUUUUAUCUGGAUGAGAAGGAAGGGUGUGUGCUACAAGAAUCUUUAGACUCCCUAGUUUCUUUCAAAACUCUCAAACUUUAGUAACUGCAAGUUAUACAUUUGUCUCUUGUGUUGAGUUAAGGUCAGCUUGUGGCCAAUACUCAUUGUGUGUUUGCUAUUGUUAUUAGGACUAAAUUAAAAAAAAAUCAUUUCUUCUUACGUCAAAGCUGCCUCUAGUUAAAAAGAAUCGAGGGUAGAGUUCUCCUAUUUCUUUUGAAGAGAAUCUAGAUGCAUAUUGAAAGAUAACUACUAAAUAUAUAAAGAGAAUAGUGCAAAGGGUGGAUGCUUACUCUAAAUCAUUAUUUCUUCCCAGAGAAAAGCAAUCACAAAAAUCCUAAACCUUAGCAUAAUGACAUUAGGGAAUCUAUAAGGAAGGAUGUGCUAGUGAGACAGAUUAAUUCUAAGUGAAGUUAUAAAUGUGGGAUGCUCCAGGCAGGUCAAUCUUAGAUAGCAUUUGACACAGAUGGAGAUUUGGGUGCCCUCCAUUCUCCUGGGUUUCCAGCUGUUCUUUCCACGGGUUGCCCAACCCCCCCAGAACAUCAUCCAGACCACCUCUGACUUACCCCAUCAGUAUACAUUUUUCACCCCUCCUUGUCCUCAUGUCAAACUUUCUGAGAAUUUAAUAUUUUUACCUAUUUAAAUAAUCUUUUCGAUAAUAACAAAAUUGAUUUCCGAUUCUGAUAACUUUAUAUGUAAUCAUUUUUUGAUGAUCUUUUCCAGUUUCCAUAUACACUAAAUCAUAUACAGUUAUAAUCAAAAGAUAUCUUUUGAUUAUAUAUAUAACAUAUAUAUUAUAUAUUAUUAAUAUAUAUUAAUUAUAUAUAUAGUUAUUAUAUAUAUAAUUUUGUAUUUUACUUUGUCCAUUCAGUAUCAUUCUCUGUAUCCUUUCUACAUUUGACUGUGGAGUCAGUCAUUAAAUUUCUAUACACAUCUUGAACAAUUUUCCUAUUCUUGAUUAUUUGGGUUGUUUUUAUAUUUUCGCUUAAAGUGCUCUUAUAAAUGUCUUUGCUCUUUUUUUUUUACUUGCAGAUUAUUUUCUUAGAACAAAUUCCAGAAGUUAUUAUUAGAACAAAGACAUACGUGUUUUUUUACGUAUCACGUCAAAAGGAUAAACGCUGUUAUGUAUCAACAUGCAUGGAUAUACACAUUAGCCAGGCAUCCUUCUAAAAGUAACAAGCAAAUUUCUAUUUAUUAGCAUUAAAUGUGUACAACAUAUUUGUCUCAUAAACCCUCAUUAGCCUAGUACCUGUGGUUUUAGGAAAUAAGUAAUUUGACUAACUCAAAUUAAUGUAUGAAUGACUGAUGGUCUUUUCUUCCCUCAUUUUAGAAAAAAAAAAUGUAAGCAACAUGUGUGUGCACACGGAUGUACAACCCUCUGAAUAUUUAGAGGCAAGAAACUUUCCUGGGUAUUCAAAUCACACCACAUAGCAGUGCCAAAUUUGCUUACUUAGGGAGGCCAGUUUAUUUUAUAUUUUUAUUAUUUUAAGAUAAUUUAUUGUCAAAUUGGCUAACAUUCAAUGUGUAAAGUGUGCUCUUGGUUUUUGGGGUGGAUUCCCAUGGUUCAUCGCUUCCACACAACACCCAGUGCUCAUCCCAACAAGUGCCCUCCUCAAUGCUCAUCACCCAUUUUCCCCUCCUCCCCANNNNNNNNNNNNNNNNNNNNCCCCCCCCCCCCCCCCCCCCCCCCCCAUCAAUCGUCAGUUUGUUCUCUGUAUGUAAGAGUCUUUUAUGGUUUGUCAGGGAGGCCAGUUUAAAGCAGAGUUUCAGUAGAUACUUACCAAGGGAAGGCAAUCAAUGUUUCUUCCAGGGUUAUAUUCUAAUUUAAUGAGAAAUACACUGGUUUUGCAGGUGAUCUGUUAGUUGCAAACACUUAUGGAGCCUUUUAUGUGUCAGCAGCACUGAGCCAGGUGCUGUGACAGCUGCAAAAAUGUAAAAAUCACACCCUCAGCCUUUCACCACUUUUUAGUCAGAUAAGGGAGAUACCACAUGGCCACAAAUCAAUAUAGUACUAAUUACAAAAUGACGUUUCAUCCAAAAAAUAAUGUGGGAGGUAAGUGGAGAAAGAGAUUACUUCGAUGAAGUGAUAAUUUAUCUUAAACCUAAAUAUUCAAUGUGAGUGAUAUACAGAGGAAGAAAAUUCCAUAUUCAUUUCCAUUUUAAGGCCAAUGAGAUUUAUUUUCAAAACUCAUUAUAUAAAGUUUUUUUUUUUUUGCCUUUAUCAGUGACAUUGACACAUGAAAAUAUUUUGGAACCCUUAUGAAAUUCCAACAUCCUUGUGGAAAGUGAACACACUAUAAUUUACCAAACACAUUUAUUUAUCAAGGCAUGAUCUCUUCCGGGGAAGAGGAGGGCUGAGAUUAAUGGGAGAACUGCUCAUGAAUUUUAAAGUUCAUUUGAUUUUUAGCGUGUCAUUAAGAUUAAUUCAGUAUAUAGUAUGUAUUUGUAGAUGAAUUAAUCAAAUGUACUGAAAUUAAUAAAAAGAUAUGGACAUCCUGUUUGAUAGUUGUCAUGACAUUAAAUGUGGAGCCGAAACCGUACACAGUUUAUUAAGGAAUAAAACAAAGGGGGCAAUUUGAAACUGGCACUUUAAUUCUUUCUCUUAGAACCACCCCUAAUUAAUCUUCAGUAGCUACUGCAGAAUCCUUAAAGUGGAGGGUUCUUUAGAAAUAGACAUAAACGUUUUCCUUCUUUAAAAUCACUGGCUCAUUCCAGUUCAAUCCCUAGAAUUUGAUCUUUUUUUCCAAGUUCUAGGCUAACUUUUGCUGUUCUAAAUGGUAAUCAGCAUUUUGGUAUUCUCUUAGGUUGAAGGGCUAAUUGCCUUAAGUGGAUUCUGUAUUUUAAUACUCAAGUCACGGAAUUAAAAGCUGUCCCACACGUAGCAUAUACCUUAAAGUUGUAGGCAGAGACUGAGGAAAUCCAGGAUGCAAAGCAGACUUUGACUAUUUCACUGUAAUAAUCAGGAUAGAUGUAAGGGGUGGGGAAAAAACCUUCGUACAGUUUGGAUCAAAACGGUAUUUGUUGACUCAGUCAUCCAAACCAAUGUUGAAAACCUAGAUUUCAGCUGAGAUUGGGAUACACCUGAAGCUGGGAUUUAUAGCAGCCAGGUUGUUCUCUGGGUACUCAUCUCUGGUUCUUUAUUCCGAUCAGCGUCUUUCUUUCCCACCACAGACUGAGGUUGCCACGUGGCUAGAAGCAGGCCACCAGUGGCUUCUGAAUUUUAUGUCUUAAAACUCUGCCAUCCAAGGUGGGGAUGGGUUUCAACAAUCCAUUCCCCAGUUAGACAAAUCCAGAAGAAAGCUCUCGUGAUCUAGCUUAGGUCAUCUGUUAGUACUGAAAAUGCUCCAGUGACAUAAUUAAUGGAGCACUUUCUAUCAGAAGCAAUGUCAAACACUUUAAAUGACUUUUUAACUUUGUUUCUCAUAAUAACUCUAUGAGUCAGGAAUUAUUAUAAUUUUUUAUUUGAUACAUGAUGUAAUUGAGGUAGAAAGAGUUAAGUGACUUGCCUAAAUCUCACAGCCAGGAUUUGGGUUCAGGAUUUGUUCCUGGGUCUUGAGCCCAAAUUGGCCUCCAUUACAUCUGUGGUUAACCCCCUCUGGGUCAGGUGCGCUCCUCCUCGUCCAUUGCCAGGUGGAGGGAUGAUGAAAGAACACAUCAACUCCCAGAGUAGUCGAGGUGGAGGGAGUUGGAGGUGAAGACAUGAGAGAGAAAGGACAAUAUUACAGAUGUCCUCUAUAUUCCUACCAUCACCUGCGGAGAUUCAGGUGGCAUUUGUUACCCCAGCUGGUGUUGAUGCCCUUAUUAAUACAGGAACAUACUUGAUGAGUCCCUUUACGUUUAACAGUAAGAAUCCUUAUUGUGUCCCCAGGUCUGCAGCCCAGAGAUCACAAUUUCACCUAAGUUUUAUUUUCUUUAUCAUUUCAUUUACUUACGUAUUAGAACUAGGAGAUAUGUUUGUUUCUUCUCGAGAUAAUUUCAGAGUUACUCGUGAAUGUUAUCCUUUCCUUCUCAAUUAAGUGAAUUAAUCAUUCUCAUUGGGAUAUUUACAGAUAAGUAACCCAAAUAUAUUUAUAUAUACGUGUCUAGGUAGUGACCUUUACAAUUGCUUGCUGAUCAAAAUAAUGCUUCUUGUUUCAAAAUUUAUUAAAAUACUAAAAGAUUUCAGAAAAUUUGUCUUUUAAAAAAGACUCAAGGGUGCCUGGGUGGCUCAGUUGGUUAACAUGUGACUUCGGCUCAGGUCAUGAUCUCACGGUUCAUGAGUUCAAGCCUGGUGUUGGGUCCUGUGCUGACAGCCCAGAGCCUGGAACCUGCUUCACAUUCUCUGUCUUCCUCUCUCUCUCUGCCUCUUUCCCACUUGGGCUCUCUUUCUCUCUCAAAAAUAAAUAAAUAAACAUUUAAAAAACUAUGGAGGGCUAAUGUUGCCUACAUAAAAAAAUAAACAUGAAAAAAGACUGAAAUCAGCUAUAUUUAUAUUUCAAGCAUAAGAGACUAAGCUACAAGGGGAGCUUGAAUUGCAUCUCAUUGCUCUUGGUACCAUACUGUUUCAUCAAUAUAAUUCUUUGAAAAACUGUUGCAGAAAAAAACACUGGCAAAAUGUGGAGCGGUUGAAUUCGAAGUUUUGGCUUACUCAACAGUCUAUUUUGCUAUUUUUUAAAUCUCUGUGGCAGUGUGUCUGCCACUAUACAGUUGCUCAUUUUGUUCCAUUUUUCCCCCUCUCUGUACCUUUUAGAGGUAAAUAACACCAAAUGAUUAUUUUUACUCUUUAAUGUUAACUAUUUACAGGUGGACCAUUCCUGACAUUUUUGUACAAUUGCUUUCCUGUUUUACCAAAGACAGCUAUUCAACUCAUCCCAAGUCAAUUGCCCUGCCUCAUUCAUUAUCUUUGCUGUUUCUUCCUAUUUAUUUACUGACUGGUUGAUUUUUAAUUCCAGUAUGGUUAGCAUGCAGUGUUAUGUUAGUUUCAGGGGUACAAUCUAGUGAUUCGACAAUUCUAUAUACUACUCAGUUCUCAUCAUGGUAAGUGUACUCUUAAUCCCCUUCACCUAUUUCACCCACCCCUUCCCUCCCCUCCAGUAACCACAACUUUGUUCUCUGUGUUUAAGAGUCUGUUUUUUGUUUGUCUCCUUGUUUUUCCCCUUGUUUAUUCUGUUUCUUAAAUUCCACUUGUGAAUGAAAUCAUAUGGUAUUUGUCUUUCUCUGACUGAUUUUUCUCACUUAGCAUUUUCCCUUCUAGAUCUAUCCAUGUUGUUGCAAAUGACAAGAUUUCAUUCUUUUUUGUCGUUAUUGUGAAUUAUGCUGCAAUCAACAUAGAGGUGCAUAUAUCUUUUUGAAUUAGUGUUUUCUUAUUCUGUGGGUAGAUACCCAGCAGUGGAAUUACUCGAACAUAUAGUAAUUCUAUAUUUAGUAUUUUGAGGAACCUCCAUACUGUUUUCCACAGUGGCUGCACUACCAGUUUGUAUUCCUACCAACAGUGCAAGAGGGUUCCUUUUUCUCCAUAUCCUUGCCAACACUUGUUUCUUGUGUUUUUGAUUUAAGCCAUUCUGACAGGUGUGAAGUGGCAUCUUGUAGUUUUGAUUUGCAUAUCCUUGAUGAUGAGUGAUGUUGAGCAUCUUUUCAUGUGUCUGUUGUUCAUCUGGAGGUCUUCUUUGGAGAAAUGUCUAUAUUUUAAUUGGAUUAUUUGUUUUUUGGUGUUGAGUUGUAUAAGUUCUUUAUAUAUUUUGGAUCCUAAUCCCUUAUCAGAAAUAUCAUUUGCAAAUAUCUUCUCUCAUUCAGUAGGUUGUCUGUUGUUUCUUCUUCAGUUUUCUCAUUUACUUAGUAUCAUGUCGAGACUCAGCUCAACAUGUCAGAUUUCCAUUUCUUUCUUUCUCCACCUCCUCCAUGGUUGAUAUUCUAGGUAAUGGUAGUUGCUAAUUACAUUUCGUUAAGCAGAGAUUCUCUGCUAACUUUUUGGUGACAAAGACAUAGUAGGUAUAUGAAACGAAUGAUUUCCAGGUUGACAGUUUAUGUAAUAGGCUUCUAGGGCCAUGUUGCUGCUUUUGUUUCUGGAAAAGGUCAAGUUUACCGCAUGUAAAAUUUGCCUUCUAACCUUGAGGCACCCUUUACACAGUUAUUAUGGUAUCUUGUAAUCUUUUGCUGCCCUGCUCAAAGAGAAAAUAAAUAUAAUAAAUGAAUUCAAUGUAUAAGGUAGUGAUUUCUAAUCUUUUUUGAGCCAUGUACCCAUUAGUCAGUUUGAGAAAACUGAUGGUCCCCCUCUUAGCAUAUUGUUUUCGUGUGCAUACUAUAAAAUACAUCCAAUAAAGGAAACCACUUAUAUUGAAAUACAGGCAUCAAAAUAUUUUUAUAUUCCUCUUUAUUCAUUAAAUAACAAGAUUUGGAGAUAGGUCUAAUACCCAUUGUAAUUUCAAAGCAGUGAACAGUGAUACUUUAUAUCUGUAAUACUUGUGAUAUAAAAAUACCUCUAAUUUUUAUAGGUAUUCAAAUCACAGGUAGUGGUUGAUUGAUUGCAUUCAUAAUUGAAGGAAAUGCACUUAGAGAUUAAUUAAAACAAAAUGUAAUAUUUUCCCCAUGAUGGAUACCUUGAAUUCUAUCCAUGGAUCUCUUGGAGUUAAGACGAACACUUUGGAUAGACUUAAGAACUGUUACAAAUUGUAGGUGUCUUAGUGUUUUACUUCUCUCUUAGGAAUUUGCAUCUUAAAAUAAGGCCAGGACAAGAAAAAUUCCUUACAAAAAAUAAUAAAUGUAUAAUAAUAGAACUUCAAGCAUUGUAUAGUCUUUUUUUUAUGGGCAGGACCUUUUUUUUUUUUCUGUAACAGUGGUACAUUUUUUUUUUUAAUGUUUAUUAUUGAGAGACAGAAUGAGCCAGAGCAUGAGCAUGGGAGGGGCAGACAGAGGAGGAGACACAGAAUUUGAAGCAGGCUCCAGGCUCUGAGCUGUCAGCACAGAGCCUGAUGUGGGGCUCGAACCCACCAACUGUGAGAUCAUGACCUGAGCUGAAGUCGGACGCCCAACCCACUGAGCCACCUAGGCGCCCCAUCAGUGGUACAUGUCUUAACAAACAUGACAAACUGAAACACACAUGAAUGCUGUUUUUAUCAAAGUUGCACCUCCAUGGGCUAUAAUCACAGUUGUGUAAUAUUUCUAACUCCAGAACCUCUUUGGGAAAAAUUCUUUCUCAACUUUCUUUGUAGAGAGAGUCCUAAUCUUUUGAGUCCAUGAUAAAUUUUCUUUCAAUAACAGAUUUUAUUUUUAGGAAGAGUCCAAGUCAUGAUGAAGUAAACUGUUUAGGAUUAAAAUUAAAAGGGUGUAACUUUUUAAUAUAUAAAUGUUUAUUUAUUUUGAGACAGAGAGAGAGAGAGAGAGAGAGAGCAAGCAUGUGAAUGCGUGCAUGAGCAGGGGAGAGGCAGAGAGAGAGGAGAGAGAGAAUCCCAACUAGACUUGUCAGCACAGAGCCUGAUGCAGGGCUCAAUCUCACCACUGGUGAGAUCAUAACCUAAGUUGAUAUCAAGAGUUGGACGUUUAGAUGACUGAGCCACCUAGGGCCCCCUAUAAAUUUAUUUUUAAGUUAAUUCUAAAAGAGAUUUCCAAAAUAUUUGAAGACUGGCAGAAACAUUAAAUAAACAUAUGGACUCUCCAAGGUAACUUCUUUGUAGAUAACAUUCGUCUGACCUCACAGGCCGUGUGUUAUAAUGUGGGAGCAGAGAGACCCUCCCACGGAAUUUAAAUUCCAUGGUUUAGGCAUCUGUCUUUUUGGCUUCAACAUUAAAUUAGUUCUGGUUACGUAAAUUCUGCCAAAUUCCAAAUGAAAUGAGUCACAAUUUAUGGUCAUGUCCAUUAGUUAGGAACUGUGUUUCAGAAUUUUCUGGGAUUCUGAUGCUUGAAGUGUACUGUGAUUUACAUUGAGAUGCCACUGUGGUAUUGUUUGAGAAGUCUUUAGCAGAACAGAAACAAAGUCUUGUCUAAAUUGGUGAUCAGAAGUAAUCAUGCUCUCCUUCCCUCCAUGAGUAUUUUAUGUAGGUGUAUUGAAUGAUGGAUUUCAUUCCUCUCUGCUUCCAAAUGCCUGAGUGACAAACAGCCCAUAGAGGCAAACAGACAUCUCUCCAACCAUUCCUUUCUCUCCUGCCCCAGGGGGUACUGAUGAUUUGUCAGCUUUUGGUGGACACUGGCAGCCUUGAAAUCUCUGGAAAUUUUUGACAUCCCUCCCUCAAACUUGCUGCAGAUUAUCAGAGGUAGCGGUCACUCUCCCUUCUUCUGCCAGAGAGGACUCAAGACACUCCCCCGCAACCUUGCCCAGUUUCUGAUCUGUCUUCCUCUUCCAGUGUGGUCAGCCCACAAGAAGGGGUAGGAGUGCCGUGGGAGUGGACUUGGAGUGUCUUCUUGAAGUAGCAAGUGGACCCUUCUCAUGUGUCAGCUUUCUGCUUUGCACAGUUGCUUCUGCAAGAAUAUUCUAUUACAUGCCUGUUAAGUUGAAUUUUCAGUACGAUAGCUCUAAUUUUAUUAUUUUUAAAAAAAUUUUAAAUAUUUAUUUAUUUUUGAGAGAGAGAGAGCGAGUGCGAGAGCGAGCGAGAGAGAGAGAGAGCGUGAGCAGGGGAGGAGCAGAAAGAGAGAGAGAGAGAGAGUAACAGAAUCUGAAAUAGGCUCCAGGCACUGAGCUGUCAGCACAGAGCCUGACAUGGGGCUCAAACUCACAGACUGUGAGAUCAUGACCUGGGCCGAAGUCAGAUGCUUAACCUACUGAGCCACCCACACACCCAGAUACCUCUAAUUUCAAAAGGCAAAUUGGCUUUGUGGAUUUGACUGAGAAUAUUAGUGUAUUAUUAUGGAAAACAACAACAAAGUAAUUGGCAAGUAAACUUUUAGUUUCUCCAAGUUGAGAAUUGCUGUAGUUUACUUUUUCUCUGGUUAGCCCUGAAAGCACAUAUUUUAAUCAAUUUUUGUAAACCAGAUCACUGAGUUUGUGGGUCCUAGAAUAGUGAUUCUCAAAUUUUAGAAUUUCCUAAAAAUUUGUUAAAACAUCCACUGCUGGGCUGCACCCCUAGAGUUUCUGAUUUAACAAGUCUGUGGCAGGGCCUGAGAAUUUGCAUGAUGUCAUGCUGCUGGUCAGGAAGCAGAUUUUGAGAACCACUGGCCUGGAGGAUGGGCCACAGAUCUAGAAUUACUGUUAAACUCUAAUAUAAUUUGAACCUCUAAUUUUCACGGAGUAUAAAUUUUAUUUUUUAUUUUAUUAAAAAAAAUUUUUUAACAUUUAUUUAUUUUUGAGAGACAGAGACAGAACAUGAGCAGGGGAGGGGCAGAGAGAGAGAGAGAGAUAGAGGGAGACACAAAAUCCAAAGCUUGAUUCACGUGGGCUUGAACUCAUGAACUGUGAGAUCAUGACCUGAGCCUAAGUCUGCUUCUCAACUGACUGAGCCACCCAGGCACCCCACGAGUAUAAAUUCGAAAUUCUUCUAGCAAAGACACAACUGAAUGUGGAUGUGUCCACUUACAAUUUAUAUUUCAUUACUAAUUUUCAGGCUUGCUAUCAGAUAUUAACUCCAUGAUUUAUUUAAAAAAUUUUUUUUAAUGUUUAUUUAUUUUUGAGACAGAGGGAGACAGAGCGUGAGUGGGGGAGGGGCAGAGAGAGAGACACACACACACACACACACACACACACACACACACACAGAACCCGAAACAGGCUCUAGGCUCUGGGCUGUCAGCACAGAGUCCGAUACGGGGCUUGAACCCAUGAACUGUGAGAUCAUGACCUGAGCUGAAGUUGGAUGCUCAACCAACUGAGCCACCCAGGUGCCCCAACUCCAUGAUUUAUAAUGAAACAUUUUUACAAACUGGCAAUAAGUGGGCGAGUAUUCAUGAAUUCACAUUUUUAAUCUGUGCUAAACCAACCAAAGUCAACUUCCUCACAGCCAUUACUUUUUUUUUCUAAUUUUUUUUAAGGUUUAUGCAUUUUUCAGAGACAGAGAGAGACAGAGUGUGAGGGGGAGAGGGCCAGACAGAGAGGGAGACACAGAAUCCAAAGCAGGCUCCGGCCUCUGAGCUGUCAGCAUAGACAUGGGGCUUGAACUCACAGAGUGUGAGAUCAUGACCUGAGCCGGAAGUCAGGUGCUCAACUGACUGAGUCACCCAGGUGCCCCUCCUCACAGCCAUUCCUUUUGCUUUUGAGCCACACUCUUGUAGGUAAUGUUUUUCAGCAGUUGUAAAAUCUCAAUUUCCACCAAGUUUGUUAUGUUGUUAGUUUGAAGUUGAUAAGUUUUUUUUUUUUUUUGAAGCACUACUGAUAAAUGGCUCCCAAGAUGUACCUGCUGUGAUGGGUAGAAAACAUAAUUGAUUUUAUAGUAGUGUUGAGUGCUCAGCUCUGGGACCUGCUUACACUUUGCAGAUGUGUGAAUUGAAUCAGAAUGAAAAGUUCUGUUGCUAAUCACCACAAGCCUCCAGACUUGGUUUGGGAAGUGAAUGGACCUGGGAUUGCUUUGCAUUCUGGAGGAAAAAUGAAAUCAAAGCCAUAACAUGUUUUUUUUUUUUUAUUUUUUUUAAUUUUUUUUUUUUUUAUGUUGGCUCUCAUGUUCUCUCACUUUAAAAAACACAUACCUUUUGAUCACUGUGCAGGUAUCUUAGUUCAGUUGUCUUCCUGAAAGAUUAAUGCUUUUGGGUUGAGGAGGUUUGCACAUAAGUGAAAGUAGCCUGGGUUAGGCCUAAUUCAUGCAAAGUAAUGAGUACGUGUCUCUCUUUUUUUUUAAUGGUUAUUUACUUUUGAUAGGGGAGGAGGGGCAAAGAGAGAGGAAGACAGAGGAUCUGAAGCAAGCUUUGUGCUGAGAGUAGAGAGCCAGGUGAGGCGCUUGAACACAUGAACCAUGAGCCCAUAACCUGAGCCCAAGUUGGACGCUUAACAGACUGAGCCAUCCACCUGCCCCAAUGAGUAUGUCUCUUUGUUCCAGUGUUCAUACUGGAAACUUCUGCAUGCUGUAAAGUAUUCACACAGCUGGGAAAGCAGAGUGGCAUCUAUGAAUGAGCCCAACCUUGGGGACAACGGUCUUGGGUUCAAAGGCCAACUGUGUCAUUUGUUAGCAAUGCUACCUUGGGCAGGUAUUCAGUUUCCUUGUCUGUCAAAUAAUAUACAGCCUACAGGCUCUGAGGGAUUAGAAACUCUUGGUGUAAAACACCUGGUGCACAGUAAAGCAGCCAAUAGAUGGAACUUAUUAUUAUAGACAGAAAUUCUUAAAUUUGCUCAUAAAUUUCAAAUUUUCUGACUUCUUCAUUUGCAAACGCACAGCUGCUGUAUUAAUUGAGAAAAAAAUUUCCUAAGUCCCUGAAUGAUAAUCAGAGAAAUACCUAUGUGCUGCCUACUGAGUUUUUUCAAGAUAAUUUAUGCUUGUUUUUCCUUACUCUCAUCUAUUGUGUACAGACGGAUUUGUGAUUGGUUUGUGGAAUUUUAAUAAGCACAUUAGAACUUUUGCCAGUUUGAAUUCUUUAAAGCAACUUUUAAUGACAUGACAGUUAUAAAGGGAAUUGCUAUUAGGAGUCUGGUAUAUGUUGAAAAUCCCUACCGUGAUGCGUAGCACAUACCAUUUACCCAAUAAAUAGUGAUUAUCAUUUGUGACUGUAAUAUUUAGAGGUUCCAUCAUACAUGCUUCCAGACUGAAGAUGUUUUAAAAAAGUUAGAGUGCUAUUUUUUUCUGACCAAUUCUAAUAUGGGUCCAGAGUCAGGAUGCAAGAUAAGGAUACCACUUCAGAGAGAUCUCCCAAAGAGCUGUUUCCUCUUAUUCCUUAUGGCUCCCUGGCCUCCUGGCCCAUGAAGGUGGUUUUCCCAGUGACUGUGAGAGUCACCACCAAAACAGCUGCCUCACAGGUAACUCUCUAGUCUGCCGGGUAAUCCCUCCCAGAGGCCAGUCUGCAAAGUCCACUGAAGAGCUGCAUUUAUCACUCAAGUUUCACUAUACUUAAAAGAAGAAAUUUGAUGGGGCUCCUGGGUGGCUCAGUCGGUUGAGUGUCCGACUUCAGCUCAGGUCAUUAUCUCGCAGAUAGUGGGUUCGAGCCCUGCAUCAGGCUCUGUGCUGACCGCUUGCUCAGAGCCUGGAGCCUGCUUCAGAUUCUGUGUCUCCUUCUCUCUCUGCCCCUCCCCCACUCACACUUUGUCUCACUCUGUUUCUCAAAAAUAAAUAAAUGUAAAAAAAAAUUAAAAGAAGAAAUUUGAAUAUGGACAUUUAACCCUGACAGAGCCAUUUUAUUAUUAUUAUUAUUAUUUAUAGCUGACAAAUGGUACAAAGGACAGGAAGAAAUUAACAUGGAUCCCAGUUAAGAAUGUUGUUCAACAAUAGGGUACAUUAUUUCACUGGUUUUUAGCCUACUCAAGCCUCCUGCUCUGGUGAGCCUCAGAAUGAUACGUUUCUGACUUCUCGAAAGAAACACUUAGCUCCAUGCACCCGCCUAUCCUUCCUCCCUCCAUGAGCUCACAAUGCAUGGAGGUAACCAAGAGGGGUGACUUAGGGUGGAGAGCCCCAAGGCCCUUCACUAUAAUCCCCAUUAACCUUCCCCAAAUCACCCCAAAUAAUUGGAAAUAUCACUGAAAAUCAUGCUGAAUGUGCACUUAUUUGCAAUGCGGGGACAAUGUGUUUUUCUACUCAGUUUAAGUCAGGUUGGUGUCUCUGGGCUUUGUCCAAACAGAGCAGCAUUUGGUACCUUACACUGCUCCUCCCUCUACAACUGCAGUGGAGGAAUUUUGGAUCUAUAAUUUAGAAAGUCUCCUGGACCAGCUUUUUGGAGGAAAUCAUCUCUAGGGCACUGCAAGUGGGAUUUAAUUAAUAGAAAUGCAAUGUCACACACACAUUUUCUGAAAUAAGGCAUGUCUGUAACUGAUGUUUGGAAGAUCUCCUGCUGGAAAUGAAAACAGGCCAAUAGAUUGUCUCUAGGUGGUCUUUUCCAAGCUUCAAAAAGUACAUUUUGCAUAGCAUCCUGGAGGUAUUGCCAAGAUCGAAGCUGGAAUACAAGUUCAUCUAAUAUAGCCCUGCAUGAAAAAUGUCCAUCAUGUGUAUUCCCCAAAUGAGGUAAAACAACCAAUCAUCAGGACUGGUUAGUAUUGUCUCUAGGCUUGGUUUAGGCUACUAUUUUCUGGGGGGAGGUUGGGAUUUGUCAGAGACAAGAACUUUAAUGGAUUUUUAGUUUUAAAAGGAUAAAAGGAGAAAGAAAAUCAAACUGAAACCUGCUUCUUAUAGCAACUGGAUUACUAUUUCCUAGCUCUUCUAUUUAUGAGGAGCAAAGGACUGAAGUUUAUGAUCUACUCAGAGUGCCUUUUGCAUUAGCCUGAGUGAGGAAAGAGCCCCUUUCAUCAGACUUACUCUUCAUGUUGAUUUGCCAGGCACUUUUACACUGACCAUAUUUCAGACUUUGUCUCUCUCUGCUAUACAAAGCCCAAAUUAUCAAAGCUGUGAUAUUAUCCUGUACAUAUCCUAAUCAGCUCCAGAAAAAUGAUCAAUCCUCUUGACUGUUUGUAAUUGUCUAUUUAUACCAGAGGUUGGCAAAUCUCUUGUGUAAAGAGCCAGGUAGUCAAUAUUUUAUACUUUGUAGGUCAUCACCGCUCAAUCCUGUGGUCAUAGUGAAAGACAAUAUGUAAAUGAGUAAGUCCGACUGUGUUCCAAUUACAUUUCAUUUUCCCAAGUAGGUGGCAGGUCAGAAUCGGUCUGUGGGCCUUAGUUGUAGAUCACUGAUUUAAACCAUUACCGUCGAGUCUAUAAAAAAGUAGGUUAUCUUAAAAGCUUCAAUACUCAAAAUAAUUAUUAGGGGUAAUAGUGCUUGAAAUGCAUAGCAAGCUCAACUUUUCCUUAAAAAAAUUAAAAGGGGGCGCCUGGGUAGCUCCGUUGGUUAAGCGGCCUACUGCUGUUCAUGAUCUUGUAGUUCGUGGGUUCGAGCCCUACAUCAGGCUCUGUGCUGACAGCUCAGAGCCUGGAGCCUGCUUCUGAUUCUGUUCUCCUUCUCUCUCGGCCCCCUCCCCAGUCACACAUGUCUCUCUCUUGCUCAAAAAUAAAUAAGAAAAAAAAAUUUUUAAAUUAAAAAGAGUAGGAGGCUUUUAAAACCACAUUGUCUACAGCAGCCAGAGACUGUGUGUCUUAUUAAUAUUAGGGAAAGGCGAAUGCCAUACAUCAAUACACAUUGAUGAGAAAGGCCAAUCUCUCCUUAAACUUAGAACACUGACGGAUCUUGGCACAGCAUUUCUAAAGUUUGCGCCCAAGAGAAUGCUUUAAGGAACAGAUGGAUCAAGCUCAAUCAAGAGCAUUUGUCUUCGAAAUACAUGGCUCAGGACAUAUGUUUUCCUGCCAGACAUAUAGUUGGAUUGUUUAAACUAUUAUGGAGCAUUUUUCCAUUAAUGAGAAAAUAGCUUUACGUGUGGGUCAAAAUGAAUAGUUUUCUCUAUCUGGAAUCCACUUUGCUGUGGUCUAGGUUGUUCUCGUUUUUGCUCAGCCAUUUAACAGAAAAAUGCAAUCGUGACCUGAAUAGGUUGUGUGCCCACAUGACCCACUGUCAUUUUGGCAGAAAUGUUGCAACCAGCUCCAUCUGAGGUCCUGACCGGCAGGGGGUUCCUUGUGAGUGUAGGUGCUAUGGCCUUUGAGACACCCACUCCUUCUGACUUUCACAGAUUAGGUUACCGGUGCUUGAAAAUGGAUUUGUAAUCAAGUCAUUUUCUCUAUUUUCUCCCUAAAAAUUUGUGCUCAUAAAAUGCCACACAGGUUCUAAGCAGUGGAAGCAGUUCCCUAGCAUUUGUUAUAGUCUUGGCACCACGCAUAGAAGUAGUGUUUCCAAAUUUAGCAACUAGAAACACAGGAGGCCCAGUGGGGUGUGAAUUGCAGAUAAGUGACAAAUAAUUUUUUUUUUUAGUAUAGGUAUUUAUGGCCAAUGAAAUACUUGGGACAUACUUAUACUAAAAAUAUUAUACUAAAUGUUUGUUGGGACAUAAUUAUACCAAAAACUUACUUGGCAUUUAUCUGAAGUUCAAAUUUAAUCAGGCAUACUAACAUACUGAGGCAUGUUCAAGUAAAUGGAGUUUUAGCCCAUACCAGGGUUUAUACUGGGUACUGCUACAAUUUAAAAUGCAAGUGCUUCUAACAGACAAUUCUUUUUUUUCCUUCCAUUCUGAACAUGAAUGUUUAUGCUGUGUAUAUAAUUUUGUUCUUUUUGGAAGAAAUCUAAAUCAUAGUAAAACAUUAUAAACUGAAACUUGACUACAGUCUGGAUAUUUAUUGUCUUAAAUUUAAAAUACAUGUAUAAAAAUCACAAAUUUCAGAGGAUACAAAGUAAUACAUUACAAAGGAUCACUACCUCUGUCGUGUAUAACACAUAAGUUGCAUUCUCUCUUUUUUUUAGGAUGAUGGAAUUUUAAAAUUUAUUUCAUUUAGUUUUAAUUAUUUUUAUUAUUUUUUAAAAUUUGCAUACAAGUUAGUACAUACUGCAACAAUGAUUUCAGGAGGAGAUUCCAGUGGUUCAUCCCCUAUGUAUAACACACAGUGCUCAUCCCAGCAAGUGUCUUCCUUAAUCUAGCAGACAAUUUUUAAUACCUUGAUGGUGAAUCUACCUUAGUUGAAUGUCUACCUCUAAAACACCUUUUGAAUGCAAGAAUGGGAAGAAGGCUUUUACUGUGGGAAUAUUUUUCCAUAAUUCAGGAUGGGCCAGAAAAGUUUAAAAUGAUUGAGUAUACUCUCUGUCUUAAUGAUAGAUUUUCUUUUUCAUUCUAAGACUUAUGGCAUUUUUUUUUUUUUUGGAAAUUAGAUAUAAGAAAAAAAAAAGAACAAAUCAACGAAAGAACAAAGGACACUUAUACUCAUCCAUACUGUGACUAUCCAGAGAAAACCACCAUAAACCACUGUAAACAAUUGGAGUUUAUCAGCACAGCCUUUUGCAUGUAAUGUACAUAAUAAGUAGGGCAGUUAAGAUAUCUUGAAUAUUCAAAAGUACUUCAGCUCUGAAAUUUCACCUUUACCUUUGAUUUCCAAAUAAGUAGGUUUGAUUCUCCUUCCCCCAUACUGUGGGAAGUCCAGGGCACCCAGAAUCUUUGAAAAGAUUCACCCAGAGCAUGUAACCUCGGUUUCAUGGAACCUCUUGCUCCCUGUUUCUCCUUUCAGGGACUCUCAUCCAUCCCUCUAGCUGUCACACCUCCUCUUUUCAUGUUGUUUAUUACCAUUAAAAACUGUCCCUUGACAGCCUUCCUCUGAAUAACGUUAACACAAAGAUGUUGGAUGCAUAUAAAAAAAAAUUUUAUAAUUAUUAUUGACUUGUACAGAAGGUUAGAAAGUUACUGGAGGUGAAUUAUACAACAUAGCACAGGAUGGCAGGUAACUUAAUACUGACUACUAGACAUCCUGUUCUUAGAAGUUUCUCUGCCAUCACCAGCUGUGGGGCUUUUUAACUUGGGCUCUGGCCACCUGCCUUAUUAUAAUUCCUAACCCAUUGCCCCCUUCCCAUAGCCUCCUUCUGCUUUGUCAUUAUCGUUCUAGAGCCCUGACAUACCCUUCCCCAGACUGUCUGCUUCCUUUCCCUUUAGAUUGGAAACCUGAAAAUUCUCGUUACUUUAUUAUGCAGAACACCUAGUAGAUUCUUUGUUUAUCUUCUCCCUGCCCUGGUCUUUCUCAGUGCUCAGACUUUCUCAAAAAAAGAUUCUAUUUUCUUAUAUUUACAUUUUAAAUUUAUACUUUUCGUACCUUUAUAUUCUGACUUUUACAACCAAGUCAGAUUAGUUCCUUUUAUUAACCUUUAAAUAUCUACCUAUCUCUAGAGAUAGAUACAUAAAUUUUUGAGAAAAAUUUAAUUUUGUAUAAAUUAUUUAUACAUAAUUUAUUAUAUUUAUGUAGGUAUAAAUUACAUAUAACUUAAUUAUAUAUAAAUAUAUAUAUGUAUGUGUGUGUGUGUGUAUGUGUAUGCCAGCUACCCAAAGAACCAGAGAAAACUUUGAAAGUAUGCUUUUUCUUUAACUUGAGCCAAACUAAUUAUUCUUGAAGACCCUCUUCAUGCCAGUCAUACUUAUGGGUGAAAGAACAUUUAUUCUCUUCCUUUUAUGCCCUGCUUUCCCUGAUCUUGCUCACCCCAGUCUCACAGAAUCUGUUGCAAAUGAGCUAUAUUUCAACUUUCAGAUUCAUGGUAUUAUGAUUCUGUCUAAAGUGCCCUUCAAGACUCAAGUGAGUCUUAUUUUACUUUAUUUUGGGGAUCAGUCUCCCCACUGCCCUGAUCCCCUCUGGCACUGGCACAUCACUAUGUGGUGGCCUUAUUUAUUUACUAGUCUUUCUGGGGUCUUCCUGCAAGCAAGGGUUACGUUUAACUCAACUCUCUCCGUUUGCUCACCACAGUGUCUAGAAAACAGUAGGUCCUCAGUAAAUAACUUGACUGCAUUGGUGAACCACUAUAUGGAGGAGUCAACAGACAGAUAAAAUCUCUGUCUUGCAACCUCUCUCCUUGACUACCUACUGAUGUGAUCAAGCAUUGCUUAGUAUCACAGGAAAGAUUUUGUCCUGAAAGCAAGUUGCUGUUUAAUUUUGAGGAGGAGGAUUCUGGGGGAGGUGCUGUCUUCAUAAUCUGAAAACACUCCUAGAUUUUCAUUGGUAGCAGUGAGAAGGAGAACCUUCCAUGCUUGUGAAAAUUACAUGGAGUAUUUGAUAUUAGCACCUGUGUUUAGAGUUUCAAUUGUAAACAAAAGAGUAGAAAGCAGUGGAAGCUCUAAAUCACUGUUGUGGUCAAAAUGUUUUUAUAAGAAAAUUUAAGACACUCUGACUUCUCCAUGAUAGAUUUUUUUUUUUUUUUUGAUACCCAUAAUGAGUCACAAUGGUUCCAGUGUUAUUUAUCUUGAAGCAGAGCUGUUUGGUCCUUCACCUGUGUCUUCGAGCUUAUUAUUAAUAUGUUAAUGUAGUUUGGACAUAUGACAAAGAGAAAUAAUGAACUUUCCGUAUUAAUGGAAACUUCUUAUCUACCCCAUUCUACCUUAUUCUUCUCACUCUUGGCCAGAGAUUACUGUCCUGGAUUUAGUGUUUAUAAUUCUCAUAAGAAUUUUGUGAUAACACUGCGUAUAAUCUAUACAAUUAUAUACAAUUGGUUUUGCAUUAAAAAUAUUACACAAAUUUUAUCAUGGGAGUUAAUUUUUAUAAUUUGUUUAUUUUCACAAUAUUAUAUAUCUAAGAGAUAGUUAUGUUGAUAUGUAUAAUUUUGGUAACAUUGCUUUGUACUAUUUCAAUGGAGAGAUGUGUCUUAUCUAUUUAUUCUUAGGAUGAUCGGCAUUUAUUUUAUUUUAUUUUAUUAUUUUAUUUUACCCUAUUAAAUUAUUUUUUAAAGUUUAUUUAUUUAUUUUGAGAGAGAGAGAGAGACAGAGAGAGAGGAGAAAACAAGCACAAGCAGGGGAGGAACAGAAAGAGAGAGAGAGAGAGAGAAUCCCAAGCAAGCUCUGCAGUGUCAGCACAGAGCAUGAUGCAGGGCUUGAAAUCAUGAAUGGUGAGAUCAUGACCUGAGCUGAAAUCAAGAGUUGGACUCUUAAAUGACUGAGACACCUAGGCACCCCAAGUUGAUAGGCAUUUAGAUUAUUUUCUUCUUGUUUUCCUGUAACGUAAAGCAUCAGUAAAAUAUUUACGUACAUGAUUUCUUGGGCCAGGUGCAAGAGUUUCUCUAGUAUGUACCUAGGGAUGGGGUUGCUAGGUUAAAGAGUAUAUUCAUAUUCUCCUUUUCUGGGAUAUUGCCAAAUUACUUUCCAAAGUGGACUUACCAAUUUGCUCUCCUAUUAGCUAUAUAUGACAUUACCUGUUGUUCCACAUCCUUGCCAGCAUUUGGUAUUGCCACUUUAGUGGAUAGGAAAUGAUACUUCAUUAUGAUUUUAAUUUGCUUUUUCCUGAUUACUAGUAAGAAUGAAUGCCUUUUUAUGUUUUGUUUUUUUUGGCAGUCAUGUUUCUUGUUCUGUGAAUUUCCUACUCCUAUAAUUUGCUAAUUAUUCCAUUUUUAAAAGAUGAUUUGUAGAGCCCUUAAAAUAUAUUUUUGACUUACAAAACCUUUUUUUGAUUUUGUGUUUUGCAAAUAUCCUUUUCCCAUCUAUGGGUUAGCAUAGUAGUUUUGCCAUCUACUGAUUUUCAUAGCAGUUAACUCAUUGUGUAAUAUUUGGUGUUUGCCUGUCUCUCUCAUAAUACUAUGAAGGCAAGUGAGAGCAGGGACAGACUUUUUCAUUUUUAUUUCCUUAGUCCCUAGCAUAGAUAACACCCAGUAAAAUUGCUUGAAUUUACAUGAGAGUGCUGCUUAACUUAAUUUAGAUUCUAUUUUAGAUUUGAGUUUUUUACUUAAGGCUUUCAAUCUGAGGGCAUUUAUGUCAACAUUGGCAUGUGAUACAUACAGAUGCUUGUUCAUAUACAUAUACACAUAUACAUAACACACACGUACACACAUACAUACAUUAAUACCACUUGAAAGCGCAGCACUUUUGCAACCAAGUCAGAUUAGUCUCUUUAAUUAACCUUAAAAAUAGGGCGUCCCUCAAUUUCCAGGCAAAUAAUCUCUUAGAACACUGCUCAGGUCAAGAUAGGGAAAUAUAUUCACAUGGGAUUGAAAUAACAGACGCAUUGCUAUUUCUAGUCCAGCAUUGUUGCAGAAGUAGAGACUAAGGAGGGCAUAUUUGCACAAUGCCUUGUCAUCUUUGCAGCUCAUCAAUAUCAGCAGCUGACACAGGCAAGUGUUUGUCAAUGAGUUCUAUUGGCUGACGCCGACCUCGCCGUUACAACCACUGCUUUCUUGACAUCUGCUAGUUUGACACGUGGCCCCAGACUCUGUGUGCAGCUGGUAUCUUGGACUUGAAUGUACUGUGAGUUCUCUGGCAUUGUUAGUGCAAUUCCUUGCUUUUGUCACCAUGUCACACCUUUGACAUCAACGAGAGCUGUGUACUGUAUCUGUGUUUCUUGUUUUGUAUUGCAGUAGCUAUGUUUUAGUCGAGGUGACUGUUUUUAAUGGAAGCAGACAACAGAUGUUAAAUUAGCUAUGGGCUGAUGCAUGCUCAAAUUUGGAUUUGUCCCAGGAAAAGUUGGUUUUACUGUAACUUAAAUGAUAAAAAAAAUAUGUAAAUUGUACGCUGGAGUGAGCAUUAUGAAUUCGAAGAAUUGCUUUGCAUUUAGGUCGUAACUAUUUCUUAAGAUUAAAUUUGGGAUUAUAAACUUUAAAAAUUUUUAAGAGUUAUAAGUAGGAAGAACUUGGGAAUGUAAAAAUGUAUCGUGAUUUGAAUGCUUUGCUAUUGAAAUACAUUUGAAAAUGCUUUUCUAACUUCUUAACAUGUUCUUAGUUAUAUGUUGGGAUUACGAAAUACCGAAGUCAUAGUUCUCAGUUUUCUCCCUUUGUCCUUCCUUGAACUUUCUCUCUCUCUCUUCUGGCCCCCCUUCCUAUCCCUCUUUCCUAACUUGGCAUCCAAACAUCCCUACAUUCUUCAGGUGAAACUUAGUGCUCCAAUUAUAAAGUUUCAUUCCUUGUUCUGCACCCCCCAACCCCCCAAUAAUGUCCUUUGAAACUAAGGGUUAUCCACAGUACUAACUGGAAAUAGCAUUGCUGUUUAUGGUGCUCUACAUAAUUAUGUUUACUGUUGGGUGUGGCAAGCCUUGAUGACGGACUAAUAAAUGGGUACUGAAUGUUCCUGCAGCUUUUAUUUGUGAGGCAUUGCUCAUGCAGUCAGGGUCACAUUACCUAGAUGUAAGUGAAGUAAGACAGGGAGAAGAGGAUUUAUCUAAUCUACCAUGAAUGCAUUCCUGAGUGAUUUGAUUGUUUCUCUAUGCCUUCCAGCAGGUGGAUGUUUGUGCGUGUACAUAGCUAAGAACCUUUUUUUUUUAUUUGGUUAAGAAGGGGAGAAAAGUACUCUUUGUCUUGCAAAUUCAGGCAUUUUUUUUUCUUCUUCUAGAAUUUCUCAAAUCAGGAAGAUUAGCCCACUUUUGAUUGCUUUUUCAGUGUAUUCCCCCCAGGGUAGCACAGCCAUAACCACUCCCAAUAUAUCCUGGCCAUUGAAAAAGCCUUUUUUUUAUCUCAGAGUCACGGGGCAGUUGAAUAGGGAAUUUUUAGUCCACAAGUUCAGCCAUCGUGAAUUUCUGUAAAAUUUUGUCUCCGUCUUACUUCUUUUCUGUAUAAAAGUUAUAUGUUAAGACUUGAAGCUUAUUUAAGAUGAUGCCAGAAGUUACUCCAGAACUGUGUUCAGAUUCUGUAGCCAACACCCACUUCCUGAAGAUGCAAUAGCAUGGAUAGAUCUGAUUUCAAAUCUGCUGUACUUCUCCUGAAGAUAACGAUUGACAAGGCAUUUCAUCCAUGGGAGACUUUUCAUUGUUAGUAAAUCCCAAGCUCCAAAUUCAAGUUCCUUAAAUGGAUGCUAGAAGGACAUGGGCAGGCUAACUGAGAGUCAGGUUCAUCUUUACCUCCCUCCUUUCUCUAGAUUCCAGCCUCACAGUUUCUACUGGCUCCUGUCCCAAGUGGCAUCUCUGAGAAGCAUUGUAGGAUAAUGGUUAAGAUUACAGUGCCAGAAAGACCUGGAUUUGAGUUCUAGAUCUGUCAUUUACUUGGUGUAUGACCUUGUGAGAGGUUAUUUAACCAUUUCUCAAAAUUAUAAAGACUUUAUUUUUUAGAGCAAUUUAAGGCACACAGAAAAAUUGAGGGAAGCUACAGAUAUUUCCCACAUACCCACUGCCCUCACAUAUCCAUAGCUUCUCCCAUUUUUUACAUUCCUCACCACAGUGGUACAUUUGUUAUACUUGAUUAAUCUAUAUGGAGAGGUUAUAAUCACUCAAAUCAAUAGAUUACCUAAGGGUUCACUCUUGGUGCUGUACAUUCUAGGGGUUUGGACAAAUAUGUAAUGAAUGUAUCAAUCACUACUGUGUCAUACAGAGUACUUUUACUGCCUUUAAAAGCCUCUUUGUUCUAUCUAUUCAUCCCCUCCUUCUCCAUCAACCCCUGGCAACUACAGAUCUUUUUACUGUGUCCAUAGUUUUGCAUUUUCUAGAAUGUCAUAUAGGUGGAAUUAUACAGUAUAUAGCCUUUUCAGAUUGGAUUCUUUCACUUUGUAAUAUACGUUUAAGUUUCCUCCAUGUUUCUUCAUGGCUUGAUAGUUCAUUCCUUUUUGGCACUGAAUAAUAAUAUUCCAUUUUUGUUGCUUCCAAGUGUCAGCAAUUGUGAAGAAAGCUGCUAUAAACAUCUGUGUGCAGGUUUCUGUGUAGACUUUUUUUUAUUGACAUAUAGUUGACACAAAAUGUUACAUUUGUUUCAGGUGUACAACAUAAUGAUUCAACAAACUUAUAUGCUAUGUUAUGCUCAUCACAAGUGUAGCUAUCGUCUGUUACCAUACAACGCUAUUAUAAUACCAUUGACUAUAUUCCGUAUGCUGUACCUUUUAUCCCUGUGACUUAUACAUCCCAUAACUGGAAGCCUAUAUCUCCCACUCACCUUUGAUCGUUUUAGCCAUCAUCCUAACCGCCCUUUCCUCUGGCAACCAUCAGUUUAUUCUCGUACUUAUCAGUCUAUUUCUGCUUUUUGUUUGUUUAUUCAUUUGUUUUGUUAUUUAGAUAACACAUGCAAGUGAAAUCAUAUAGUAUUUGUCUUUUUCCCACUUAUUUCACAAAUGCAAAUCAAAACCAUGAGAUUUUACCUUGUACCUAUCAGAACGGCUAGAAUCAAAAAGACAAGAAAUGGCAAGUGUUGGUGAGGAUGUGGAGAAAAAGGAACACUUGUGCACUAUUAUUGUGGAAUGUAAAUUGGCAUAGCUACUGUGGAAAGCAGUACUGCAUUUGGAGGUUCCUCCAAAUAUUAUCCAGUGAUUCCACUAAUGGGUAUUUACCCAAAGAAAAUGAAAAUACUAAUUCAAAAAAUAUAUGCACCCCUAUGUUUACUGCAACAUUAUUUUCAAUAGCCAAAAUAUGGAAACAACCUUGGUUUCCAUUGUUAGAUGAAUGGAUAAGAAAGAGGUGGUGUAUAUAUAUACAAUGGAAUAUUACUCACUCAUAAACAAAUGAGAUUUUGUCAUCAAACGUAAGUUUUUAACUCCUUUGCGUAAAUACCUCAGCCUGCAAUUGCUGGAUCAUAGCAGAGUAUGUUCAGUUUUGUAAGAAACCACCAGAGUAUCUUCUUAAGUGGCCAUGCCAUUUUUCAUUCAUACCAGUGAUAAAUGAGCAUAUCUGUUGCUCUUCAUCUUUGCCAGCAUUUGGUGUUGCCAGUAUGUGUGUGUGUGUGUAUAUUCAUAUAUAUGUGUGUGUGUGUGUAUGUGUGUGUGUGUAUUUUUGUUUUGUUUUGGUUGUUGUUGUUUGUUUGUUUUGUAUUUUGACCAUUGUAAUAGGUAUGUAGUAGUCUCUCAUCGUCUUAAUUUGAAUUUUCCUGAUGACAUAUGAUGUGGAGUAUCUUUUCAUAUGCUUAUUUGCCAUCUGUAUCUCUUUUGCUGAGAUGUCUGUUAAGGUGCUCGGCCCGUUUUUUUUACAAUUUUUUUUAAUGUUUAUUUAUUUUUGAAGGAGAGAAAGGGAGAGCAUGAAUGGGGAAGGAACAGAGAGAGAGGGAGACCCAGAAUUCAAAGUAGGCUCCAGGCUCUGAGCUGUCAGCACAGAGACAGACGCAGGGCUCCAACCCACGAACUGGGAGAUCUGAUGUGAGCCAAAGUCAGACGCUCAACUGACUGAGUCACCCAGGCACCCCAUGUGUUUGGCCCAUUUUAAAAUUUGGGUGUUUGUUUUUUAAUUUUUGAGUUUUCAGUGUUCUUUGUUUAUUUUGAAUAACUGUACUUUAUCAGAUGUGUCUUUUGCAAAUAUUUUCUUUCAGUCUGUGGCUUAUCUUCUCAUCUCCUUGACCUUGUCUUUUGCAGAACAGAGGUUUUUAAUUUUAAUUGUCAGACAUAGCAGUUAUUUCUUUCAUGGGUAAUGUAUUUGCUAUUGUAUCUAAACAUUGCUUACCAUAUUUGAGGUCAUCUGGAUUUUCUCCUAUGUCAUUCAUUGUUUAGGAGUUUUAUAGAUUUGAGUUCUACAUUUAGCUUUAUGAUUCAUUUUGAGUUCAUUUUUGUGAAGGGUGCAACGUCUGGGUCUAGAUUUUCUGUUUGUUUGUUUGCAUGUGCAUGUCCAGUUGUUCCAGCACCAUUUGUUGAAAAGACCAUCUUUACUCUAUUGCCUUUGUUCCUUUGUUAGAGAACAGUUGGCUGUAUUUAUGUGGGUCUAUUUCUGGGAUCUUUAUUCUGCUAUACUGAUCUAUUUCUCUAAUCUUUCAUCAAUACCAUACCAAUUGAUUACUAAAGCUUUGUGGUAAGUCUUGAAGUCAGGUAGUCCUCCAACUUGCUUCUUCUUCAAUAUUGUGUUGGCUAUUCUGGGUCUUUGCCUCCCCAUGUGAACUUUGGAGUGAGUUUGUUGAUGUCUACAAAAUAACUGCCUUGGAUUUUGAUUGGUAUCACACUGAAUCUCUAAAUCAAGUUUGCAAGAACUGACCUCUUUACAAUAUCGAGUCUUCCUUCUAUGAACAUAGAAUAUCUCUCCAUUUAUUUAGUUCUUUGAUUUUGUUCAUCAGAAUUUGUAGAUUUUCUCAUAUAGAUCUUAUGCAUAUUUCACUGGAUAUAUAUAUAUAUAUAUAUAUAUAUAUAUAUUUCAUUUUGAGGGGUGCUAAUGUACAUGGUAUUGUGUUUUUAAUUUCAAAUUCUUCUGUUCAUUGCUGUUAUAUAAGAAAACAAUUGAGUUUUGUAUAUUAAUCUUUUAUCCUGCCACCUUGCUAUAAUUGCUUAUUAGUGCCAGGAUUUUUUUUUUUUUGAUUGAUUUUUUUCUGACUUUCUAUAUAGACAUUCAUGGCACCUGUGAACAAAGACAGUUUUAUUUUUUCCUUCUCAAUCUGUAUACCUUCUAGUUCCUUUUCCUCUCAAAUUGCAUUAACUAGAACUUCCAGUACAAUGUUGAAAAGGUGUAGUGAGAAAGGACAUCCUUACCUUGUACCUUGUACUUAGUUGGAAAACUGAGUUUCUCACCAUUAAGUAUGAUAUGAGCUGUAGAGUAUUUUGUAGAUAUUAUUUAUCAAGUUGAGGAAAUUCCCCUCUAUUCCUAGUUUACUGAGAGUUUUUUUUUUUUUUAUCAUGAAUGGGUGUUGGAUUUUGUCAAAUGCUUUUUCUGCAUCUAUUAUUGAUCUUGUGAUUUUUCUUUUUCAGCCUAUUGGUAUGAUGGGUUACAUUAAUUGAUUUUUGGAUGUUGAACUAGCCUUGCAUAAGUGGGAUGAAUCCCAUUUGGUCAUUGUGUAUCAUUAUUUUUAUACAAUUUUAGAUUCAAUUUGCUAAAUUUUGUUAAGGAUUCUUGUAUCCAUAUUCAUGAGAGAUCUUGGUCUGUAGUUUCCUUCCCUUCCCUUCCCUUCCCUUCCCUUCCCUUUCCUUUCCUUUCCUUUCCUUUCCUUUCCUUUCCUUUCCUUUCCUUUCCUUUCCUUUCCUUUCCUUUCCUUUCUCUUCAUUUCUUUUUUUGUAAUCUCUUUACCUAGUCUUGGUAUUAAUAUAAUGCUGGCCUCACAGACUGAGGUAGGAAGUAUUCCCCCUACUUAUAUCUUCUGAAAGAGAUUAUAGAGAAUUGGUAUAAUUUAUUCUUUAAGUGUUUGAUAGAAUUCAUUAGUGAACAUACCUGGGCUUUCUGUUUUAGGUUAUUAAUGAUUCAAUUCCUUUAAUAGAUAUAGGCCUAUUCAGAUCAUCUGUUUCUUUUAAUGUAAAUUUUGGCAAAUUUUCUAUCCAGGAAUUAGUCCAUUUAAUCUACAUUAUCAAAUUUGUGGGCGUAUAGGUAUUCAUAAUAUUCCUUUAUUAUUCUUUUAAUGUCCAUAGGAUCUUUAGUGAUGUCACCAUAAACCAUCUCCUAGAUCAAGCAAUAGAACCUCACUAACACCCCAGAAAACCCUUAUUCCCCUUGCCUUUGAAGAGGUCAUUGUGUAUGGAGCUGCUUACCAGUGGUUGGCCUUAUACAAGAAUACAUUUUCUUAUUAGGUUUAAAACUUUGGAACAACCUCUGACUCCUCUUUCUCUUUCAUACUCCAAGUACAGUUUAUAAGCCUCAUCAUGGCUCUAUUCUCAAAAUAUAUCCAGUCUCUGCCCAAUUCUCACUUCCUCUAUAACUACUCUCCUGGUCCCAAACUCAUGCUUUCUUGCCUGGAUUAGUGCAAAAUCAUUGCCUACUCUCCUUGCUUCCACCUUUGUCCCCUUUUGGAGUAUUUUCUUCUUUUGUUUUUUUAAAUGUAAACUUUUAUUCUCUUGCAAAGCUUCAGAUUUCUCCAUUCUUGUCCUUUCCCAGAAUAUUGAAUCAUAACAAAUCAGUUAAAAUAAGUCAAUGCAGUUAAUAUCUGUUGCCAAAUAAUCUGUUGUACGUUCAAAAUAAGAAAGUAGUGAUAAUUCAGGUGCAUUUUUGUUUCAGGCUAACGAAGAAUUCAUUACAGCACAGUAAGAAGUGAUAUUUGUGAUUUGUUAGAACUAAUAUAUUUUGUACACAAUUUUUAACGUAUAUAUUCUUUUCAUAUUUUUAUCUUUUUAUUAAAAAAGUCAAAGCUUCAGAGAAGUUCCGAGAAAAGCAAAAUGGAGACAAAAGACCUUUCAUCUAGAUUCACCAGUUCUUUAAACAUUUUGCCAAGUUGCUUUAUAUCUCUGUCUGUCUAUCUACCUACCUACCUACCUAUCUACCUACCAUCAUCUUCUUGUUCAUUUUUUUUAACCAGUUGAGAGUAAGCAGUGGACAUCGUGAUAUUUGAUCCUUGAAUACUUCAUCAUGGAUCUUUUAAGAAUAUUUUCUUGUGGCACCUGGGUGGCUCAGAUGGUUAAGCGUCUGACUCUUGGUCUUGGCUCAGGUCAUGAUCUCAUGGUUUGUGAGUUUGAACCCUGCAUCAGUCUCUGCACUGAUAGUGCAGAGCCUGCUUGGGAUUCUCUCUCCUCCCCUCUCUCUGCCCCUCCCCUGCUCUCUUUCUGUCUCAAAAUAAAGAAAUAAACAUUAAAAAAUAAUAUUUUUUUGUAUAACCCCAGCAUAGUUGUCAAAUUUAGGAAAUUUAGCAUAGAUACAAUACUGUUUUCCAACAUAUUUUCUGUAUUAACUUCCUCCACAGCUGCUACCCUGCUCCCAAAAAUCAUCCUUUCUUGCCUGGAUUAGUGCAAAAGUAGUGUAUUGUGCUUUCUAGCAUUGUUUCUUUUCUUUUCUUUUUAAAAAGUUUUUUUUUUAAAGUUAUUUAUUUUUGAGAGACAAAGACAGAGUGUGAGUGGGGGAGGGGCAGAGAGAGAGGGAGACACAGAAUCUGAAGCAGACUCCAGGCUCUGAGCUGUCAGCACAGAGCCUGAUGCAGGGCUCGAACCCAUGAACCGUGAGAUCAUGACCUGAGCCAAAGUCGGGUGUUUAACCGACUGAGCCACUCAGGUGUCCCUAGAAUUGUUUCUUUUCAAUCCAGAAUGCAAUCCAGGGUCCUGUGUUAUGUUUAGAUGUCUUUUUUUGUUUCCUUUAUACAGGACAUUUUAUCAGCUUUUCUGACAUUGAUAUUUUGAAGAGUACAGAAUUCUUUUUGCAGUCCUUUGAUUUGAGUGUGGUUUUUUUGGAUUGUUUCCUCAUGAUUAGAUUGAGGCUGUUAUUUUUGUCCAGAAUGAAAUGUAAGUGAUAUAUUCUUCUUACCGUAUCACAUUGGAAGACACAUAGUUUUAGUUUGUUCACUUAAUGUUAACAUUGAUCACUUGGUUAAGGUGAUGUCUACCAUAUUUGUCUAUUGUAAAGGUAUUAUUAUUUUUUUUGUAAUUAAUAAGUGAUCUGUGAGGAGAUACUUUGAGACAUACAUCUGUUCUUAAAUAAACUUUCACUUGGUGGCUUUGGGAUUCAUUGAAGAGUCUUUCCUGAAUCAUUUCUUAUAGUGAGAGCUCUAAAGUUGUGAUUUUUGUAACUGUAACAUUGCUUCUACUUUUGUUAGUGAUCUGCUGCUAGGGAGUACAGAACUACUCCCUACCCCAUCUAGUUAUGUAUGCGUGUGUAAUUUUUAGUAUCAUUUUGCACCUCUCUUGACUCAACUUUGGAAUCAGUCAUUUUUCCAGAUUUGGUUAGUUCUAGGGGGAUAUGGCAUAGAGGAAUCAAGAUUUGGGUGCCUUGUGUGUUUACUGCUUCUUGGGUGUCAUUGCUUCUAGAUCCUUUCAACAGACAAAGCUAGGAAAAACAAAUGUCUUUAACGCUAUCCCUAAUAGCCAACAGAUCAGGGUUCUUUCUUAUUGUUCCUCUUCAUAUUUGUAUCUGUUUUCUCUCACAGUGAAGGGUUUACAACUGCAUGCAUCACUAUGGAUUAAUUUUACGAAUAAAACAUUUUAAAAGUUUGUACUGCAUCCAUUUAUAGAGUAAAAAAAAAACACAUGUGACACAAAUCUAUGCUCUUAGAAGUCAGAAUAGCAAUUAGCCUUAGCAAAGAGAUGGUAAUUGAAAGGAGGAUGAAGGUUUUGGGGUCCUGGUGAGGUUCUGUUUCUUGAGCUGGGAGAUGAUUGUAAGGGUAUGUUCAAUUUUAUAAAUUCUUUGAGUUGUACACUUAUAUUUCCUGCAUUUUUUGAUAUCUAAAUUCAACCUCAAAAAUUACUUGGAUUGCUUUCUUUUGUUUUCCUUCGUGUGAUUAUGUUGUCAGUUCUAUUUCUGAUUAGGUUAAAUUUGUCGUUGUUUAUAUUCAUUUUUUGAGUCCUUUCCCAUUAUUGUUAACUUAAUUUUAUUUUUUUAGACACGUACAACAUUAGCAUGAUUUCAAAAGUCAAAGCUCUAUAAAAAUGUGUACUUGGAGAAGUACCCUUCCUCCAGUAUCCCUCCUGCUUUUCCUUCCCCUCCUCAGUAAUCAAUUUGUUCAUUUGUGUUUUAUCAUUUUCUGUUUUCUGUUCCUAAUAUAGCAGCCAGAAUGAUUCUUUCAAAGAAUAGCGAGAUCAUGUUACAGCGUUGUUCCCAAUAUUCCAAUAGUUUCCCAUGCCACUCGGAGUGAAGAUUAAAGCCUUUACAGUGGCUAAAAUGACCCAAGCAGUCUGGCCCCUAUCUUCAAGCGCCACAGUCCUCAUCUCUCUACAGCUCUUCCCCAGGAUCACUCAUCCUAAGCCACCAAGCUCUGCUCUUCACCCAGAUAUUCUCUCAACCUUGGGUCCUGCCUUUUGCUACCCUUUCUUCAUUGAAUAUUUCCCCCUAGAUAAAUGCAUGACUUUUCUCACUUCCUUCAAGUCUCUUCUUAAAAGUCACCUGGGUGGCUUUCCUGUCCAGUUUAUUUAAAUCUAUUGUAUUCCCACCUCUCCAUUCUGGCACACCAUAUGCAUCUUCACGCUUAUUUUUUUUCUCAGCACGAUCGCAGUCUAAUACGUAACUUAUUUGUAUUAUUUAUUGUUUCAAGAAAAGGAAGGGUUACUUGAAGAAAAAAAGAAAUAGAAAGGAAGGAAAUCAGGAAGGAAAGAUAGGGCAAAGGGGGAAUAAAUGCAGUAAAAGGAGCCAAGGCAUUUCAAAUAAGUUGGGACACCCUUGAAAGCUCUUGGUGGCUUCCCCUGAGUGCACCUGCUUCUUCAAAACGGGGCAACUGCUCUCUGGAGUGUGUGACAGUGAGAAGGAAGAGAAUCCAAGCUCUCAACCCACAUGGGUACAUUUGUUGGAAGAACAUUACCUCACCUUCAAUAAAAGAAAGCAGAUUUGGCCUGGGUGAUGCUGUUAUUUACUGAACUGAUUAAGAAAACUUUAAAAAGCACACGAUAUAUUCAGAUGCUUAUGACGGAAAUUCCUUUUUUGGACUCUUCUGCAGUGUGAGAUCCUUGCCCUUUGCCAGAAGGCCCAUCUGCCAAAUGGCAGCCAGACUUUCUAUAGAGCCUAAACUCUCCUUGGGGAACGUGUCUAAAGAGAAAACACCUGGGUGGGCUGAACUUACUCUUUAUUGAACUCAACUUCUUGAGCUGAGCAGCUCUCUUUGGGAAUUGUCAGAAAGGGCCAGGGUAUUAUUUUCACUUUAGCUCUUGUUCCAAAGAGGAAAUGUUCAUAUGCUCAUGCUCAUGUGUUUCCCAAACUCCACUCAUUUAGUUUAUAGCAGGUGGUUUUAUAAUUGAAGUAAAAUAGCUUAUUUUUUCUGAAGAAAAUCCAAGACAAAAGAGAGAAACUUCUGUGCAGUCUCUGAGGCAUCAAUUUCCCUGAAUAUGUCAAAGGUCAGACGCUGAAGGUUCAGGGAAGAAAGAGAUGAGCAUAUGGCCUGCGUAGGAGAUCUGAGAGACAGGGCAAGGCACAUCCAUAUAGGACUGGCAAAGUGUUGACUUAUUUUACCCUUCUUUGCUUCCCCUGGGGUUUUGGGGCAGAUGACACAAUCUUGAAGACAGAAUUGGAUGAGGCCAAAGAGCGUGACCAGCCAUAAAGACUGUGUCAUGAUUUAACCUUAUACAUGAAGAUAAAUGCCACUCAUCCAUCCUCCCUGCCUCUCUAGCCUCUUUUUCUAAAUCACAGGGCAUCAGAGAAUGCCUCCUGAAGCACAUCUGGCUCUCUGAUGUUAGGCAAACCUGCUUCUCAACUUGGGUAUUGUGUACCCAUCCCUGUUAAGCUCAAAAAACGUUGUGGCAUUAAAAUCCGCUGCCAUGCUUGAAUAGCUAAUUGUACCUAUUGCAGUGGUUUCUAACUGGGUAAGCACAUCUCAGUGGUGUUGCCCGGUUAACCAUUAGGGCAUCAGAAGAAAUUAUUAAUCUGUAAUAAUUUUAAUUUUCACCACUUUAGUACCCACUUAGGUACAUGUUUUACGUGAUACAUCCGUGCAGGGGUACAGACAGGGGUACAGGCACAAGAUGAUCAACAAACCAACAAAAUAUGCAUGUAUGUGCCCAAAUUAAUUUUUUAAUGCAUGCAUACUGUGGAAAUCUUGGAGACCACUGUGUCAGUAAUGAUAGACUACCUCAAUUUAAGUAACCUUUAUGUACUGACACCUUGAGACUGAGACUUCCCCUUCAGUAAGUGUUUAACAAACACUUAAGUGCUUUUUGUAUCCUUAACAUGGCCAAGGAUGCUGACUCACUGGGAGGGAUUUUCUUCAUUUAUUUAUAUAUUUAUUUUAAUUUUUUUUGAUGUUUAUUCAUUUUUUGACAGAGCGUGAGCGGGGAGGGGCAGAGAGAGAGGGAGACACAGAAUCUGAAGCAGGUUCCAGGCUCUGAACUGUCAGCGCAGAGCCUGGCGCAGGGCUUGAACUCAAAAAUCAUGAGAUCAUGACCAGAGCCGAAGUUGGACGCUUAACCAACUGCACCUCUUCAUUUAUUUUUUUAAAUGGGCAUGCUCAUUCUUAUGGAUGGCAACUCAAUACAUUUCCUCAAAAUAUUUGCAUUAAGAGUUCCCCCUUGUCGCCAAAAUAAACAUUUAUUUUUGAGGCCCAUUGCAAAGAAUCGGAAUUGUUUCUAGUGGAACCCAGAAAGAAAAAAAAAAAGAAAGGAAAUAAAAUAUUUAGACAAAACUAUGGUGAUUUCAAAGAAAAAAGUAUAUUCAGAAGUGUAAUGUAGCCACCUUUCUUUUCAAAGACAGCUGAGUGUCUCUAAUGGUUUUAGUUGGAUUAAUAAUAAAUUGACUCAGGAUUUAAGAGGCAUCUACGAAUUUGCAGAGAUUGUCUACACCAUUACCAACACGGAGUUAUAUAACUUUAAUUAUUAAACAGAGAAGUCCUUUCACAACAAUAACAUUUCAACACAGCAAAAAUGCCUAUUUUCAGGACAUAAAUACUAUGGGGAACUACCUUAGCUGAGCUUGAAUUUUAUAUUGCCAGAUUAGUUUUGUAUUCCAAGGCCACAUAAUUUUACUCCAGGGGUUCAAAGCCUUACUUUGUCUCUUAAUGGUGUGCAGGAUGUGACUGAAUAUACAUUUCAGUUGUGAGCAGUUACAGGUUAGCUCAAGUCCCUGGAUUCCAGGACUAACUACCUCUGAUGGACAGUGUAUACAACACAGGUCUAAUUUGGAGACUGUCCCUUCUAUAGAAUGUUCAUCCCUGACCAUUUGAAUCUUUCAGGAACCAGACUCAGAAUCCUCUUAAAACAACAUCUCAACAAAACAAAACAAAACAAAACAAAACAAAAUAAAACAAAACAUUAUGUCCCAUAACACCAAAUAUACUUGAGGAAUUUGCUAAAAGCCUAAAUGAAACCCACAUACUUGAGUUUAUUUUUUAAAUUCCAAUUUCUAUUGAACAAACUUAUUAAAAAAAACAUUUAGUUUGUACUGCUGUCAAACAGUUUUAAAAGCUAUAAGACUGCAGUAAAAUGAGAACUUUCUUAUGGGAAAAACAAAGCAAAACAAAGCAAAACGAUGGAACUGCAACAGAACAAGCCAUCAAUAUUUUCUCCCAAUGUAAUUGGACUUGACCCAGUACAUUUGUCUUAAGUCUCUGAAUUAAAUAGCACUAAGGUCCUCAUGGUGCCCAUACUACCACAUUUGAUUUUCUCAUUAAUCUAUACUGAUAGCACCUCUCCCCACUAAAAAAAAAAAUUGUUUAAUGUUUAUUUAUUUUUGAGAGGGAGAGAGUGAGACAGAGUGUGAGUGGGGGAGGGCCAGAGAGAGGGAGACACAGAAUCCCAAGCAGGCUCCAGGCUCUGAGCUGUCAGCACAGAGCCUGACGCGGGGCUCGAACCCAUGGACCUCGAAUUUCUAGACCUCGAAUUCAUGGACCGUGAGAUCAUGACCUGAGCUGAAGUCGGAAGCCCAACCGACUGAGCCACCCAGGUACCCCAAACCUCUCCCCAUUUUAAAUAACCUUGUCUCUAUUUCAGAAGCAGCAUUCACAGAGGGAUGAAAAUGAGUCCAAUAAUCUGUCGGUUCUUCUUUGUUUUCUGAUUAUUCUUUCCUUGUGCUUUUGCACGCUGAAUGUGUGAAGAAACAUGAAGGCAGGGCUCGCAUUUUGACUUCCCAUCAUCAGAGGCAAUCUGAUCCUUGAGGGAUUUAAAUUUUCUCCUCAACUCUUCCAUCGGUAAUAAUCCCUGUAGCAUGUCUCUGCUGGCAGGAAGUGCUCAGACAGCUGUAUAAAGUGUGCCCGUCAGCUCAGAAACCAUCUUAAGAUACCAAAGAUAUGCCCAAGAGUUACAUCAAGGAUGUCUAUUCUCUGUAGGAAUAAACUAGACUUAAAAAAAAUUACUCAGUCCCUUCCGGGAACAUACUACUGCCUCCAUUUUCCACAUGUUUGACGUUCUUCUGUUUUUCACUAUAAUUUGUUUUUAUAUUCACUUUACGUACAGAACAACUUUCUUUGACCAUUAAUACUUCUGACUCCAAGUCAGUCAUUUUAACCCUCUCUAUCUGAGCAGCUGGGUGGAAUGGGAAUCAGUCUUCAUAAUGGAAUAAGCACCACUUGUAUACAGGGCACUCUAUCUGGGCUAAGCGUUUGUGUGUGUGUGUGUGUGUGCGUGUGUGUGCGUGAGAAAGAGAGAGAGAGAGAGAGGGAGAGAGGAUCACAAAUACACCACACACGUGGGUGGCAGUAUGGCAGAUUUUGUUGUUCAUGACUUUAAAAUUCUCAAGGAAUCCCGAGGUGUCCAGUUGUGGAGUCAUGACGUCAUCUUCAAUCAUCUCCUCCUCAGAUCAAUGCUCGUGGUCCUUCUAAACCCGAGGCCUCCAGUUAUACAGACCCUUUUAAUUAUACUCACACGUGUUAUUUGAGAACUUGAAAACAUUCAGCACAUUCAAAAAUUCGUAUUUACUCUCCUACUUCUUCAUGCUUAACUAACUUCAUGACUCCUACUUUUAAUUCUUCGGUUUUCAGAGCCAUAUCCAUAUUGAGCAACAUUGGCACUACACACAAAUUGUGUUUCUGAAUACUAAUCCAUGAAGAUGGUUUUCAGACGGGAAAUUGCAGCUAAGUGAAGCGCUGAUAAUUUGUCAACCGGGAUACUUUUUACAACGUGACUUGACUCAGAUCUGAAAUUAAAUACCUGGGAGAGAGGAUUAAAAAUAGAAUGGGUUUCAGUUUCAGAAAGUGAAUUCUUGAAGUGUCUUUCCUGUCCUUUUCAUUCAAUCUAUCACACACCCUGGCACUACUAUUUCUGCAAACGAGGGAGGGUUUCCUCUGGGGCUUCUAGAUUGCAAUGGAACCAAAAGGGCUGAAUUCUUUUGGCUGGAUUUUUUUUUUUUUCUGCAGACUGGUGAUUUGCUAUUUCAGUGCAGAUCAUAAUAUAUUGGCCUAGCCAGCCAUAGCAUAUACUGUUUUAUUUAUGUGUAGGCAAAUAGUACCAAGAAAAUCAGGCAGUUUUUGAGAACUUAUUUCUUUAUGGAUCGUAUUUGCCCCAUCAAAAUAUAGUUAAUGUAUCAUUAAUACUUAUUAAUAUACUAAUAGUGUUAUAAUAAUGAUAUAAAUAGCAUUAUCAUGCAUUCAUAGUAUCCUAGCACCGAAGAAUUCAUGAUACAAGAAUAGAGUGGUUUUAAACAGUUUCUUAACAAUUGCAGAAAUUUAAGGUGCUGAGAGGGUUUGUAAGAAUUACAGUUCUAUUGAUUUUACAGUGCUUCAGUGUAUGGUUUGAGCAGUUUUACUGUAGAACAGGUUACAGAAUUAUUGAAUCUUAGAGCUGUGCAAAGCCCUCAGAUCACCUUGUCUAAUGGUAUUUGAGUUUGUGAACUACAAAUCUACUGUGUGUGUGUGUGUGUGUGUGUGUGUGUGUGUUCAUAUAAAUCUGAAACGGUCUCUGAAAUAGUGCUUACUGGGAUAUUUUCUAUUAAAUUCGAUUCUGUUCCAUUCUCUUUUCUACUUCAUUUAAACAAUGCAAAGCAGAAUUCUUUCAUAGCCCCACCAUGAAGCUUGAAAAACACAGAUCUAAUAAUCUAGCAGCUGUGUUUUACAGCUAAGGAAUCUGGGGUCCUCAAACAUGAAGUGACUUGUCUAAGGUCAAACAGCUCAUUAGCAGCUAACGUGACUGACUGUUCAUUUAAAAACACAUAUGGAAUUUCAGAUUCAAGUCAUUCAGCAUUUGGCGCUUACGCAAAGCUUUAUGGUGAAUCCAGAAAGCACUUCCAAACUGUUGUGCUGGAAGUCAGGGGGCGGGCAUUUCCUAGUACCACUGCGCAUGCACUCACACACUUCCUGAUCUCUGUUACAGGCCCUGUGGCACCCCAGGUCUGGAAAACCUGACCCAUAUUGUUAGCUUUUGGUUACCUUCGGAUCUUUAGUACAGCUGUGGGAGAAACAAGAAAUUCCUGCGUUUGGCUGUAUUUCUAACUCUAAGACUUGGGGAACCUUCAUGGACUCCAAGGCCGGAGAAGUUUCAAGAGCAGGUGCCAGGUGAACUUCCGGCUCUGCUCCAGGCCACUGUCAUAGGGUGUGACUUUGAGCAAGUCUUUUAACAUUUUGUACCUUAAUUUUUCUCAUCUGCAAUAUGGGGCUAAUAGUAUCACAUCAUUCUUCCUCCCCAGCUUUUACUUUGAGGACCAAACGAGAGAAGAGAAUGGAAGCUUUUUCAAAGACCAAAAUGAUACCUACAAAAAAGAGGAUUAAAAAAAUUUCCUACUUGCCAAAAUGCAGUAUAAUUUUUCCUUUAUAUUUAGAAAAAUAGGCAUGAACAUGAUUAUUUGUGAUCGUUCUUGUAUCUGAAGAAAUGACAUUAGUAAAAUCAAAAGUUGGGUUUGCUAGUUAUAUUUUUCCAUACAUACCAAAAUAAAUGGAGCUACUAAGAUGUUUUUAUGUAUGUCUCCUAAAAGUAUCUUGAUAACAGCCAGGGGUACACGUAUUGCACUGAAGGUGGUGGCGGUGAACAGCAGAUGGGAAACUAGGAUCUAGCCCCGCCCUCCGCCUGCUCCCUGUGUGAACAUGGACAAAUAAAUAGCUCCAUCUCAGACAGGCCUGGUUUCCUCACUGGAGAAAUGAGGACGCUCCUGCCAUCUUCACAGUGUUGUAAGGAUGUUUAGGACGUAAUGCAGGGGUUGGUAGACCAGCUCUACUAGGCUGCACCUGGCCCACCAUCCGAUUUUGUAAAUAAAAUUGAAUGAGAACAUCAGCAUGCCCACUGACUUGCACAUUUUUUAUGGCUGCCUUUACCUUCAAUGGCAGAGGUCAGUGGUUGUGACAGAGAUGGUAUGAUCCAAAAAGCUUAAAAUAUUUGCUCUCUGGCUCCUUAUAGAACAACUUUGCCAACUCCUGACGGUUAUCUGAUAAGGAACGUAAAGAACUUUACCAUUUCUGCCACAUGGUAAAUGAGCCUGGAUAAUUUUCUUAUAUCAAUGACCUAAAUUUUUUUUUUCCUUGGUAUCAAAAUUAAUUCUCAGGAAAGUACCUGAAACUUGCUAUAAGAUAAAAGAAUGAACCUCAAGGUGUUUUAGGCUUAAUCAGCAGGUGGAGGGAGGUAUUUGAAGGGCAAAUCAGACUUGCUCUUUGUCCAUUUCUGCAAAAGUGACCACUAAUCUCUUCAUCCUUCAUUUUUUCCUUCCUCAAACCCCUUUGAAAGUAUCUGUGGAGUGUUCCUGAGGGAUUUUUGCCUUUUCCUAAGAACACAUUAUCACUGUGGGCCAGACACCUUCACCUGGGUGGGUCUCUGGGAUGAGUCCAAGUCAUUUUCCUUUUCCCCAUUGAUUUCUUGGGAAAAAAUAUGUUUCCCUUGUCUGAAAAUUUUUUUUUUUGUUAGAUUUACAAGCCUAAAGAAAGGGGAAGAAAUAAUUUCUGGUUUUUAUUCAUAAUUUCUGAGCUAUGGUAAGUUUCCUAUAAAGUGGAUACUUUUGCUAUCUCUUUGGCCUAAAAAAUGUAACCCUUUCUUACCACCUAUGGAUCCCAGCUAUGUCUCAAAGUAAAUUAGACGCACUCAGAAACUCAGCAUCUGUUUCUUCUCCCAGUUAUACAUUCAGAAAUAGGAUCUGUCUCUCUUUUGAAAGCAGUUUCCCUAGCAACUAAACCACCCUUACAUGAUCAGAGCAGUUUGUCACUUUUGAAGUUUGACUUUCUGUCAAGGCCUUCUGGCUCAGGGGGGUGAAGAAUACAACAUCCAAACACAAACAUUUCUAAAACACUCACGUGGGGAAUUACAAAUGGCAACUGCAUGUAGGUGACUUUUCUGUAGACUGUGUGUCAGUCCCCAACACCAGCACCCUCCCUAAGCGACCAGUGAAGAUAGCGAUCUCUUGAAGUAGCUAUCUUUGUAAUAGAGAAACAGAUGGGAGUGAUUCUUAAAGUGGCUAAAUUACCAUAAAGAUAUAUUCUGGGAAACAGCGGGUAGACCAAGAUAGGGGAAGAUUUGCAGCAGGCAGCCACACAAAGUGAACUCACCUUGUGAUUGUUCAAUCAUUCUUAUCUCAAGGAUAAAAUAAAAGUAGCGGUCACAGCUCAGCCACAUCCUUGGAACACAGACUUUUGCACCCUCUGCCAGUAAAGGGUAUGGACAGAGCAAGAGGGUGGUGGAUCUUGGCUAAGGCUCAACUGGCUUUUCAUUUAUUACUUUUAUUAGUUAGCCUUGGUUACUUGCCCUCUUGCUGCUGUCCUGCAUGCCAGUGACCAGAGUCAGCACCUCAUGCAAUUUCAGGUCUCCUUCUCCUCCACCGUCUUCUUCCAGGUCCUGUAUCUAAUGUAACUAGAGUGCAUUGGGGGGUGAACAGUGUUUGGGGCAGAAGCGGGGAGUAAACAGAAAAGUUGCCUGUUUUUUUUUUUGUCAUUUUCUACUUACCCUUUUGCAAAACUUUGUCUCAAAACUUAUGAGACAUAUAAAAAUGUAUGAGACUUUUGGAGUCCACCAGCUGAGCUUGGAGUGAAAGAGAAUUGGGGCAUAUGAGAGGAGGGUGAAAAAGUGGAAGCUUAGUUUCCUCACAAUGAACUUGCUUUCCUGAUCUCAAGACGAAUGGCAGGUUUUCUUCCUUGGAAGACUGUCCACUGAGAUCUUGGGGAUUCAUUAUAUGGAGUUCAAUGAAAAAGGCAUGUUCUGCAAAACAAGGGACUUAAAUCUUUUGUAACAUCAGUGCCGAUUCAAAGCAACUUCUGAGUACCUUUCUAAGGCAUGAGUGGAUGCAUUUUAAGAAUGUCAUACAGAUUAUAUUUUUUAGGUUAGGCAAUGAAUAGGUUGUAUAAAGUAUUCUACAAAUAUUUAUCACACCUCUUGUAGGUUUAAUAUUAAAAGUGGUAUUGGGGGAAGAGAAGCAUAAAGUCCAGACCCAGGGUGGUGGACACAGAGAUGUGGCAUCCUGCUUGCCCUUUGAGGCAGGUCUUGUUGCAAGCAGUAGAAAUUGUGGCUGGCAGAUGGCCUGUGGCUGUGACCUCCUCCCAGGCCACCUCCUCCUGGGGGGAUGCUUCACUGAGGUCACACCUCACUAAGGUAGCAUUCAUGGGGUGAAGACCUGGCUUCUUGGGCUGGAUGUGGGAUGCUCUUGGUAAUACUCAUUCCCCAGCUCCCUACCAAGCAGCCAGGGCUCUGUCGGAUUUAUAUCAUGGUUCAAUUUCUUCCACUGCCAGGUCCUGUUUCUGCCCCUUUCCUCUCACCAGUGUUCAUCCUUCACAAAUAACUGGCACCCCAAACUUUGUCUGGGGAUCUGUUUCUGGAGAACCCAGCCUGCAACACCUGGUUAAGAAUGAUCUUACAAAGAAUUCAAAAGAUGAGAUUAUCUGAUGGGCACAACUGAUAACGUGGAACAGAAUAUAAAUGCUACAACCUUCAGAUGAGAGGGAGGGGGUUGAACGCCUCAAAAAUCAGAUAUAGGUUCCUGGUAGGUUGGAACCUCAUAGGUUCAGCAAAGCCAAGAUACUUGAGGGUGAGAAGAGAACCAGGUAAGAGGAAGAGUCUGAGCCAAAGCAGCUCAGGCAGACCGUGCGGGAACCACUGGUCUGGCUACAAUGAAGGAUGCAUGUGAGGUAAGAGUUAGACAUUGAAAUGUUAAUUCACUUAAGGUUAGAGCUUCCUGUAGACCAGAAAGAAAUUUCACAAUAGAUAUUUACUUCUGUCUUGCGUAACAAACAAACAAACAAACAAACAAACAAAAUAGUUACGAGGUUGCCAGUCCUGACCUCUAUUUGGGGCUCCUUCUGCCAUUCUAUCAUCUCCAAUGUAAAGCGGUGAGGGUCUAAUAUGGCUCUAGAGAUCCAGCCAUCACACCCAAAUUAUAGAGAACAUGAUGGAGACUGAAAUCAAGAAGGAAAUGCCACACUUUUUAAAAGAGAUUUACUUGUAAUUACAUUUCAUUGGCCAUAGCUUAGUCACAUGGCCACACCUACCCAUAAAGAAGGCUGCAGAAUAUAGUCUUUAAACUAGGCAGCAAUGUAUAUGGCUAAAAAAACUUUUUAAAUUACAGAUGAGGAAGACAAUAAUUAUAGUUGAGGAAGACAUAUUUUCCUUCAGAUGAUGGAAACGAUUGAGAUAAAAUAAUCAAAAGGCUAAACUAUGGUGUCUUGAAAGUGAUGGUGGCAGUAAAACAUUUCUAGAAUAUAUGGAGAAGGAAUUAUUUUCUGUAUGUGUAUGGAAUGUCAAAAUAUUUUGGAUGUAUUCAAUUGGACAUUAAUAUUAAUAAUCAAUCGUCUAACAUGCCAAGUCUUUUCUCUGUCCCAGGAACUAUGUCAAAUGCUUUAUAUCUGUUGUAUUACUUAACGGAGGCAAUGAGGUAAAUUUUCUACAUGAUCCAUUACAAAUGAGGGAAUGAAGAUUUUGAGAAAUUAAGAAAACGGAUCAAGGUCAUGCAACUUGUAAAUGGCAGAGCCAGGACUCAAACCCUUGUUUGUCAAGCUCCCCAGUCCAACUACUUGCUUGUAUUAGAGCCAGCAACUGAAACCCCAAAGAGAGGAAGCUGAAGCUGGGGGGAGAGAGAGAAGUGGGAGUGAACUUGGAGAGCCACCCAGCUCUCUGGAGUGUUGAAAGGACAGAAUACAGGACAACCAUCAGGGAGGAGAGAACUCAGGCCAAGGAGAAGAGGCAUUAGGUGCUUUGAGCUUUGAGUCUUUGAGCUCUUUCUCUUGGAGGACGAAGGGUAGGAGAAGCAAAGGAGUGACUGGUGAAGAACCAGGGCAAGGAGUGCUCAGAGAAGGCCAAGAGAAAAACUCUCUUAAUGUUGAAAAGAGCCAACAAUGUGUAUACCACAGAUAUUCAGAAAAAAGUCAAUGAUUUGAGAAGCAAGGGGUCAUUCAUUGAUUAUCUUUAAGAUUAUCUGUAAGAGGGGGCAACUGGGUGGCUCAGUUAGUUAAGGGCUUGACUUUGGCUCAGGUUUAUGGUUCGUGGGUUUGAAUACCAUAUUGAGCUCUGUGCAGACAGCUCAGAGCCUGGAGCCUGGUUCAGAUUCUGUGUCUCCCUCUCUCUCUGCCCCUCCCCCACUCACGCUCUGCCUUUCUCUCUCUCUCUCUCUCUCUCUCUCUUUCUCUCUCUCUCUCUCAAAAAAGUAAACAUUAAAAAAAGAGUGUUUUGGGGCGCCUGGGUGGCUUGGUCGGUUAAGAGUCUGACUUCAGCUCAGGUCAUGAUCUCGCAGUCCGUGAGUUCGAGCCCCGCGUCAGGCUCUGUGCUGACAGCUCAGAGCCUGGAGCCUGUUUCGGAUUCUGUGUCUCCCUCUCUCUCUGCCCCUCCCCUGUUCAUGCUCUGUCUCUCUCUGUCUCAAAAAUAAAUAAACAUUAAAAAAAAUAAAAAAAAAUAUUAAAAAAAAAAGAGUGUUUUAAGUGGGAUGCAAGAAUGGGUGGAGGAAGGUUGGAAAUAAUGAAUGACUGUUUAAACAUCCAUGGUCACCCUAUUGUUAGUACUAGCUGAUAACAACACUUAAUAUUUAUAGAAUGCUUACUCUCUGCCAGCUACUGUUCCCAGGGUUUACGAAUUCAUGUAACCACAGCCCUAUGAGGCAGCUAUUCUCAUUAUUCCUAUUUUACAGAUGAGAAAAUUGAGGCAGCAAGAAGUUACAUAAUCUUUCUGGCUGCAAGCUCAUGGUUACUACUCUAGAAAGGCCAAAGGUUUCUAUCAAAAGUAAGAAUUGGCAAAAGGCCACAGGUUAUUAUUUUUUUUUUCAUGUUUAUUUUCAAAGGAAACGUUAAGUGUACUUAGUGAUUAUUCAUUUUUCUUUCCUCAAAAAAAAAAAAACUGUUUUGUAAAGGAAGCAGUUUUGCUUUAUUUUUUCUGAUGUUAGUCUCUAAAGGAAAAUAUUUUUAAAAAUAAUUUUAGUGAAAUUUGAAAUCCUAAGGGAAAACAUGUUGUAUUUUUCUAGUAAGCCUAUUGAGAGAAAUGAAAUGAUACAUUAUGGACCUUAGUAAAUGUCUUCAGAAAGAAAGGGGGCAUUCUAUCUUUACAGGAAAACAUUUUAGUAACUGUGCACUGGAACAAUGAUUUUUUUGUGUGUCUCAAAUUCCUCUAUGCCUACGUACUGCUCAACUGAAUGUCAUUAGAACCUUUAGAACUUAUUUUUGCAUAGUUUGAAGCUUUACGCAUCUCCUACACAGUCACAUGUUUAUUUGAAAAAAAAAAAGUAUGUAUACAUAUCUGUGCAUAAUACAGUAUGGGUGGCAUCUCGGGAGCUAAGACUCACAGAUCGUCCCCUGCUCAGCGUCCCUAACCCUUUUCAGGUAACCAGACUUGUUCACGUCAAUACGUGCUUUCAAAAGACUGAGAAAUGAUUCCGAAGUAUAUUUGCCAGCAACACUGUAGUUAGAUUUUUGGAUAAAAUAAUACUGUGAUAUCAACAAACAAAGACUCUUGAAAAGGGAUUCUGUGUAGAAUGUAUUGAUAUUUAGAACAGGCAGAUCUGAAGGGAAUAGGUUUGCCUUUCUAUCUAUGUAGACUUGCCAAUUAACAAAAUCAUAAGUAAAGAUAGUUUCAUUGUCUACAGAGAUGUAAACUAUAAAGGCAAAAAAAAAAUUGAUCAGAAAAAAUAAAAGUACUGAUUUUAAUGAAAAGUACUUUGGAGUAUAUAUUCAGCAGUAAUAAUUUUAUGAAACUUAAAAAUGAUGAUUAUGUAACUGGCAUUAUUGGUUUUAAAUAUAUAACUAAUGUUAGAUUGCUAGUUACUUUGUGCAACUGAAUAUUACACCAUACAACUACUACAAUAACUAGUUGUUAUUGAGAUUUUAUCAGAUGGUAUCUGUUGGUAUCAUGUUGGAAAUAUUCCAUGUAUAGUUUUAGUUAAUUAUCACAAAAUCCCUAAGAGUUAGAUAAUCUAGCUUCUUUAUGGAAAUGAGGGGGCUAUUUUUCAUUGUAAAUUUUUUAAUAGUCUUUUUUAAUCUGUUGGCAAAUUUGGUAAGUAGGUAAAGUGCUUUUUUCAUGUAAGAAGGUUGUUAUUUCAGUUUCCUUUUCACAAUGUAUAAAAUACCUUUAAAUGAUCUAUGUUAGUGACUUGAAAUUUUUCCUUCUUAUAUCCUGCGUAUUUUUCCAUCACACAUGGUGACAAGUAAAUAAGAAAGAGUUUUUUCUUCAUGUUGUCUUCUCUACUGCCUCUUAAUAUCUCAACUUUGAGAUGGUAGCCAUUUCUGACCUAGGAAGGUUCCUAUCAUCUAAUGGGGUUUAGUCAGAGAAGUGCCAGUGGAAGGUUAAAUUUCAGUUGCAUUACCAUUAAGUAAUGUGAGUCAUGGGGAGAAAAACUUUGUGUUCUGUCUUCUAUUUCUUUAUACUUGACCCAUACACCUUUAUUUCUUACCUCUUACUUUUGUGAGGGUAAGCAUAUACUAUUAAUUAAUUCUUUCAACAAUUACAUAAUAGUACCUACCAAAUGUUAAGCACCAGGGAUGCACUGGUGAUCCAAGACCUCAUUAACUCCUGUCUUCAUGGAAGACUGCAUAGGAGCAUAGGGCCCAGGACAUCUCUCAUCUCGUGGGAAUACAUUGUAAUCAUCAACUGCUUUUCCCUUGGUUGAAAAUUACUAAGUGUCAACUCUGAAAUCAAAAGGAAAGACCAUCCUAAUAUAAUUUGACUCAUAUGCAACUCUUCACCCACUAAAUUAAUUUUCUACAAAUGCAUAUGCACCUUCUUUCAAGAUAAUCCUUAAGUCUCUAAGUGGUGAUUGAUUCUGGAGGCUAUGGAGGUAAUUUUGGGUCUAUUAACUUGCUUGUUGACUGUUGUGUAACUCCUGAUGAAGCUGGUUUUGAGCAUUUGUGGGCAAGCCACAGGGUUUGUAGAAUAUCUUUAGGAUGAUGGUAGACGAGGGUCAAGAUGGUUAAAAUCCAGCUUUCUGUAUUGUUUUGGAGUUAAGGGGAGGAGGAGGACAAGACUGUGCAAGUAAAUGUGAUAGUAUUAUGACACUUGCAUCACUUAGAAAUCUUUGUUAAACCUCAUCCAUUUUAUCUAUCCUAAAAAGACAGAAAGAAAUCAUACACAUUGUGUGUCUCCUGUGUGGAGAGCCAUACACUAGGGUUGUAACGUGUCAUCUCAUUUUCACAUUCACUCUGAGAUUUGGAUGCUUUCAUCAUUCCUAUUUUAUAGAUGAAAAAAACUGAAGUACCUUAUAUAAUAUCAUCGGUUAAUUAUAGGUAGAUUUAUUAUUUGAAUCUGAUUCUGGCUCCAAACUCUAUUGUUUCUAUUAGUAGAAUUAAUCAAUUCUAAUAAGUUAGUAGCUCAAACAUUGUUUUAGAUGUUUUUGAAGAUAACUAUUGUCUAAUAAAUAUAUUGAAAUACUUAUCAUAAACACAAUUUGCCAUAUUUAAAUAUUCAACAAUAUUUUUCUGUGUCCAUAUUUUACUAUCCAUAUUGAAAUUUAUGUAGCUUUAGCACUUAUACUGAUGACAGUAUAAUUGUAUUUUCUGGUGAUAUCUCAUUUCCAUUUUAAAGUUAUGUUGCAAAGUAAGUAUGCAUUGCUUUUAUUGUUAGAACUGACAUAGACAUCGUAAGAGAAUAACAGCUAUGAAAAGCAGAAAAGUCAGAGUAUGUAGCCACAUUUGGAAAAUGAAUACUGGAGGCUUGGAGAAAAUGUUCACCGUUGCCCAGUUCUUCUGGGUAGAAACGAUGUUAAAAACACAAUCCUUGCUGGCUACUGCAUUGUACUGUUCUGUCCUAUUGCCUUCCUUAUGACUUUUCUAUGAACGAGUGUUUCUAAGGUAAGGCUGGCAGAGCAGUCAGCAAAUAAGAGCCAAUAUUACCCUGGGUUCUAGCCAGGCAGACCCAAGUUCAAAUCCAGCUGCAUCACGUGCUGGGUUGAGCAAACAAUUUGAUCUCCCUUAGUCUCAUUUUUCUUGUCUAAUGGACAUAAUAAUUCUUUUUCUGGUUUGCCGUGGGAAAUACGAGCGAUGGUGUAUAUUUAGUGUCAAGAGCAGCAUCACAUCAAACUUGUUCAGUGGUAUUUACAUGUAUUGGAGGAAGGAUAAAAAUCUGUGCUCCGGAUGAGUGGGUGAAGUGUGUGAGGUAGCCAAGGUGACAGUCCAUGGCUGCCAGGGGUGGGAGGGGAAAUCUGGACCAGAGAUACUUUUCCCUAUUUUUCUUCAUGCGCCCUGGCCCUUCACACACCCUGAUAAUGCUGAUUCCUUCCAUGUGCUCCUAAAACGGUCACAGUUCUUUUUUUAAAGUUUAUUUAUUUAUUCAUGUUGAGAGAGAGAGAGAGAGAGAGAGAGAGGCAGAGUGAGAGGGAGAGAGAGAAUCCCAAGCAAGCUGUGUGCUGUCAGCAUGGAGCCUGAGGUGGGGUUCGAUCUCAUGAAUUCUGAGAUCGUGACCUGAACUGAAAUCAAGAGUCAGAUGCUUAACCGACUGAGCCACCCAGGCUCCCCAAAACAGUCACAGCUUUGACAUCCAGUGUGGGUUGCUAUUUUUAUACGUGCUCUAUCUUCAAAGCAACAAAAUUAUCCAGUGAUUUGGAUAAGUUGACUCUUAUUUCUCUAUGGGUCCUGACACUGUAUGUUCCUUGAAGACAGAAAUCUGUCUUGCCUUCUGUAAAUCUUCUAUACAACUAUCAUGAAUGCACAUAAUAAUUUUAAUUGUUUAAUGGACAUUUAUUGAUCCCCUCUUAUGUGUUAGGCACUACAUGAGAUACUUUGGGUACAGCAAGGAACAAAAUAGAAAAUUCCCAUUGUCCUGGUGCUUAUGUUUCAAAUGGGGAAUCAGAUACUAAAGAAUUCACUAUAUAAUCCUGUAAUUUUAAUAGCAGCAAAUGCCAUGGAAAAGUACAAGUUGCUAAGAAAGCGUGCGACAGGAGGCUGUAUCUAAACUCUGCAGUCAGGAAAGGAGUCUUUAGGUAGUGAUUUUAUGAAGUAUAUUGUGUUUCAGAAAUUGUGUGGCCCUCAUGAUGCAAAUUAGAAUGAUUCAUCUUGGAAUCUCUGAGUUUCCUAGGACUCAGUGUGGUACAGAGUGGUUAACUAGGGAGGAGAUUGCUAGAGAGUGUUCCAAGCAAAGUCGGGAGCACCGGUCAGUCACCAUGCUCCAUUUUUUCAAAGAUAAUACAAUAAGCCCUUCAUAUCACCCCUGCCCUCAACCAGUGCCCAAUUGCUAUUUACAAAAAAGGAGGAAUAACUUACUGAACACAUGAAUUGACAAAUUUCCUGUAUAUCAUAUUAUAUCAUGCCACUUUAACCUCACAACAGUACUGAGGUAUUAUAUCUCAAUAUUGCAAAUAAGUAGGCUGAUUAUGUUUGGUUUGCCCACAAUAGUCCCAUUUAUGCCUGUUGUCCUAAAGUAAUUACUAAUAAUGCCCUCCCCCUUACCCUUCAGGCUCAAGGGAGUCCCACUUUGUGUGAUAAGUUCUAUGGUCAUAAAUAAAUGAAGGUCAGGAAGAUCAAGGAUCUACUUUGGGUCACAUAGCUAGUAAGUGGGGAGGGGGAUACCACACCAGUACUCUUACUUAAAGCUCAUGUUCUCACUACUGUAUUGCAAAUGCAAUUAGUUACUUCUACACUUACAUUGUUCUCUGUUUUAUUCUUCCAAUUAGUGGUAGGUAGCCCACGACAAAACUAACAGAAACUGGCUGACAUCUUUGUGCAGUGAUUCUGCUAAGAGUCAUGUAUUUCUAUAGAGUUUAUAGGAGAGGAAAUGAUGUAUCAAGAUAAACUAUAAAAUACGAGUAGUAAGUUGUAGUUAUUGUUGUGAUGUGCUUGUCUUUAUACUUGUAUUAAGCCUAUUCUUUACAUUGCUCAAGUAUGAGAAAGCUAAUUUAAAAAGCUGGGGUGCCUGGGUGGCUCAGUUGGUUGAGCCUCUGACUCUUGAUUUUGGCUCAUGUCAUGAUCCCAGGGUCGUGGGAUUGAGCUCUGCCUCGGGCAUGGAGCCUGCUUAAGAUUCUUUCUCUCCCUCUUCCUAUGCCCCUCCCCUGAGCAUAUGUACACGCAUGCUGUCUUUCAAAAAAAUUCAAUUGCUUCUGAAAGUCAACAUGUGACUCUAAUGACAAAACAUUGGUAAUUGAUCUUUUCUCCAACAAGAUACCCUGUGGGUGGUGAGGGGGAUGCAGUCCAUGACUUGCCCUGGUGGGUAGCGCCUAACUGUAAAGAUCGUAGAGUUUUUAAAAUAAUCAAUCAAAUCCUUUUAUGGUUGAGCCAUUUUAAUAACACUUUGGAACACAGUUUUCCUCACUGUCUAAACUGAGGAAUACAGAUAAAAUUUUCAUCUGUAGCAUAUGAUGAAGGCUUUUGAGAGCAUUCUUCAUACAUAAAGAUACCUGAAACAUGGAAUGCUAUUGUUUCCUCUUUUAUUUUAAAUGAAAAUGUGUAUAAAUCAAAUUAUACUAACAGUCAUAUUAAAAACAAAUAUUACUUUGUUAUGUUUCUUUGUGAAAUUAUAAUGUAAAGAUGCUGGUGUCACUCUCUGCACUUAGAAAUAAGAUUUUAUGAGCUAUAUUCUGAGUCAAAAUUUGUUUCUCUUAUGAUGUACACAGAAAUGAUUCACUAUGGAAUCUCUGAGUAUAUCUAUUAAACAAUAUGUCUUAUCUCUAAAUGUUUACCUCACAGUUUGUUAGUACUUCUUUGAAUAUAUUUUUUUUUUAAAUUUUUUUAACGUUUAUUUAUUUUUGAGACAGAGAGAGACAGAGCAUGAACGGGGGAGGGUCAGAGAGAGAGGGAGACACGGAAUCCGAAGCAGCUCCAGGCACUGAGCCGUCAGCCCAGAGCCCGACGCGGGGCUCGAACUCACAGACCGCGAGAUCGUGACCUGAGUUGAAGUCAGACGCUUAGUCGACUGAGCCACCCAGGCGCCCCUCUUUGAAUAUAUUUUGAGACCUUCUGGUCAAUUCAUCAUUUAUUUAAUUCAUAUUCCUGUGCCCCUGAAUGUUGCUAGUGAAGUAGGUGGGUUUGGCAUAGGUGGGUUUAUAGUUGGUAGACCUGGAAUAUAUACAGUGCCUUUUGUUUCUUUCUUUGUAACUCAGAGCUGAUAUCAGAGCUGAUAUCCAUCUAGCUCAUUGUGUUCUCCUUCCAGAUCAUGAGUAGCACUUCAUGUAGUAACUAUGUGGAAACUCUUGUUUGUUUGUUUGUUUGCCCAAACUACCUUCUUUUUUAUAGAUUUAUUAACUAUCACAGCAGAAAGAAGUCUGUAUGGAUUGUCCAGUUCAGUAGUUCACGCUAUGAGUGGGAUGUUGGUAUACGUCAGGCAAGGAAGAGGUUCUGUGGCCAAAUAAAUGUGAGAAACUAUGGGCUAAACCAAGCUUCAAAGGCCUCUUCGUUGUGAGACUCCUUCUAAAGGAAGAUAUAGAAUAUUCCAAUUCCUAAAUUUAUUUUACCACAGAACCCCUUUGUUACCCUUCAUCUUCAAGGCUGGUAUUCUAAAGAAGGGGCAUCAGGCAAUACUAAUUGGGGGGUCUUAUUUUAUAAGGAAAUUGUCCCUGAGAAGUUAAGUGACUUACCCAAGACCUCACAGCUAUUUUGUGGAAAAUGUGAGAUCAGAACCUAUUUUGUCUGCUUCUGACCUGACUUUGGACAAUUCAUUGCUUUGAACAUCCUGCUAUCUUCUGUUACAGGUAUUUGUAUGUAAGAGUCAUGGGGAGGCAACUGGCUGAAAUUAUCUCCAUCUUGCUUCUUCCUUUAGCCCCUAAACCUUUGGUUCUCAGUAAGGACCUGUGAAUACCAGCAACAACCGUUCCAGUGGAACUGAGAAACUUGAGGAGAUUGGGCUGAUUCUGUUUACUUUUGGACAGCUGAUUCCAAAUUUACCAGAAUUAUUAUCCUUCUCAUCAGAAGAAAAGUAUAAGAAAUGUCCACAAAUAAAGAGAUCACUUUCAGUCAAUAAGUUUAUUGGAAAAAUAUCUAUUGAAUGCUUAUGAGUGCCCCAUACUAUUCUAGCUGCUAGGAAAAUAACAGUGAUCAAAGCAAAAAUCCUUGCUCUCAUGGAGUUUAAAAUCCAAUAAUGAAAUCAGAUAAUGAGCAAGCAUUAAAAGCUGGUUAGUGCUCUGGAGAAAAAUAACAUGGGCUAACAGGGACAGAGAGUGCUAGCAAGACCUUAGAAUUGGGGUGGUAAUUUAUUACAGAGAUUAGUGAGGAAUGUUUUACAGUUUAACUAAUGUUUGAGGAAAGACAUGAAGAAGUGAAGGAACUCAUGAGCUUGGGAAAAACAUCCCAGGGAAUGGGAUUAGUGUGCUCUAGGAAUGCAGGGAAAUCACUGUAGAUAGACAUGAGGGAGCAAGCUGAGUGUGACAGUCGCCAGAUCACGUUGGCUGUAGGCCAUUGCAAGGAUACUGGCUUAUCCUCUGGGUGACAAAGGAAGCCAUUGGAGGGUAUUGCAUAGAAAAGCGGCAUGGUCUGACUUCUGUUUUAAAGGCUCAGUCUUACUCCCGUGUGGACAAUAACUACAGGGAGGUGUGGCAACAGAUUAGAUUCCCAGGAAGCAGACUCUGAGGUGGAGAGUAGCAUGCAAGAAGUUUACCACACCUGUGGGAGUGGGAAGGCAGCAAGAUUAGGCAGGGAGAGAAUUGGGUUGCAAGGCAGACUGAACAAAAGCUUAACCGACCUCCUAAGAUCGCUCUUUAGAGUUGCCCUAAAUUGGAACGAGAGUGGCAGGCCUUUAUAUGGGUGUAUCAAGUAGCCAUUGGAUGCAGGCUGCCCCGGAGAAGGGGGAGUGGCUUUGGGCAAGUGGGAGUGGCUUUGGGCAAGACGCUUUAUUCAACUGAGAGCAACACUUGGAGAGGACAGACAGCUGAGCACUGUUUCAGCACCUCCAGCAGCUGGGGAAUAGUCCUUCAGCCUGAAGGGAGGUCUAGAUGGUUUAUCAGAGCAUCCCUACAGGAGGCAAAGAGGAAGCAGGGGAGAUUAGUUAGGAGGAAGUGAUUUGGAAAGGAGAUGAUGGUAGGUUCUGUUACUAGGAUGUUAGAAAUAGAAGUAGGGUUCUGGAUUUAUUUUGAAGGGAGAUAUACUGAUAAAUUGGUGGUGGGGGAUUAUGAGAAAUCAAGAAUAUCAGAAUAUUCACCAAUACUGAUAUAUUGAUGGGGGAUAAUGAGCAACCAAGAAAAGUGAUGUAAGCUUAUUAUUUUUAGCCUAAGUAAUGAGGAAUAGGAAUAGCUAUAUGCUGAGGCAGGGAAAACUUGGGGGCUGUGGCAGGCAACAGUUGCAGGAGAAAAACAAAUAAUUCAGUUUCAGAUGUCCAUGAGAUAUCCUAGUGAAGAUGUUAGCUGGAUACAUGAGGGUAUUACCCAGAGAAGCCAUUCAGGCUGGGGAAACAAAUCUGGAACAAACGUUAUUUAAGCUACAGAACUGGAUGAAAUUAUCCAAGGAGUGACUUCUGGGCUACUUCAAAGCUUAAGGGUAGAAUAGCACAAAGCAGACAGGGGAGUGUUUUAGGGGAUGAGAACAGGACUAAAAGGAGAUGGUGUGCCCGAAGCCAAGUCAAGAAAGUGAUUCAACAAGGGGAGAGUGGUGACCAAACUCUUAUUCCUGUUGGAUAAAUGUUUCUUAUCAUUGUCUCUUUUCCCUUCAAAUUCUGCCACGUGUAAGGCCUAUUCAUUUUGUCUGAAUAUUUAACUAUGUCACAGUCUCACUUAGGUGCUAGGUUUUCCUCAGUACUUUGAAGCUCCUAGUGUAUUUGAAUUAAGGAGGGCUACUAGUAUCCUAUUAACUAAGAGUAUAAACCCCAAAGAGGAGAGAAUCUAUGAGUGCGGUAGUACAAGGAAUAGAUGCAAUCCAGAUGAGACCAAUACAAAUGCUUGAUAUGGAUGGAGCCAAACUUAGGCUGUGAUGGAAUGUCACAUAUUUUUUAUAUAAAUUUUUUAAUGUUUAUUUAUUUUUUGAGACAGAGACAGAGCAUGGGCGGGGGAGGGGCAGAGAGAGAAGGAGACACACAAUCCAAAGCAGGCUCUAGGUUCUGAGCUGUCAGCAUAGAGCCUGUCACGGGGCUCGACCCCAUGGACAGUGGGAUCAUUAUCUGAGCCAGAUUUGGACGCUCAACCAACUGAGUUCCCCGGGCUCCCCAGAAACUCACAUAUUUUUGAUGAGAGGUCAGAAUUCCCUUUAAAUAUAAGACACUCAAUUCUGAGUCUGUGAAUUGGGAUGGUCCUGAUUAGCAUCCCUGGAAUCACCUAUUGCCCUGGAGACAGGAAUCCAAACCCCUGGUGAUUCCCAUUUGUGGAGGAAAAAUUCCACCUACAGCUAAAACAGGAUAAGUGUCCUAGUAUUGGUCACCAGAAAUAGGAAGUAAGAGUGCGGAAGCUAAGAGUGAAAUCUCCCUGGGAAUGGCUUGACACCACUUUCCCAUACAGUCUAUCUUCAGCACAUCACCUUGCACUGUCCUCAGACCUCACUCAUGACCCGUGUAACUUGUGUCUCUUCAUAGGACUAUAACACAUGUUGAGAAUAGAGUCCAAAUCUUCUCUAUCUUCAUGUCCCUCAGGGCUUAGACUAGUCUCUGGUACUCAAUAGAUAUUUAUUAAGAUAAAUAAAUGGGUUUCUAGUACCUUCUUUUAUCAAGUACAGAGCAUAGGAACAGACAAAUGGGUGUCUAGCCUUGGCAACUGGAUCUGUUUAAUCCCAUGCUUCUUGGAAAACUUUUGUGUGCUAAUCUACUUUCCCCUCAAAUUUGUUUCCCAUAUCAAGAAGAGGGACUAUUUUUCCAUAUUACCUAUUUUAAAAGCACUACCUGAAGAGUCUUUUGGCUGGAAGUUACUGCAGUAAUAUCUGUUUAAUAAGAAGGUGAAAGAGGUCCUACUUCAGCCAUCAAUAAUGCCAAAACUUAAAGAGAAGUUGGAAACUGUUGCAAACUUUGACAAACUUUAUUUAGUUUUGAAAAAACAUUAUUCAAUGGAGUAUUUUUUGUUCUGCAGUGGAAGAGAGAACAUUAAAAAGUGUGUGUUUAUACAACAAGAUGGAGAAAUAAACAUGUAUGCUUAUGUGAUGCACAACUGGCUUAACCUAAUUGAAUAAAUGCUUAUAUAGAGCUGUGAAAAAAAGUUUGUAUUUAUAAAUGCUUCAGGGUUUUGGGAAACCCUAAUUGACAUUUGUAUACAUAGGAAAGUGGUUGUAAUUGGAGAAUAGACUCUCUCCUCCUCCCCACCCUUCCAUCCUGUGUAAGAAACUUACAUGCUCUUCAUCAUCCAAGACUGGGGCCUGUUUUUUGAACCAUGCCAUUAUUUUCUAUUCAAAUGAGGAUGGUUUCUAUAGAAAUUGUCCUAAAUACAUGUGCUCUUUGAGGCUAUAUGUAGUUACUAACCAGAUGGCUAAAGCAUGCUGCUAGAAUGCAUGACCAUUAUGUUUUUUUAACUAACAAUUAUUACUUCUAUCAAUAUAACAAAUAGUCUGUAACACCAACAAUUAUUAAUAAAACAAGAGAAAGAAAAUGAUUAGAGAAAAGUUGCCAAGGAGACACAGAGCAAAAUAGCAAAAUAAUGGGUGAAUUUAAUUGGUUCCCAUGUUGUAAAAUGAUUCAAGGAAGAGUUUAAAUAGGGCAAAAGAUAGGGGCUAAAAUAUUUAUUUCCUCUUCCAAAGUUGACUUGCCAACAUGUUUAAGUAUUGUUUUAGCUGGGGGAGGGAAUGAGAGAGAAAAGACCAGGAGGUGGACAGAAUGAGGUAUGGGAGAAGAGCUCCAUAGUUGUUUGAGUCUGCUUGGCAUGAACAGAUCGAAAUAUUGACAAGGGACUGGACUGCUACUUCCCCUUGGGGAACCACUCACUGGAACUGAGGUGUGUGGCCUUUAGGGUUUAUAUGAUUUCAACUUCAUCCUCGCCAGAACCCUGUGAGAUAAGUACUCUUCUUAUCCACAUUUCACAGGUGAAAGGACUGCCUUUGAGAGGUCCCCCUGGGUCCCAUAGCCAGUGAAUGACUAACUCUAGGAUUUCAUCCUUUAUGAAUAGACUUGCUGCUUACUGCUGUUCUGAUAGGUGCCUUCACUCAAGCUUUUAUCUCUGCUUUGAAAUAACUGUUAUUCUAUCCCACAUUCCUAAGCCCCCACUCCACAAUGCUUCUAAGUGUGGCCCCAAAGCCACUUUAUCCUUGAAUUACUCCAUGUGGCUGUGAUCUCUCCUCCCUCCAAAAGUUUCUCCAAGUCUCUGCUACUCAAAGUGUCAUGAACAAGCAGUGAAACAUCAACUGGGAGCUUGUUGGAAAUAGAGAAUCUGGGGCCCAUCCCUGAUGUCCUCAAGCUCUCUAGGUGGUUUAUGUGUAAAGUUUGAGAACUUCAAUAUGGAACUUCUCUUCUCUUCUCUUCUCUUCUCUUCUCUUCUCUUCUCUUCUCUUCUCUUUCUUCUCUUCCCUUCCCUUCCCUUCCCUUCCCUUCCCUUCUCCUCUCUCCUUUUCUUUUCUGUUCUUUUUUGCUUUGUAUUUCUAUUAUUUGUAUAUCUGUCUUAUAUUCUUAAUUGGACUGUAAGCUCUUUGAGGGCAGGAGAGUGUUAUGUUUUCUUUUGAGUAUCCAUAAUUAUACUUGGCAUAGAGGAACACAUAAAUUUGUUUAGUGACAUAACAGCACUUCUAUUCGGAAAUUUAGAUAACUUUCUAGGUCAAAAAGUUCUAUGUUAUUUGGAAGAAUUUUUGCCAGUGUGCUAGUAGAAUCACUUUUGGCAAUUACCUUACUUGUAAUGUUUCCAAAAAUUCAGGCUUUUUUGUUUGUUUUGUGUUUUUUAGAACCUUUUUUGAAUGUUUGUUUUUGAGGGAAAGAGCCCACAAUCAAGUGGGGGAAGGGCAGAGAAAGAGGGAGACAGAGGGUCUAAAGCAGGCUCCAAGCUCUCAGAGCAGAGCCUGAUGCAUGGUUCAAACUCACAAACUAUGAGACCAUGUGCCCCUUCAGACUUUUGAUAAGGUUGAAAAUUAAGAGAUAUAAUCCAGAUCUCGAAAAUAAAAUCUUCAUUGCUUUCCAUAGCCUUUGGUCUAUAAUCAGCCCUUGGGCCACACCACCUUUCAUUGCCAAAGCACAAACGUAGGUUUGUGCUUUCAUUGCCAAAUCCAAACAGAUUUGGAGAAAAAUCAAUACAUAAAAAAUAUAGAACUACUGAAAUCUGAAGACUCCAAUCCGUUUCGUGUGUGAAGUUUUGUCUGCAGUCAGGACACUCAGCAUCUUCCAGGAACCUUGGAAUGGAAUUUUUUCCCCACAAAUAUUUGAUUCCAAGCUUUAUUCUAGAGCUAAUUUGAUUAAUAGCAGAACUUCAGUCACUACAGAUGCUCCCGCUGCUUGCAUUUACGUGCCCACGGCCGAUCAUAUUAUUGAUUUUUUUGAAAUGAUCACUGUGUGUUGUGUCGUUCUUUAUUUAGACACAGUGUUUGCAUGUAUUUGUGUCUCUAAAUGUUCUCAGUGCAUGUGACCACCUGGUUCCUGAGAUUGGCAGAUGCUUGGGCCCUUCAAUCAGCUUCUCGUCGCGGCACAAUCUGGCUUCUCUCUUCUUUUUGCAGAAUAUGUAACUGGAAUACUUGCGUGAAAAGAGGGCAAACACAUAUAGGUGGCAUUUUUUUUUUUUUUUUUUAAUUUCUACUGGCUCCAUUUCAGCAGUCGGUAUGACCUCUCAUGAAGUGCCAAAUCUAAAAAUUGUCUAAACAUAAAUCUACUCUUGGGAGCUGACAGGAUUCUUCAAUUCAGGGAGGAUUCCACUUUACCUCUUUUUAGAAUUUUUUUUUUCCCUGUGUGAGUGUGUGUUGUUUUAGUGAGAGGCUCCCUUCCCACACCUCAGUCAUCGGUUUGCUCACUCCCUUGUGUGAUGAAUCAAUGCUUCCAGAACAGGGGCUUCCGAGGGACUGCGGGAACAAUUACUUCCAAAUGAACUCGUGCGUCUUAGCAGGGAGCAUUCAGACCACACCCCAGGUAAAAGGAAGUCUUUCCUUAAUGUUUUCAGGAACUUUUAAAGGCUGUGCACUUCGUUGUUUGCUGCAAGAGGGCUUGAGGGAGAGCUGCCUGGGUAUAGAUAAAUUUGACUGUAUGUCAAAAUGAAAUGUUAUCUACAGUUCGUGGAAGGGGCCAGCAGAUAAAAGCGAACUGCUCACUGGCCAACCAAAAAAAUGCUCAGGACUGCCCUCGGCAUAGUGUUGAAGCUGACACCCAGGGAUGCCUCUGCUCAACAGGAGGCUGGUGGACAUCUGUGAGUGUGGGUGUUGACAUGGGAAGGAAGAGAACUUUUAGGGAAAUAGUAGACAGGAAGGCAUUGCAGCCUGAAACUGAGCAACGGAGCACUUAACCUGCAUGGUGUGGGAAAACACAAUUUCCUAAGUUCCUAUUCGCCUGUCCGGGGAGAAGGGGACAGUCUCAAGAGAUGUCAAGUGCUUGAAACCAUUUUUAGGGCGAGAGUUUAAUCCGUCUGGGUCUAAUUCUAUUAUUAAAGUAGUUUCCCAAGAACAAGAACUAAGAUGCGUUUUUAAAUGGCAUUGGCAACUGAAAGUGUUAACUGGCAUUUAACAAGUGCAGUGGUAUUAACGUGCAUCUGUUUCUGCUUUGGGUGGAAAAUGAUUUUUCAUCACCAUAGCGAUUCAUUUCUGGGCUCCCCUGGAACUUGGCCACCGUGUGCAGGAAACAGAAAAAAAAAUUUUUUUUUCUUCUUUUCUGAACCGGGGAUUCAGCAGUCUAUCAACUAACACGUGGCUCUACAUCUAAAUGUUACAUAGUAUAAUUUCACAUCCUUUUCCAACCUAAAUUCUGUACAAAAAAAAAUUUGUACAUCAUUGGUUAGAUAAGAGGAUGCUAGGUAAUAGCGAUGAAAAGAGCCCCAUGCUAACACUGUACUCCCAGCUUAAAAGCAGAUGCCGAACCAUUGCCCUUUUUGUGGUUGUGCUUCUGAGGAUAUGUGUGCAGACGGGAAUUUAUCCCUGAUCUUUUUCUCCAACAGUAACCUUGGAAGAUGAAUACGUCUUUAGCCCUAUUAGAUUUUCCCUUUUAUGUUAUUCUUGAAUGACAUCAUGUAUUGGUUCAACUAAAAUUUAAAAAAAAAAAAAAAGUUGUUCUCCUAUACCGGGAAAGACAUUUUAUGUAGGAUAUGGCUGUGUCUGUAGGAAAAUAUGACAAUAAAAUAGAAAGGAAUAAUUUUAUUUUGCUGUUGCUUUCAUUGUCAACGUGUGGUUAUGCUUAGAAAUUCAUUUGAGGGCAUUGCAUUAAAAGCACACCUUAUGCACUGAAACGUUAGUGUUCACUCAUACUUUGUUUCCAUUUUAUUCACUAAAAUUAUAGCUAUUACCCUUUAAAAAGUCUAUAAUUUAUGGGGUAUCAACAGUAGAGAUCUAUUUGUAUUUUGGAGAUUUAAGUGGGAUAGCAUUGUACAAAUUGUACAAGGCUGGAGAAAUGAAUUUUUGUCAUUGUGUGUGUUUUAGAAGGCAAAAUCACUUACUGUUAGUAAUGGUUGUAUGUAUUUCAUACUCAUGGGGCACUUAAUACUGAACCCUUUCAUACGUUGGUAUUUAAAUUUCAUGGGGAUAGAACAUAAGACAGACUUGUAGUCAUCAUGUGGGGAGAUGAUGGGCCUAUAGAACCUGGGGAUAAGUUCACAGUUUCACUUCUUUUUUGACUUCUAAAGCACUGUCUUUAUUUCCUACCCACAUGAAAUUCUGCGAUGAAUUAUCUGAACUACCUCUAAUGAUUUUGUUGCUAAAACUGCUAUCUAUCAUGAUAUUUAUGAGAUUAGUCAUGUAAAGAAGCCUUCCUAGAAAAUAAUCUAUCUAGUAAGUGUGUCAUAUUGUUGUUGCUGAUAAGACUAAUGGGCUUCCCAAAUCUCACAAGGGAUCUAAUGUUCCUCACUACAGAGGAGAGCAUUGAUUUAUUAUUUUCGGAUGAUUAGUUGCAACCUGGCAAUUUUGACAUGACUGCAAUGAAGGAAUAAUGACAACUAUCUUUAAAGGCAUAAAAGAAGGUUAAAGAGUGAGAGAUGGUUCAGAAAGGUUUGUCUGUGUAUUUUAUAUUCCCUAAGGAAUUGUUUCUAGAAGGCAUGGCUGUUUUAGUAUUUUUAGUUAUCAGAAAGCUGUACCCUAUAAUAAACUGGCCUACAGUUAGUUCAUUAGACAUAUAACGUGGGUGAAAUCUCCUGUAAGGAUAUCCACUUCUCUUUCUUUGAUUACAUACUCACAAAGAAAAUACCUAUUAAUAAUCUAGUGUGUCAGAUAGCCUGAUCCAGGUACCUCCUGACCCCAGGCUCACUGAGUGCCAUCAUGCUCUCAGUCUCUCUGUCCAGUCCAGUCUUGUCAUCCAUGGUGGCUUUCAUUUUCACCAGAAUGACUUUGUCAACCUUCUUGUCUCACAGUUACUUGAGCUUCCCAAUCUCAGUGCCUUUUCUGUUUUGUUUUUUUUUUCUUCUGAGAUACUCAGUCUCAAGGUCAAAGCCUUAGACCACAUAAUCGUCCAGAAUUACCAUACAUCUAAAUCUUAAACUCUCACAUACUGUACUCUAACCCCAAGUCAUUCUCCCCAACACUCACCAUGUUAUCAAAUCUGGUCUCUGAGCGUCAGAGACCACUGGUCCCCUGAAUCUGAGGGUUCCUCUUCUGUACCUCUCCAAACUUCACUCCAUGGUGUUCGCUUGCUCUACUCUCACUAGAGCCCUCAAUUUCCUCACGCUCACAACAUCCUUUUGCCAAAACUGCUUCUGAACACCAGCUCUGUAAGUGCUACCAUUGUUUUCUUCUGUUCCUGUGAGGGGUAGUUUGACACAUCCCUGGAGAAGAUAUCAAAUGUCCAAGCAAAUUGCUUCAUUACUAUGGGUCCUCGGCAUAUUCUGUCUCUCCUUUUGUUUAUAGUCAGGCAUCUUUCCUAUUGCUGUCAAUGACGUUCUAGUCUUUUCUGUUUUCCUUAAAAUCCCAUGUCAAUUUUUCUAGUUCUUCCUUAGCUGCUUGAUAACUUAGUGUUCCGACUCUGGAGGCUUCAACCUUGGACCUCUUCUUUUCCUAUUUGUGCUUACUACCUUGGUGAUCUCUUCUGGUAAUUUGGUUUUAAAUACCAUGUACAAGUUAACAAUCCUAAUAAUUUUAUCUUUAGCACAGACUUUCCUCUAAACUUGACUUCCAUACCUACAAUUCCACUUGGAUCUGUAUUUGGCAUAUUACAUUUGAUCUUUAUUCUCAGACUAGCUUCACCUGUUGUUUUCCCCAUUUUAGUGAAUAAAAUUUCAUUUCUUGUGGUUAUUCAGGUCAAAAAUUUUGUACAUGUCUUGAUUCUUAUCUAUCUUUUAUAUCCCACAUCUAAUUUUUAAGAUAAUUCUAAGUUUUCCUUUGAAAUCUAGCCAGAACCAAGGUACCUGGGAGGCUCAGUCGGUUGAAUGUCUGACUUUGGCUUAGGUCAUGAUCUCACAGUUCCUGAGUUUGAGCCCCACGUGGACUUGUUGCUGAUAGCACGGAUCCCACUUCAGAUCUUCUGUCUGUCUCUCUCUCUGUGCCUGCCCCACUCACGCUCUCUCUCUCAAAAAUAAAUAAAACAUUACAAAAAAUUAAAAAAACUAAAAUAUAGUCAGACUCUUAACAUUUCUUAUUGUGAUUACUGCAACAAUCCAAGUUCAACCUACCAUUUUCUCUCCCAUGGGUUACUGCCAUAGCCUUAUAGCCAGUCUUCAUAGCUUCUGCCUAUUGAAAGUAAUAUAUUUUUUACAUAUUUAUUUUGUUUACUUCUUUCUCCACAGAAUGUAAACUCUAUUAGUGUGCUCACCAUUACAUCGCCAACACCUAGAGUGAUGUCUUAGCAUUUAGUAGACAUUUAAUAAGACCUUGUUGAAAAAUUGAAAGUAAGUAGAAGGCAUAAUACUCAAGUGAGGGUUGAUUUUAGUGGGAUCAUAGUGGCAGGACUGAAGGCCACUCGAGAGACAAGGAUAUGGGUGGGUGAGUAGAUGUAGUGAUGGGGACCUUGGAAAUUCUUGUUUGACUGCUCUAGUUAUCUCAGUGAAAUAAGAAACCAAGUCAUCGGGUCAGAGUAAGACCAUGGAAGAAGAUAUUGAGGGUGUGAAAAAAGGAGAGGGUGUGAGUUUUCUAGGGAAGUGGGAGAGUGAAUGGACUACAGAACUAUAAUAUGUUUAUAGAGCAACAUUGAAGAGCCUGCUUGAGUCUCAGAGUCAUAAAUUUGAAGUGAAACCGGUAAGCACAGUUGUGUGAUUUCUUCCAAUUACAUACCUUUGUGGUGAAGGGGUAGAUUAGGUAGGAGGUUAGAUUUAGUGAGGACUGUGAUUUGUCCAAAUGGGAGGGAUGAUGUGAGAGAGGGCAGGGCACUUGAGGAUGGGGUAUGCAUGGGGAUGCAUGGGGUAAACGCAGUCACUGAGGCUGGCUAAAAUAAAAGAGAAGUAUGGGAAAACAUAAUGUUGGAGGGAUCAGUAGAUUUUCCUUCUGGUGGGGUCUGAGAAAUGUUGCAGCUGGAGUAUGAGAGGGAGGUGUGGAAAGAAAAGAAGUGGAGAUCAGAGAAUGGAAAAUGUGACAUUACAGAGGGCUGGUGGCUAUUGGUUGAGGCUAGGGAUUGAGGGGCAAGAAGGAGCAGAGGCCAGGUCAACACAAUAUGAGGAAAAUUACCCAUGGGCUGUGACACUGGGUAUUAAGCAAAGCAGAGUGUUAAAGGGAGUGGAAUUGAGCCACGAACUAAAUCUUCAAAGAAAGAAGAGCUUGCUUAAUUUGGGUGUGGGCAGAUGACAGUGAAGAUGAGAGGUCAUGAGUGGUAUAGACUCUUGACAUGAGAUUCACAUCUGGAAGUUUCUAGGUAGGAGGAAAGAAGAAUGGUCUGGAAGUAGUAAAGGGGAGUGAGGAGGACACUCUUGUACUUCCAGGUCCAGUGUGAGGGAAAAUAGCAACCAUUGAACAAGCUUCUUAGAGACAGAGCCCUUCAGAGGAAGCAGUGGUUUGAUUAGAGUGAGGAUGGAGAAGAGCUUAAGGACAUGGGAGAUUGUAUGAUGGCUGCCUGAAUUUCAGAAUGUGUAUGGUAGAAAUACUUCAUGAAUUGGGAUGGGGCACAGAUGGGAAAAGAAUGAGGGGGUGUGCAUAGCACACAGGAAUUGCGGGAUGACUCCAGCCUGGGUUUCUCAUAGGGGCUGACAUGGAUGGGGUUAAAGGGAAGGCCACAAUGAAGCCUGAGAGGUCCAAGGCACAGAAAGUGGGCACAGUUUAAAGGGAGAGGAAAGUGAGGGUCCUGCCGGGGUGUAUCAUAUUUCUUGUGACAGAGGCAUGGAGGUAGCCGAGGGGCAGUGUUACUCUGAUUAGAUGGGGUUGAUUUUACCAUCAGUGUUGAUUAUGCCACCUUUCUGCUUCCACCACUGCACCACAUUUGUGAGCUUUUCUGUAUCUUCAUUCAUUUUCUCUGGACUCAAAGGAGGCCAUGUUCCUUCUCCCAUUCUCUUAACAUAUUUUGCCUGCUUCCUCCAGGACCUUGUUUUGCUUUCCUUCUCUUCUGGCUCCUUUCCCAAGUCUACAGACAUGUUCAGGUCCACCCUAUUACAUGCCAGCAGAGGCACCUCUUUGACUCUCCUUCCCUCACUAACUCCUCUCAACCUCCCUCUUUACCCUUUAUCCAGAUUUCUAGAAAGAGAAAUUUACAGCUGCAUCUUCUCUUUUUCCCUUUCAUUUAGUCCUCAAUCUAUUGCUCUUGGUUUUCUGUGCUUGUCACUAGUCACAUGUCUUUUAAAACCAGAGUUAGCACCUAGGUGGCUGUGCGUCUGACUUUGGCUUGGGUCAUGAUCUUGCAGUUCAUGAGUUCAAGCCCCCUAUUGGGUUCUCUGCUGUCAGCACAGAGUCCACUUCAGAUCCUCUGCUUCUCCACUGCUUGCGCUCUCUUAAAAAUAAAUAAAAUGUGGAACAAAAACCCAGAGUUAUCUAUCUAAAAUUCUAAUGUGACUACUUCAUUUCCAGUCUACGGUGCUGUAAUUGUUCUCUGUUGUCAAUGAGACAGAAUCCAAGUUUGAUAUGUAUUCCCCACUGCUGCUGCCCUUCCAUGAUUUCAGUCAUCUGGUUUUCUUAGCCUGGGAUAUCCUUAUCUUCCUCUUCCCUGGGACCAAAUUUCAGGUGUUGCCUUUUGCAGACAUUCCUGGAUUGGGUAGGCAGGCACCGCUCAGCACUUUUCCCUUAGUGGUUUGUGCAUCCCCUUUUUUCUUCUUGUGUGUGGUCUACUGACUAUUUCCUAUUCAUUAUGGCAUCCCUAGCUCCUUGAGUUCCUGCCACACAACAAAUAGUAAACACGAUCAUUCUGGUGCAGCCACUCUGGGGAACAAUAUAGAGGUUCCUCAGAAAACUAAAGACAGAACUACCCUACAAUCCAGCAAUUGCACUAUUAGAUAUUUACCCAAAGGAUACAAAAAUACAGAUUUGAAAGGAUACAUGCACCCUAAUGUUACAGCAGCAUUGUCAACAAUAGCCAAAUUAUGGAGAAAGCCCAAAUGUCCAUUGACUGAUGAAUUGAUAAAAAAAAUGUGACACACACACACACACACACACACACACACACACACAAUGGAAUAUUACUCAGCCAUCUAAAAGAAUGAAAUCUUGCCAUUUGCAAUGACAUGGAUAGAGCUAGAAUGUAUUAUGCUAAGCAAAAUAAGUCAAUCAGAGAAAGACAAAUACCAUAUAAUUUCACUCAUAUGUGGAUAUUAAGAAACAACUGAGGGUUGAUGGAGGGGAAGUGGUGGGGAAAUGGGCUAGAUGGGUGAUGGGUACUAAGGAGGGAAUUUGUGAUGAGCACUGGGUGUUGUCUGUAAAUGAUGAAUCCCUGAAAACUACUUCUAAAACCAAUAUAGUACUGUAUGUUAACUAAAAUUUAAAUAAAUUAAAAAAAUAAACACAAUCAUUCUUGAAUUAUUAAAGCAUGAAUGAAAGAGAAAGUGUGUCCUCAAGGGAAACAUUGGUGUUCUAAUCGCUAAAAAAACAUUCUUUCAAUUUUAAAUCCAGUUUUUAAUAUUCUCAUUAGUGAUACAUGUUGGAAGUUUCUUGCAUGGUUGUGAUUAUGAGUCAAAUUGAAAUUGCUAACCCAGGGUUAAAUGAAUAAAAGUCAAUUUUGAAACAGACUAGAUGCUGUGUUUGUGAUGAUCCUACUGAGGUAGAAGUGCCCUAUAAUAUUCCAAAAGACCAACUAGCCAAUCUAUUGUUUUGUUGCCAUCCCCCUACAACAGGAUCUUUCUGGGGUUGUACUGCUUUCUCUGAUAAAUGGAAUCAUAAAAAAAAGGGGGGGGGAACCUGAUCCACUGUGACCAUUUUUAUAGCUGUUUUUUUUUUUGGCAACCAUACACAUGACCACAGGAUAAUAGGCAAUUUAUCAAAAUAACUGAGAUAAAUAUCAUGGGGUAUAGAAAAUAAAGUCAAGAUAAACCUUUGACAGGACUGAAGGUCUAAUUUAUUACAUGUCUCGUAGGUCUCUUCUGGUGAUUCUGAAGCCAAACCUCUGAUCUUCACAUUUGUCCCCACUGUCAGAAGACUACCAACCCACUCUAAGUUGGCUGACACCUCUAAAUUCCUUGUUAAAAUUCCUGAGGAACCAAGUGAUAAGAAUCCAGAAGCUGUAAAUAGGGUAGGAUUACUUUUAUUCUUUUUUUUUUUAUAUUAAGCAACUUUAUAUUAAACAUUCAAUUGUCCAUAAUAAUGACUUGGAAAUUUGUAUGAAUGUUUAUUUCCUUUGCAUAAAGUGAGAUGUCUGUGAAAUGUAAGGUUGACUAAAAAUAUAAGUGUGUAAUAGAAACUGAAACAUUAUCAUACCCCUGCUUCUUUCUAAUACACUAUUCUCAACUCAUGAGUUGACACCCUGUUCUUUGCUAUUCACAUGACACAUUCUGCCUCCUGGCAUUUUCCCUUCUCCCAAAUAUGUCUUAAAAUAAUGAAAACAAAAUUUCCUGAGAAGUUUGAAUUUAUCUUGAUAGAAAAUACAAAAUAAAAUGGUGAGACAUUAUUGUUUUACAUGCAAUAAAUUAGCAAAAUUUAAAAAGUGUCAUAUCCAGUACUGGGACAGUUGUGAAGGUAUUGGCAUGCUCAUGCUUUGCAGCUAGCUCUACGAAUUUAUACAACUUUGGUGGAAAGCCCUUAUGCAUAGUUUUAAAACUGUCAUAAUUUUCAAUAACUAACUCUUAGAAAUGUAGUUAGCUGGUGGCCUGGCUAGUUAGCCUGUAGUUAGCCUGGGUAGCUAGUUAGCCUGUAGUUAGCCUAUAGUUAGCCUGACCUGUAGGUAGCCUGGGUGGCUCAAUUGGUUGAGCAUCUGGCUCUUGGUUUUGGCUCAGGUCAUGAUCUCACAGUUCAUGAGCUUGAUCCCUUCAUUGGGUUCUGAGCUGACAGUGCAAAGCCUGGUUGGGAUUCUCUCUCUUCCUCUCUCUCUCUGCCCAUCUCUGGCUUGCUCUCUCUCUCUCUCUCAAAAAUUAAAUAAAUAAACAUAAAAAAAGAAAUAUAUUUUAAGGAAAUAGUACAAAGGCAGAAAAAAUGUCAUUUAGGAAAACAAUUAGGGAAAAAUAAAAAUAGUCUAAUAGCUAAUAAUCAGCAAAAUAAAAUUAAGAAUAUGAUAAUAAAUUACUUUUACAAGGUUAUAAUUAUAGUGAUUAUGUAAUUCCAUGGAAAGUAUUAACUUUAUAAUAGUAAGCAACAACAUAGGUUAUAAAAUUGUAUUUAUACACUGAUUAUGCUUAUCCAAAAUGAGACCAAAACUGGAAAUAAAAUUAAAACAGACAAAAAACCCUGAUAAUGACUUGUGUUAGCGCAAUGACAGUUUGGCUAAAAAACCCUUUCUCUUUAAAAAAUAUAUUUAAGGGGUGCCUGGGUGGCUCAGUUGGUUAAGUGUUCAACUCUUGAUCUCACCUCAGGUCUUGAUCUCAGGGUCCUGAUUUCAAGCCCUGUGUUGGGCUCCAUGAUGGGUGUGGAACCUACUUAAAAAAAUGUAUUUUAAUACUGUCUUAUUAUGAAUAAAAUGUGACUGGGGGAUUUCGUGGUGUUCUUGAUUCACUAAAAAGGGGCAAAAUAAUCUGAUUCACCUUGGGUGUAUGAAAACAUCUUAUCUGGAAAGCUAUAAUAUAUCUGUGAUCCUGAGAUUUUUCAAUGCUACUGCCUUAUUUCAAAGACUAUUAAGGCCACAUUAUUUCAGGGAGAUCCUACACACGACAAUUGGAAUGACCAGGAAAUUUCUCUCUAAGAGUUCUCAAAUAUGUAUACGCACACACACAUAGUUAUGGUGUCCUUUGUUAUAGGUGCUAUGAGCAUAUGAGAUGACUGUGGACAUAUAUAUUAAUCUUGGUUGCAAACUUCCAGAGGUUCCUGAGACAUUGAUAUUUAUUUGCUGAUUGCACUGAAAUGCACACAACUAUAUCUUUAGAAUAUUCAAGAUUUUUCUUCCUAUUUUUUAAAUAGUUCAAUAUUAUAAUAGGGCAGGCUAAAUAACCCCUUGAUAAUUUAUAUAUUCAACCACUGUUUACUGAAUGCAUUAUGUGUUUGGUGCAGUGGAUUCUGAAUUAAUAAAGUCAACUCCUGUAACUCAUUAUUGGGAAGGCAUACAAUAAACAAAGUGAAAAGCAUAUAAUGAAAUCUCAGAUAAUGAUAAAGCUGUACAAAAGUACAUCAAACUAAAGGAAUAGAGAAUGAUGGACUACGGGGAAGGGAAUUAUUUUAGAUCACUAAUAAGGUUUUUGAAGACUAGUUCAAUUUUUGCCAUCUUUUUAGUUAUUGUUACUUUUUAUAAUAAGCAAUCUGUCUCUGAAUCCUUAAUUUUCUUAAAAGUUUAUUUAUUGUGAUAAAGAGAGAGAGAACGAGCAGGGGAGGAGCAGAGAGAGAGGGAGAGAGAAUCUCAAGCAGGCUCUGCACUGUCAGCAUGGAGCCCACCUUGGGGCUCGAUCCCACAAACCGUGAGAUCAUGACCUGAGCUGACAAUCAAGAGUCAGAUGCUUAACUGUCUGAGCCACCCAGGCGCUCCUGAAUCCUUUUAUAUUUAAUUUAAACUUCUUUCUAAUUUGGGUUUUUAUUAUUGUAUAGCAUUAUAAUUUAAUAUGUGAAAUGACCAUUGUCAGAGAAAUCCUAAUCAGAAGCAAUUUACGUUUAUCUUGACUAAAUCAUCAUCAGCUAAGAAAUGUACAGUGGGUAUAUAAAAUCACCUUUUUAGUUAUAUAUAAUCAGUAGUUUGACUUCUAUUCUUACACAUAUGAUAUAUAUGCAUAUAAUAGCACAUGUCAAGUUUACUACCACAGUUGAAAUUUCAUUUAUUUUAGUUUAUUUAGUGUCUUCUUUAUUAUUUUUUAUUCUGCAGUAAUUUUAGACCUAAAGAAAUGUUGCAAAGAAAAGGAUAGUAACCACAGCAUGGUUAUCAAAGCCAAGAAAAUAAACGUUGGGUCUUUUAAAUACAAUCUUAAUGUACAGUACAGUUAUCAUUUUAGAAAAAGAUGCUUGAUAGUUUGAUAAAGAUAUCGUACUUUGGUCUUGUAAACCCUCUCUGUACUCAUAAAAAAAUUGGAUGGGAAAAGAUUAGAAUUACAAAAUAAAAUAGUGGUGAAAAAUACUUUGUACUAAAAAUACUUUUUUUUCCUGGUGUCUGAUUCUUGAGUUCCUCCCAAUUAGUUUAGAUUGUUUUGUUUGAAUACCUACGCAUUUUGUUCUAGUUUUAUUUUUCCUCUCAGACUUUCAGAGAGAUUUGUACUAUUUUAGGAACUUUCAGUGGGGUUUCCUUUCUCUCUGACUUAUACAGGUUUUGCCUGACCAUUAACUAAACACUUGACCAACGCCCAUUUGUUUCAUGAAUGCCUUCAUGGGAAACAUUGCUAUCUCUAUUUCUUUUUAAGAAAUUAUAUCAUGAUUUAUUUUAAAGCAGGUUUACUUGAUAUUGAUUCUGAGCUUGAAGUUGUUUGGGCUUGGACUAGGACAGACAACCGGGCUAGUAAAAGUGAGCCAUUAACUUCAGGGGUGCCUGGGUGGCUCAGUUGAUUAAGUGUCCGACUUCAGCUUGGGUCAUGAUCUCAUGGUUUGUGGCUCAAGCCCCGCACUGGGCUCUGUGCUGACAACUCAGAGCCUGGAAUCUCCUUCAGAUUCUGUGUCUACCUCUCGGCCCCUCCUGAGUUUGUGCUCUGUCUCUCUCUCUCAAAAAUAAAAAUAAACAUUAACAUUUUUUUUUGAAAAAAAGUAAGCCAUUAAUUUCAAUCCAGUCUCUCCUAAGUCAACCUGAUUUUUAAAUAUAUUCCUAAAAAUUCUAGUCUUUGGAAAUCAUAAGCAGGUUAAACUUUUAAGAGUACAGGCAAAACAGAAGCCAGUGUCAAACCAAUGUCAAUGCUUUUAUGUCUCUACAUUAAUUACAGUCUGAUUCCAAUGAGUACUUGACCUUGAAUGCUGGGAGCCAACGGGAGAGAGACCAAGGAACAUUGAUUUAUCCUUCAGAGGUCAGUGAAAAUAUUUCACAAGGAAGGGGACUCAAAGCAAACGAACUUCAAGGAAUGCAGCAAAGUGACCUCUUUAAAGCUGAAUAUGUCUUUGUUGUGGACUCGGAAGGGGAAGAUGAAUCUACCAGUGGAAAAGGUGAACAAGGCCCCCCUGGAGGGAUGGGCACCACAGCUUCUCGGCCCAAGUCUCUAGCAAUUUCCUCCACUCUGGCCUCUGAUGUGGUACGUCCCAAAACACGGGGGACAGACCUCCAGGCCCCAUCACAUCCUGAAAUGUCUCAUGGGAUUGCCCCUCCGCAAAAGCAUGGGCAGGUAGGUUUUUCUUCUUGUCAUAGAAUAAAAGAAAAUGUUUACGUACUCUUUAUCCUAGGCUGUCUGCAAAGGCCUUCCUGUUUGAAGCAAAUAAAACUCUCAAAGAGAAAAGAUACUAAAAAACCAAAAUCCCAAGAUCAUAAAUCAUCAGAGUAAAUAUAGAUAAUUAAUUCAUAAGACAAAAAAGAUUAUAUAAUUGUACUGCGAGUUGGCUGAAGAGAAAAUGUAAAAUAUUCAGCUGGAGUGGAUCUGGGGGAAUGUUAUCUCUUACUUUUGAAUAAUUCUUGGAAGAGGUUGAUAUUGGGACUUUCUUAGGAGACAGUGCUGGGUUAGCUGGCUGCCUCCAAAAGCAUACUUCAGAUAGGAGAAAGAUCCUGUGGGAAGACAUCAAUUGAAUAUCAGAUGUAGACACAUUACUUUUAAACUGCUGAAAGAGUAGUAAAAGGACAGGCUAGGAAACAAGAGUGUGUAAGAAAAAAGAAAUCUCACCUGUGUGUCUUAUGGAGAGAAUCUGUUGUAGUCCUGGAACCCACCAGUGCAGGGCUUGCCUCAGCGAAAUGGGGAGAAGAUUCCACCCCAAGACUUAGCAGCAAAAUUGACGAGUUCCUUUAAGACGGAGAACCUAUUCAAGACCCAUUUCUGUGAUAGGCAGGGAAGAAAGGAGGUGGAUAGAGAGGGAUUUUGAAGGGAAAAAUAUGAAGGAUUUGCCAUUGGCUGGCUAAUUGUUUAAUGAAAUGAUAAAAUGGUUUUGAUAAGGCCUAGGUAGAAUGUCAGGAAUGCAAAGGCUGGCUUUGGGAGUGGAUAGUGGAUGCAAAGUUCUCUUUUGUAAAGCAGGAGUCAGUAUCAUGAUGUCCUAUUUAGGAUCUGUUAGACAAGGCACUUGCAAGCAUCUCAAAGUAGUUGGGAGAACAUUUUUAUUGGUGAGUUGGCCCUUUGGGGCUGAUAGGACCUAUGCAUAAUUGUAGAGUAGGCAUCUUAUUCGGGUGUCACCCUAUCUUCAUUUCUGCAGCUUUCACUGACUUCCUGAUGCUUAAUUUAUGUCACUUUUAAGUAUCCAGUAUCCUUAGGCUACUCUUUCAUGGUAGAAGACUCUCACUAGGGUACCCCCAUCUUGGUCUACUGGACUAAAACAUUUAUUUCCUCUCAAAAUUUAUUCUCAAUGAUUGGAAAUGUUCUAAUUAUAUAACUAAACAUAUUCUCAGUAAGCAGCGUUAGGCUUAAACAUUUCUUUCUUGCCUCGGGAAAGAUGAUGGAAUCACCAAGUUGUAGACAUGGGGGCUCUCAUAGUCAGGGGAGGGUAAUUUUAUCUGGCCCCUGUGAAGAAGAACAUAAAGGCAUGAUGAUAAAAAAUAGAAGAAAACAAAGAAAAUAUUCUUAAUGAAGCAAUUUUUGGAUUUUUGAUUCACUCCUUCCCCCAGUUGUUAGGUUUUUUCCCCCUGAGUUGGUCAUUUAACUUGUUUUUAUGUGAUCAAAUAUAUAUAAGUCAAACUAGAGACUGGAUACAUAUCUUGGGAUCUUUUUUCCAAAAUAUAUUAUUUUGCAGUAGGUUAUAGUUCAUGUUAUCAAAGCUCCUAAUGAAAAGGCAAAUUCAACCUAAUUCACUAGUGGCUGAAAAUUAUGGUUACCACUAAUGGAGGAAUAGUAGACCUUGAAAAGUUUGGGAAUAGCCAUUGUUCCUGUUUCCAUUUCCUAUAAUAAUCCAUUUGAGUGAUGAAUAGUAGAACAUCAUCAAAUGAAAAUAAGAUGAAAUAAGGUAACUGUUACCCACAAAUGUUUACAUCAUUUACAAUGAUCCAGGCACCAAAGAAGGCAUUCAGAAUUUUAAUGUAGUCAGUAGUAGGAACAACAACUCUAAAGAAUAUCCUGAUUGGAUUACUUCAUGCCAACAACGUCAAUUUUUCAAUCAGAAAUGUAGUCAUUUAAGUGAAUUAACUGGUAAAAACGAAUCCAUGUAUAGAACUGUCUACAAAUUAGCACUAUUAGCAACAAUUUAUUAAGCUAGCCUAAAAAAUGCCUUCAGUUUCUGGUUUGGCUUUUAACUUUUCAAUAAACUAGCUUAGAUGUCAUUUUCUGUUCAUAUCUUGUACUUCUCUUCCUCAGUUCUUCUGAACUAUCACAAAAGUACACACUUCAUAGCUUUCCAUCCCUGAGCCCCUGAUUCCUCUUUGUAAAGCUUAUUUCUUCCCCAGACCAAUCUCCAUUUUGGCCUGGGCUACUUAACACUAAGCUCAGCAGAAGGAGCACCUCUUCCACUUUCCAUAUAUAUUUUUAGCCUUUUUAGAAAAUCUCUAUUAUAACUCCUUUUCACUGUGUUGUAAUGACACAUCAUUUUUUCUUCCUCAGUAGGCAGAGAACAACUUAAGUCAAGCUCUAUCUCAUUUAUUUCUGUGUUUCCAGCACUUACUACAGUGUCUUUCACAUAGGUGAGGUUCAGUAAGGUGUGUGAAAGGAAUAAAUAUUUAAGUAUUCACAGCUUUGGAGUCCUUGCACAGAUAUUGACCCCUUCAUGAAGUCAGCUUUGGUUCUCUGAGUCAGAAUAAACUCUCCCUCAAUAUGAUUCUGAUCGCUUUUUCUUUUUGUCUUUUUUUCUUUUGGUACAUCUUUUAUAACAAUUAUCCUAUUUCAGCAUGUAUUAUAACUAUUUAGGUGCAUAUCUUAUCUCCCCUAGCAGAUUGUAAAGUCUUUAGAGGUAAAAGUCCAUGUUAAAUCCAUUUUUAUUAAACAUGUUGUUCCCUAUAGUGAUUAUUAUAUUACCAUGAAUAUAGUCAAUAUAAAUAUUGGGUUGAAUAUAUUUAUAUCCCAAAUACUUUCACUGAAGUGGCAUGUUUAAAUAAAAGCACAUUAUUUUAAAAAAGUCACUAGACAAUUAAAAACUUUAAAGUGUAGGUCAAAAGUAAAAAUGCUGUAUAAAAUAAGCAAUUGAAUUAAAAGCCUCUCAAAUAAAAUUCAGAAAGAAAGAGUAAUAUUUUUGAGUGUUGACAUCUUGAAUGAUGAUAUAAAAGUCUAAGAAUCGUCUUACCUAGGGAUAGUAUUAAGAGUUAACAGAGAAGUGAAUAUACACAUAACAAACAGAGUGGAUUGGCUGAAAGACUUAUGAUAAAGCCCGUAGCUGAGGCAAACAGUGGGAAUUAAAAAAAGAACUUACAGGGUAAGCAUUUUUCAUUGACAUAUAUGGGAAAAAUCAAGGACGAACGAAAUUUAUAACCAGGGAAAUUGGAUGAAUGUUGAUAUCAUUAGUUAAGGGAAAAGUAAUAGGUCUUGGGAAGGGAUAGCAAGAGAUAAGACAUCUGAUGCAGAGUUUGUGAUGCCUUGGUGGCACAGCAUGAUUCCCUAGGAAGGAGCUGGAAGUAUGAAUCUGGAAAACAGAAGAGGAAUGCGGGACUGGAGAUUUUUGCUAUAUAAAUUGAUGAGGGUGGAGGUAUUUACUCAUGGAAAGAAUGUAGAACAAAAAGACAUACAAACCAGGAAAGGGGCGCCUGGGUGAUUCAGUCAGUUGAGCGCCUGACUCUUGAUUUCAGCUCACGUCAUGAUCCUGGGGUUGUGGGAUUGAGGCCUGCAUUGGGCUUUGCUCUGAGCUUGGAGCCUGCUUCAUAUUCUCUCUCUCUCUCUCUCUCUCUCUCUCUCUCUCUCUCUCUCUCUUUCUCUCUCUCUCUCUCUUUCUCUCUGCCCCUUUUUCCCACUUGUGCUCUCUCUCUCUCUAAAACAAACAAGAUACAAACCAGGAAAUAGCAAAAUGUGAAGGGUCUAUGAAAGACUAGAAGCCAAUGACAGGGACUGAGGGGACAAAGGAAGUUGCAGAAAGGGGUUCAUGCAAUGAAAGCUGGAGGGAUGUUGAACAAAAAGAAUAGCCUAUAAACAACAUCAAAUCAAUUAAAAAAAUAAAAUAUUAUAAAUAAUGCAUGAAGAAAAAUAAAAUACAAAACAAGGUCAGAUAAAGUAGGACCCUCAAAGCCUAUUAAAUCUGGGAAUCAGAAGGUCAUUUGGUGACCUUAAGGAGAGCAGUAUGAGGGGGGGUGAUAGGGACAGAAAUGCAGCUAAGAUAGGGAUAGAUGGUAAGGAAAGGAGACCAUGUACUGGAGAGAUGGUAUGGGAAGGCAGGAAUGACAGAGGCAUCAUACUGGCCAUGCUCCUCUGGACAGUUACUUGGAAUCUUAAACCUUAGUUUCCUCAUUCGUAAAAUGGGGUAAUGAUAUCAACCUCCCUUGUGAAGAUUAAAUGAGAUAAUAUAUGUAAUGUGCCUAGAACAGUGCCUGGCUUGUGGUAUGUUCUCCACAGGUGAUUUACUAUAUUUAAGAAGUUUGAGAGGGGCCCCUGGAUGACGCAGUCAGUUAAGUAUUCGACUUCUGCUCAGGUCAUGAUCUAGCAGGCAGGUUCAUGAGUUCAAGCCCCAUGUCAGGCUCUCUGCUGUCAGCACAGAGCCUGCUUCUGAUCCUCUGUCCCCCUCUCUCUCUGCCCCUCUCUCACUUGCACUCUCUCUCCGUCUCUCUCAAAAGAAAUAAAAAAUAAAGAAUUUGAGAUGGCAGCGUGUUUGGGGGUUCAGGGUAAGGAACUUGUAAGGAGGCAGAGGUUUUAUAUUGGUUCAACUGUAGCUUGGGUGUAAGAACAAAGGAGAAGACAUGGAAAAUGAGGUAAAAAAACUGGCUGGGGUUAAAUAAAGGUUGUUCUUACAUAAAAGUGUGGGAAAUUAGGACACUGGCAUGCAUAUUUAUUAAGUACCUAGAUUUUAUGGAUCCAUGGCAAAGAGAUUACAACAAAUUAUUUGGCUAGGGCAUUAGACAUAGAAGCUUUCCUUAUGCCCUGAGGCUUUAAUCUGCUCUGUGCUGGCAGAACCCUUGAGAUCCCCCAGUGGUAGCAGGUUGUUUCCUCUGGAUGAGAUCAAUUGUGCCAUUAGCCUAAGGGGCAGAGAAAGUACAUUAAUGGAAAAUCAAGUUGCUUUGACGAUUCCAGCAGAAAGUUGAUGGCUCCUAUUAACAGGAGUGUCUCCUGACUUGAUGUCAGAAUUCAAUUUUUUUCCUUGUUGGCGAAAUAAAGACUGAACCGGAUGUCAGAGUCCCUGUUCUCCCCUUCCUCUGCUCAUCUUCACUAAUCAGAGUCUAGAGCAGAGCAGCAUGGGUGGCUCAGUCGGUUAAGCUCCUGACUUUGGUUCAGGUCAUGAUCUCACAGUUCAUGAGUUUGAACCCCCAUUGGGUUCUGUGCUGAUAGCUUGGAGGCUGGACCCUGCCUUGGAUUCUGUGUCUCCCUCUCUCUCUACCCCUCAUCUGCUCACACGCUGUCUCUCUCUCAUUCUCUCUCAAAAUUAAAUAAACAUUAAAAAAAUAAUAAAAAAAGAACAAGGAGGGACAGUCACUGAUGAGGCUUUCUUCAAAGAAAGGUGAUGAGACUCUAGGUCCUAGCAGUCUGUCAUUCUGUUCUUAUAUCCACUAGACACUUUGUUUCUUCAUUCCUGUGUGAAGGUAAUAUGCCAGGUACAGGAGAGUAAGGGAAUUAAUUGUAAAAGACAGGACCUGCCUUCAGGGGAUUUGAAAAAGAUGCACCUGAAAACAAUGACAAUGAAAAAGAACACGUUCUAGGAACAAGGGGAGAUUCAGGGGGAGGCUGCCUAGAUCAGCCCACACCAUCAGGAAUGUUCACACUGUAGAAGCCCAAUGUGAAUGAUGAAUACAAGUUUUCUUGGCAGAUACCUAGGGCCUGGACAUUUCAGAUAGUGCGAACAACCAGGGAAGUGCCAACUUAUAAGAAGCGGGUAGAAGAAGACAAGGACUCUGAGAAGGACUCAUCAGAAGACAGGAGAUAAAGUAGGAGACAGUGAUGAAAUAAAAGCCACAGAUAAAACAGCUUUAAAAAGGAGAGAGAGAUAGGAGGUCAGAUUGUAUAGAGAAAUCAGAAACGAUAAGGCAUUUGUUUUGCCCUAGUGCCUCUUGGGCAUAGAAAAAAAAAAAUCACUGUAGGCAUUGGUGAUAACAGUUCCUGUGGAAGAGUAGGGGAUAAAAACUCUUUAGAGGUCACUGGGAAGUGUGCUAGUUUUCUAUUGCUGCAUAACAGAUGACCGUAAAUUUCUUGGCUUUAAUAAAAUACCUAUUUAUUGUCUUAAGGUUUCCGUAGUCAGAAGUCUGUGCACAGCUGAACUGGUUCCUUGCUCAGGGCCUCCUGAGUUUGAAGUUAAGGGAUCAGGCUGCCCUCUCAUGUGGAGGCCCUGCAAGGGAAGGAUCUGCUCCUCAACUCCCUCUUGUUAUUGGCAGAAUUCUUUUCCUAGAGGCUGUAGAACUCAUGGCAGCUUACUUCUUAAAGCUGACAAUGAGAAAGCAAAUCUCUGACACUGUAAUCUCUAAACUUUUGACCCUCUUUUAAAGAGCUCAUUUGGGGCGCAUCUGUGAAGCGUCUGACUCUUGGUUUCAACACAGGUCGUGAUCUUAUGGUUUCCCGAGUUCGCGUCUCACCAUUGGACUUCAUGCUGACAGUGCGGAGCCUCCUUGGGCUUCUCUGUCUCCCCCUCUGCUUCUGCCCCUCUCCCACUUACACUGCCUCUGUCUCUCUCAAAAUAAAUUAAUAAACUUAAAAAAUUAAAGAGCUCACUUAAUGAGGUCAUGCUUACACAGGAUAAUCUGUUGGUUAACUUAAAGCCAGCUGACCAGGGACUUUAAUUACAUCUGAAAAAUGCCUUCCCCUUUGCCACAUUCUAUUAGAAGCAAGUCACGCAUUCUGCUCCUUUGAAAAGAGGCGGGGAUAAUAAAAGGGUGGGGCUCGUUAGGAAGUCUCUUUAAGGUGUGUUGGGUGAAGUAAGGAAAUCAAUACAGUGAUUGUAUGGUACAGGUGUCAGAAGAAAACAACAUGGGUCUGAAAUGAAGGGAUCCGCAGGAUCCACAAAACUCUUGGUGCACGUGUGUGCACAUGUUUUUAUCAGUUAGCAUUUGCUGCAUAACAAACCAAGCAAAAUGUAGUGUUUUCAAACAGCUAACAUUUAUUUGGCUCAAAUAUCUACAGGUCAGAAGUUUGGCUGUGUUCAGGUGGGUGGUUCUGCGUAUCUGUGAUAGGGUCAGCUAAUCUUUGCUGUGGUUCACUUGUCUGCAAUUGGCUGCUCGGUCAGCUGGUAGCUGGUUAGCUGAGAUGUGGUUUUGUAUCCUCCGGUAGACCAGCCUGGGCGCAUUCACGUCAUGGUGAUGUUCUGUCCUCAGCAAGCCAGUAAGCUCCAAGGCAUUUGUGUCUUUCAAGCCAUUGCUUCUUGUGUCACAUUUGCUAAUGUCCCACUGGCCAAAACAAGUCUUAAGGCCAGUUGAGAUGGAGGCGGGUGGGAAAGGAGGACUUUGCCUUUUUUAUGAAAAGAGUAGAGAAUCUGGGGCAUUUUUAUAAUCUACCGCAUAAUAUUUAUUACUAUGUUUUUAAAGUUUGGAAGCAUUCUGCUUUAUAUUUAUGAGACAAAUGAGACAGCUAAUAAAAAGGAAAAAGGAUGGCUACGUAGCACAAGGGGCAUAACUGAUGAAAUAAGAUUCCAAAGAAGGCAAGAGCUGCUGUGAUUCAGAGUACACAGCGAAAAUUUACCUUUUAAACAAUUGAAAAGUCAACAUUUUCCCUUAGAAGGAAGGAGAAAGAAUAAGAAUAGGUGUAGAAAACAAUAGAUUUUCCUGUUAAUCUCAGUUUUCCUUGGAGAAAGUGAAUCUAGGUCAUCUAUUGAGUACAAUAAGAGGAGUGGUGAGAACAGGGUUUAUGGAGAGUGUUAACUUUUGGAAGACCUGUUGUUCAGGACAGGAUAGGAAGCUGAGGGCAAAACAAAAGAAAACAACAACAACAACAACAACAACAACAAAAUACUGAGAGGCACAGGGCCCAGUUGAGACUGUAAGACCUUAACUUUAUGAUGCCAGUCUAAAGUGCCUUCUAGCUCAUAUGUGAGGGAAAGAUGCCUUCCUCUGCACAGGUUCAGGGAAUUCAGUUCCACUCUCAGCUGAUAUCUGCGUAAGGGACAAGUUCCUAGGUCAAGUGCAGUGGCCCUGCCAAUCAAAAGGGCUGUGUUAUUUUUUAUUUCUUUUUUUCUCCAUUUUUUUUUUUUUAACAUUCCAGUAUAAUUAAUGUGCAGUGUUAUAUUAGUUUUGGGCGAGCGGUACAGUGAUUCUACAAUUCUAUACAUUAUUCAGAGCUCAUAUGAUAAGUGUACUCUUAAUCUAUUUCACCUAUUUCACCCAUCCCCCAGUCACCCCAGCCUUACUUUCUCCCCUCUGGGAGAAAUUUGUUCUCUGUAGUUCAGAGUCUGUUUUUUCUUUUUUAUUAUCUCUUUUUUGUUGUUGGUUUGUUUUGUUUCUUAAAUUCCACGUAUGAGUGAAAUCACUUAUUUCACUUAGCAUUAUACCCUCUGGAUCUAUCCAGGUUGUUGCAAAUGGCAAGAUUUCAUUCUUUUUUGUGGCUGAGUAAUAUUCGUUUGUGUGUGUGUGUGUGUGUGUGUGUGUGUGUGUGUGUGUGUGUGUGUACCACUUCUUCUCUAUCCAUUCAUCUAUCUAUCAGUGGACAUUUGGGCUGCUUCUGUAAUUUGGCUACUAUAAAUAAUGCCGCAAUAAACAUAGACGUGCAUUUAUCUUUUGCAUUUAGUGUUCUCAUAUUCUCUGGGUAAAUAACCAGUAGUAGAAUUACUGGAUCAUAUGCUGGUUUUAUUUUAAGUUUUUGAGAGACUUUUAUACUGUUUUCCACAGUGACUGUACCAGUUUGCAUUCCUACCAACAGUGCAUGAGAGUUUCUUUUUUUCCAGUCCUCGGCAACACUUCUUUUUUCUUGUGUUUUUGAUUUUAGCCAUUCUGACAGGUAUGAGGUGAUAUGUUAUGGUGGUUUUGAUUUGAAUUUCCAUGAUGAUGAGUGAUGUGGAGCAUUUUUUCAUACGUCUGGAUGUGUUGGAGAAAUAUCUGUGUAUGUCUUCUGCCCAUUUUUAAUUGGCUUUUUUUUUUUUGGUGUUGAGUUGUAUAAGUUCUUUAUAUAUAUUUUCUGGAUCAUAACCCCCUAUCAGAUAUGUCAUUUUCAAUUAUCUUCUCACAUUCCAUAGGCUGUAAGUUAGUUUUGUUGAUUAUUUCCUUUCCUUUCCUUUGCAGAAGCUUUUUAUUUUUAUGUAGUCCCAAUAGUUCAUUUUUGCUUUUAUUUCCCUUGCCUCAGGAGAUACCUCUAGAAAAAUGUUGCUAUGGCCAAUGCCAGAGUAAUGACUACCUGUGCUCUCUUCUAGAAUUUUCAUGGUUUUGGGUCAUUAAUCCAUUUUGAGUUAAUUUUUGUGUAGGUGUGAGAAAGUGUCCAGUUUCAUUCUUUUGCAUGUAGCUGUCCUGUUUUACAAACACGAUUUGUUGAAGAGACUGUCUUUUUUCCCAUUUCACAUUCUUGCCUCCUUUGUUGAAGAUUAGCUGGUCAUAUAAUUGUGAGUUUAUUUCUGGGCUCUCUAUCCUGUUCUUUUAGAUUCAUGUGUUUAUUUUUGUGCCAGUGCCAUACUGUUUUGAGUACUACUACUUUGUAGUAUAUCUUGAUAUCUGAGAUUGUGAUACUUCUAGUUUUGUUCUUUUUCAAUAUUGCUUUGGCUAUUCAGGGUCUUUUGUGGUUCAAUAAAAAUUUUAAGAUUAUUUGCUCUAGUUUUGUAAAACAUGCUAUUGGUAUUUUGAUAGGGAUUGCAUUAAAUCUGUAGAUUGUUUUGGGUAGCAUAGACAUUUAACAAUUUUUGUUCUUCUGACCCAUGAGCGUGGAAGGUCUUUCCAUUUCUUUGGGUCAUCUGUUUCUUUUAUCACUGUUUUGCAGUUUUCAGAGUACAGGUUUUUCACCUCCUUGGUUAGGUUUAUUCCUAGGUAUCUUAUUAUUUUUGUUUUUUUAUCCAUUCCAUUACCCUGUGUCUUUUGAUUGGAGUGUUUAGUCCAUUUACAGACAAAAUAAUUAUUGUUAGGUUCAUACUCAUUGCCAUUUGUUACUUGUUUUAUGGUUGUUUUCGUAAUUCUUCUCUGUUUCUUUCUUCCCUUGCUCUCUGCUCUCAUGGUUUGCUGGUUUUCUUUAGUGGUAUGCUUGGAUUCCUUUCUCUUUAUUUUCUGUAUAUCUAUUACCAGUUUUUGCUUUGUGGUUACCAUUAGAAUUAUAUAUAACAUCUAAUACAUAUAGAGUCUGUAUUAAUUUGAUGGUGGCUUAAGUUUGCACCCAUUGCAAAAGCACUAAAUUUCUACUUCUCUCCCCACCCCCACCCCCACAUCUUAGGUAUAUGGUGUCAUACUUUACAUCCCUUUUUCUGUUAAUCCCUUGACUGCUUUUUAUAGAUAUAUGUAAUUUUACUGCUUUUAUGCUUCCAGCUUUUCUUACUCCUACUUAUAUCUUUCCUUUCCACUCAAAGAGUCCCUUUAUAUUUCUUCUAAGGCUGGUUUAGUCGUAAUGAAUUCCUUUAACUUUUGUUUGUCUGGGAAACUCUAUCUCUCUAUCUAUUCUGAAUGAUAGCUUUGCUGGAUAGAAUAUCGUUGGUUGUAGGGUUUUAUUUCCUUUCAGCACUUGGAAUCUAUCAUGCCACUCCUUUCUGGCCUGAAACAUUUCUGCUGAAAAAUCCACUGAUAGCUUUAUGGGGUCUCUCUCAUACACAAUUGUUUUCUUUUCUCUUACUGCUUUUGAAAUUCUCUCUUUAUCACUACUUUUUGCCAUUUUAAUUUUUUUUUUUUUAACGUUUAUUUAUUUUUGGGACAGAGAGAGACAGAGCAUGAACGGGGGAGGGGCAGAGAGAGAGGGAGGGAGACACAGAAUCGGAAACAGGCUCCAGGCUCCGAGCCAUCAGCCCAGAGCCCGACGCGGGGCUCGAACUCACGGACCGCGAGAUCGUGACCUGGCUGAAGUCGGACGCUUAGCCGACUGCGCCACCCAGGCGCCCCUACUUUUUGCCAUUUUAAUUACUAUGUGUCUUGGUGUAGACCUCCUUGGGUUAAUUUUUUGGGGGUCUGUCUGUAUCUCCUUGAUCUGAAUUUCUGUUUCCUCUCCCAGAUCUGGGAAGUUUUCAGCUGUUAUUUCUUCAAGUUAAUUUUCUUUCUUCUUUUCUUUCUCUUCUCCUUCUGGGUUCCCUAUAAUGUGAAUGUUAUUAUGCUUGAUAGUGUUGCUGAGUUCCCUUAAUCUAUUUUCAUUUAUUAUUAUUAUUUUUUUUCUCUCUCUUGUUCAGCUUGAUUGCUUUCCAUUACUCUUCCUCCAGGUUGCUGAUCUGUUCUUCUUACUUCUUCUUGUCCACUAUUUAUUCCCUCUAAUGUACUUUCAAUUAUAGUUAUUGAGUUCUUCAUCUCUGAUUGGUUACUGUUUAUAUUUUCUGUCUUUUUGUGGAUGGUCACAAUGAGAUCCUCCAUUUUUUUCUCAAGUUCAGUGACAGUCUUUAUGACCAUUACUUUAAAUUCUCUGUUAAGCAUAUUAUUUAUCUCUGUUUUAUUUAGCUCUCUUGCUGUGAUUUUGUCCUGUUUUUUUUUUUUCAUUUGGGAUAUAUUCCUCUGUCUCCUCAUUUUGUCUCUCUGUCUGUUUCUCUGUGUUAGCAAAGUUGGCUAUAAAUCUCCUAGUCUUGAAGUUAGUGGCCUUGAGAAAAAGAGGCCCGCAGUGCUCUACAGUGCAGUGUCCCUUGUUCACCAGAACCUGGAAAUUCAGAAGUGUCUUUUAUAUAUGUUGCAUGUUCCCCUAUUAUUGUGGCUGAGCCUUCAGCUUAGUCAUUUUCAAAGGCUCUCCUUGCCUGUUGUGGACAGAAUUAGGCCCCUAUGUUGUUAGUGGGUUGGUCUGGUGUUGCCUUGGGCUUGAGUUGAGUCAGACAAGACACUUGCCAGUGCUGUGGUGGUACUAAAUAGCAGAGUGCUUUUGCUGUGCUAUUCUCUGCAAAGCUUUGUUGAUGGGUAUUGCCUGCACUUAGAGAAGAUAUCUGCCUCCAGCCCAUUGUUAUGGCCAGAGUUGAAUGUUGUGUGUGAUUUUCUUCCCCCUCCCUGGGGAAGGAGGCAUUUUGAGGUGAUGCUGGCCCCUUUCAAGGCUGCUUUCACACUGCCAUGCUUGUAACAUGGCUUUGCAUGGACUCCCUCCAAGAGCAUGUUGGAUGAGGUGAGUUUGCAGAAGAGCAGGAGGGUGGGGCAUCCUGUUAGUGAGCUAGGUGGAUAGUGUUGGUUCUAUGCUGGUUCCUGCACAUAUCCCUGUAUGUAGGCUGGGGGGUAGGCUCUUUUGUUUUUAGAGGUGUCUCCUAAAGAUACCUACCCCUCCAGCACAUGCUCUGAGAUUAGUAAGCAAAUCUGUGUACCCCAGGAAUCUUUCUUUUUCUUUUUUUAAAUUAAAAAAAAGUUUAUCUUCAGAAAGAGCAUGCAGGAGAAGGGCAGUGAGAGAGAGGGAAAGAGAAUCCCAAGCAGGCUCUGUACUGGCAGUGCAGAGCCUGACUUGGGGCUCAAUCUUACAAAACCAUGAGAUCAUGACCUGAGCCAAAAUUGAGAGUCAGACACUUAACCUAGGUGGGACACUAACUAGGUGGGAGCCACCUAGGCAUCCCAACUCCAGGCAUUUUUCAAACUGCUGCUUUUCUGCUGUGUCUAAGCAGGGCUAUUUGAUGUGCUGUCUCUUUAAGGGUUGGAACUCAGUUUCCUAUUGUUUUUCUGUUCUCCCAGAGCUGAGCCUGCUGAUUCUUAAAUUUCCAGGUGUCAAGCCCCUCUGAUUGUAAGCACUCCUGAAGUUAGGCUUCCUAGUUUUCAAAGCCAGAUAUUAUGGGGAUUUUUCUUCCCACUGCAAGUACCUUGUGCCCGGGGCAUGUGGUAUGGGGUCUGCUCCUUUCCCCUCUCAGCACUCAUGGUGUCCCUCCCUCCUGAGGACAGUCUCCUGGGUCAGUUUGGCUCCCAACUGUGUCUGUACUUUCCCUACUCUUUUUGGUGUGGCCUGUUCUCUACAAUUAGCUGUGGACAGUCUGUUCUGCCAGUCGUUGGGUCUUUUUCUGGGUUAUUGACACUGAUGUGGGUGUUAUUUAGGUGUAUCCCUGGGAUAAAGUGAGCCUAGGAUCUUCCUACUUCACCAUCUUCCCGGGAAGCCCUUUGUUAUUAUUAUUAUUUUCAUAGCCGCUUUAAGUAGAUUAGGUGUAGGAGCAUAAUGGCAGCAGGAUUGAUUUAAGAUUGAAGAUUUGGCAAGUGGAUUAGAAAAAGAACAAGGUAGCUAUAAUGUUGACAAUACUGGCCGGAAGGUUGAGAUUGAACAAAGUAUUUCUAAAACCCGAGAUGGAAAAUAGUAGGAGAUGAGAGAGAUGAGAUGAGAUAGCAAGAGAGGGACUCUGUCAUGAAGGAAAGUUACUUAGUUCACAUUAUACAUGGAGAAAGUUUUGAUGACAUCUUGAGUGUAGGUGUGCUCUGAUUAGAUUUUAAAAAGUUGCUCUAAUGCUAGGUUAAAUGGGAGUGCAACUAGAGGUAGAAAUACCAGAAAUAUUAUUUAAAUUGUUAAGGUUUGAAAGGCUGAGAAUCUAUCUGCCCAGUGAUAUUACGAGUGUUCAUUAGUGAGAUGACCCAGAAAUAGGUGUGUUUAGGAGGCCAAGGUGUUUUAAUGUAAUUACUGCAUAUAAGCUCAAACUGGAAUCUAAAGUUUUUACCUUGCAUGGCUGUACAGAUUUAGGAGCAAGAGCUCUACUAUAUGGAUCAAUUUCUUGUGCCAUCCUAAUCUUGGGAACUAUUCAGACAGCAGAUCAAUCACUCUUGCUUUUAUUCAGAUGCUUUGGAAUCUAAGACUCAUUAGAAAAAAUUGAAUAUAUACGGAAGCACUUAAUUUAGGUUGACUAAAAUUAUAACAGCUCCACAAGAGAGAUUGGUUGUUAGAAUAACUGGUGGCUUCUGUUAUACAGGAUCCAAGAGUGGAUUUAGCAUUCAUAUCAUCCACUUGAUGAGAGCAGAACACUACAAGAAUCUUCUCUUACUGAGAUUAUUGUGAAUGUAUUCCAGAAUUCAGGAUAGUCUUUCUAGAAGAAGAAGUUAGGAAUGACUUUGGAAGAAGUAUAUGGUAGGGGAACUCAAGGAAUCAGAAGAAGGCUGUGAAUUGGAGAACAUAGUUGAGGGUAGCUUUGGAGAGGUGUUUAAAGCAAAGAGAUCAACAAAGAUCACAUUAGAAAUAAAUGAUGAGGAAGACAGAGAAUAGCCUUGAGGAGAAGGAAUUAGAGCAUCAUUAACAAACCUAGAAAACAAAACAAGAUGUUAUAAUGGAAGAGGAUGAAGGGAUAGAAAUUUGUAGACAUCAUUAGAGAAGUUAAUUAUUACUGGUAAAGGAUCUAUAGGGUAGUGGUAAAUGAAGGACCUAUUCUGAGCUGACUGAGCAUUUGACAGGUAUACAUUCUUUCCUUCUGCACAAAGUUAUUCAUGUCUUUAACUACUUUUUUUUAACCCAUUGAGAGGAAUUUAGGAAAAUGAAUCUUUUUCAUUAAAAAAAUAAUUCUUCACUCCUGGGAAUUUUAUAAAAGUAUGGUGCUGUAUUUUUUAAUUAAUGUAAAUUAGGAUAACAUCUGCUGUAUUUGCAAAUUAGAAACAAAUAUAUUGCAAAUACUUGUUAAUAUAUUGAAUAGGAGAAUACAAUAAAAAUGUAUGUAGGUUAAUACAAACACAACAAACAUUCUUAGACUUUUCAGAGUCGUUUCCUUAGAAGUUCCUCAAUAAUCAACUAUUCAAAAGUGCAACAAAAUGGAAUUAUUUAUAUUAGGUAAAAUAUGACUCACUGCAGUAGAAUGUUUGGUAAUUAGAAGCCAUAGUUUGAGAAAGUUGAAGGGAACAGUUUUUUCUUCUGAAUGAGACCUUCAAAAUUAUAGCCUUAUGAUUUUAACAUCAUAAUUUCAUGGAUAAUCUGGAUGAAUUAAUGAAUUUGCUGUAUAAAUUGAAGUUAUCUGGAAAUAUUACUGAAAAGGGAAUGGAAUUUUGUGGCUGUUGUUAUUAAUUUACAAAAUUCUUUACCAAAAACUAUAGCAUAACAUGCAAGGACACCCUACACAGUCUUGAAAUUUCUUCAUUCUUUUUGUGAUAAGAGUGCAAUCAUUGGAAAUAAUCACAGAAGAACUUUCGCUUAUGUCUAAUCACAUGAAUCAGUUAUAUGAACACUGGCUAAGCAGAAUUGUUUCUAAGUAAAGCUGAUGUGAGGGAAUUGUUAAGCUUCUUUCUCAAUUUGAUUGAAUUCUGCUUGAUUAUCAAAUUAUCCCUGAUUUUCAGAUAUUCUGGGUAAUGCCAAUGUAUUCAAAUAUUAAUUGUGUAACAAGAAUUCUGUGUUGCAAGUACACAUAUGAAUUUACACAUAAAAAGAAAGAUCUAUUUUAAUUAUGUUUACUUGAAACUUAGAAGUUUAGGGUGAGUUGUUUGCAUUUAUCAGUUUUAAAUAUUUUUAGGAUUCAAAAGUAUAUGAUAUGAAAAUCUUUACAGUAGGUCUGAUGGACACUUAACAUAUUACAAAAAAAAUCAAGAAAUAUCUUUUAUUGAAUUUGUAAAGCAGGCUUUUGCUAAGUUUAAUUGUUUGGUCAUAUAUUUUCUUUCCAUGUAAGGCAAUAUAUAUUAUAUACAAUAAGAUAUUAUAUAGUAUAAUAUCAUUUAAUAAAUAUUAGCAUUUUGAAUAACUGAUAUUUCCUAAAUUCUCUUAUAAGUUGAUAGAAUCAAAGAAAUAAUUUUGCAGGGAGACCUGUGUUUAAAGAUUUGGCUUUCAAAUCAUUUAUAAUUUUAGCAUUUGUCUUUAGUACUGUCUUAAAGUACUGGAUGAUCUUUAAAAUAGCACAAGAAUACAUACACCCAGUUAUUUCACAGGCCCUUACUAGACUCUCUUGAAAAUGAUCGUUUCUUUCUUCCUUCCUCCCUCCCUCCCUCUCUUUUCUUUCUUUCUUUUCUUUCUUUCUUUUCUUUCUUUUCUUUCUUUCUUUCUUUCUUUCUUUCUUUCUUUCUUUCUUUCUUUCUCAUUUUGUUUUGUUUUGUUUUGUUUUUAAUAUGUCAGGGGAUUGGUGGGUUGCAUUGUUUAAGGCAGAUUACAUUUGUAAAGUACUCUGGCUUCUUUUGAUAUGAAAGCAUACCUAUCUUUUUCCAGUAGAAGCCAUAUCAUUUUUUAAAUGUUCAUUCCGGCAAAUAAUUAGGGAACAUGUUUUUUGCUCUCUUAUUUCAAGCCUUGCUUUCACUAUCUCAAUUUAUCAUUGUUGAUGUUGAUCAUGUUGAUGUUGGGUGCUGCAUCUUUUGAGUUCUGGUCAUUUUUUUAACUUGUACAACAUGUAGAAGUACCUCAAGUUUUUAGAAUUUUAAACAUUUUAAGCAUGUUAAACUUUUUAGGGAUUGUAAUCAUUAUUAUAUUAUUGUAGUCAUUGUAUUAUUAUAUUAUUGUAUUAUAUACUAUUAUAUUUUUACAAUGGAAGAAAAUCUAUUUCAGUUUUCAAAGUGAAGUUUGAAACUUACUUUGGUGAUUUAAAUCUUUUCAAGUCACACAAUUCCGAGUCAAGAUAACUAUUUUAGAUUUUGUCAGUGAAUUAUUUUCCAAAUGGAAACAUCCAUAUACAAUUUUAUAUUAAGGUCCUUACAGGGAAUAAAUGAGGCAUAAUAUGUAACACUUCACAGUUUAUUUAUAUUUUAUUUCAAAUUUAAAGCAAUGAGCAAUGCCUCAUUUGCAAAACAGAAUUUCUUCCAUUUUUAUGGAGGUUUAAGGGGCCUGUUUUGUGUAAACUAAUAGGACUGUUUGCAUUAAACACACAAGUGACAAGAAUAUUUUGAUAGUUUCACAAGUAAUCUCCUAUUACAAUCUGUCUAUUUCUCUUUCCUCUAGUUAACUUCUCCCACUACCUCUGAGCAGCUUGCCUGUAAACCACCUGCUUUCUCCUUUGUUUCUCCAACUAAUCAGAAAACGCCACCUGACCCAGUUAACCUCGACGGAGCCUCUGUGCUAGAGGAAUUCCACACUAGGAGGCUGGAUGUCAGUGGGGCCUUGGUGGAAGAAACAGCUACGUAUUUUCAAACUUCUGCUCACUCUUCACCCUUUUUUGCAUCGAAGGGCACCUCCUCGACGUUACAGUUUCCCCAUUCCACUCAGUUAUCAGGUUCUAAUUUAUCCAGUCCGAGUGCAGCAGAUCAGAAACCUGGACUGGCAUCUGAAGUUCUGAAGAAGACAACAACUUUAAGUUCGCACGUCCUUAGCCCCAGAGAAAGCCCAGGAACCACUUCUCCUUCACCAUCCUCCAGUGCUUCUCUGAAGUCAAAUUCGGCCUCAUACAUACCAGUCCGUAUUGUCACGCAUUCACUCUCUCCAAGUCCAAAACCAUUUACCUCCUCUUUCCAUGGCUCUUCUUCCACUAUCUGUAGCCAAGUGUCAUCUAGUGGAAAUCUCUCAAAGUCAGGGGUGAAAUCCCCAGUGCCCUCCCGGCUUUCUCUUCUCACUGCCAUCCUCAAGUCAAAUCCUUCUCACCAAAGACCCUUUUCCCCUGCAUCCUGUCCCACUUUCUCUCUUAACUCUCUGGCUUCUUCCACACUCACUCUGGAUCAAAAAGCAAAACAAACCCCACCCACACCUAAGAAAUCUCUCUCUAGUUGCUCCUUGAGAGCAGGGUCUCCAGAGCAGAGGGAACACCAGGUUUCCGAACUUAGGCAGCAAUCCUUCCACUUACCUUUUCUGGCCAAAUCUACUCCCCUUUCUCAGGCAUGCUCCCUUUCUCCCACAAAACAUGACAGUAGCAGACUCAUUUCUUUGAAUGUAGAGAAAGUGUCACCCACUUCUUUGAAGAGCAACCCAACAGUCUCCCUGCUACAGACUGAUACAUCCAGUUCUGCAAGACUUCCUCCUGUUCCACCAAGUGUUCCUCCUGUUUCUUUGAAGGGCAAACAGGAUGUUGACCUCAGGGGCCCAGAAAAGCCCAGGAAUAUUCACAUACAUCCUACAUCAGUCUCCUCUGCAUUAUCUUCUCUAUCUCCUCCCACUAACCAAAGAGCCAUGCUCUCCUCUCCAGAGAAAUGUUUCCAUCCUUCCCCAGCUCUUUCAAACCUGAUAAACAGAUCCAAGAGAGCAGCCCCACAGCUAGGUGGCCAGGGGCAGAACCUUUCAACUCCUCUUUCAACCCCUGUCUCCAGUGCUAGCUCUGCCUCUCUUCCCAAACUGGGGUCCUCUCCUCUCCCUCGUGCUAAUCUGCCGACCCAGGCGCUCCAGCUCAGUCCAACACUGUACCCAAAUUGUGGCAGUGGUACCUUGCCUUCAAGACUUGGAAAAUCUGAAAGCUCAGUAUCCAACCACAGGUCAUCUGUUUCAACCCGAUCACCUCCCAUCUCUCUAACAAGAACCAAGGAGCUGAUUUCACCUUAUGCAUUGUCCAUGUCAACAGGCCCUGAAAAUAAGAAACCCAAGGUAUUCUUUUGCAUGUUGCAUGGUGCAUGCUUAUUUUGAAAUGUGGGAGAAUCUUUUUUUCCAGAGGAAAAAUAAUUAUGAUAUUCAUUCUGCUCUUAGAAGAGUUAUAGAAAGUGUAAGUAGAGCUAGGAUUUGGUGUAUUUUAAUGUGUAGGUGAAUUAUGAUCUAUCUAAAAUGUGCAUGUUUUGAUAAAACUCUUUGAUUUUACAAAUCCUCCUGUUACAGUAACGUCUUAUAUCUAUGACUCCAAGGUAUUUUUUUUCUUCAGGCAUAAUGAGUUAUAUCAUUGAUCACAAAGAUGGGAUGGAUAUAAAUCAGUUGGUUUGAAUUUGAGACUAUGAUAAAUUUCUGAUUAUUUAAUUUCAUGGACCCUAUUGUCCAUCAAAGCAUCCUGUACUGAGAAUAGUAGACAGGAUCAGUGUAAAAAUUUCCCCCUUUAUCAGGUUGAUUUCUUUUUUGCUCCUCCUGAGCACCACCUAAAAUCCAUACCAGUAUGGAUUUAGCUAUAUACAUAUAGAGCAAAAAGAAAUAGAAAUUUCCUUUAUAUGUGAAUAUUAUAUUUGAUUUAUUUUGAACUCUAAAUACUUAGUAAUUAUGAAAUACUGAAAGGGUAGGUAGGCUGGGUAUAAGAAAAUAGAAUUGAGAGAGGAGAAAUACUGACUUCUAAAUGCUCUGAAGCAGCCCGUUGAGCAAGAAUGGAAUACUGGCAUACGUUCAUUCAUUUAUUAUUUUUAUUUUUUAUUUUCUACUUUUAUUAUUGAAGUGUAAUUGACAUACAAUGUUAUAUUAGCUUCAGCUGUACAACAAAUUGAUUCAAAAGUUUUAUGCAUUGUGCAGUGCUCACCACAUAAGUGUAGUUACCAUACAAUGCUCUUAGACUAUUACUAUGUUUUCUAUGCUGUAUUUCCAUCUCUGUGGUUUAUAUAACUUAUAACCGGAAAUUUGUACUUCACCCCCCCUCCGACAACCAUCAAUCUGUUCUCUAUAUUUAAGAAUCUGGUUUUUUGUUUGUCUUUUCUUUUGCUUUGUUUUUAGAUUCCACAUAUAGAUGAAACAAUGUGGUACCAUGCACUGUUUGUGGAAAUAUAAAUUGGUACAGUCACUGUGAAAAACAGUAUGGCAGUUCCUCAAAAAAUUAAAAAUAGCAAUACAAUAUGAUCCACUAAUUCCACUACUGGAUAUUUACCCAGUGAAUACAAAAAUGCUAAUUGAAAAGAUAUAUGCACCCCUAUGUUUGCUACAGAAUUAUUUAUAGUAGCCAAGAUAUGGAAGCAAGCUAAGUGUCCAUUUACAGAUGAAAGUACAAAGAAGAUGCAACACACACACACACACACACACACACACACACACACACAUGGACAUUAUAUAGUUGUAAAAAAGGAGAUCUUGCCAUUUGCAGCAACAUGAAUGGACCUAUACGGUAUUAUACUAAGUGAAAUAAGUCAGACUGAGAAAGAGAAAUACCAAAUUAUUUCACUCAUAUGUAGAAUCUGAAAAGCAAAAGAAAUGACAAAAUAAAUUAAAAAGAAGAAUCAGACUUGUAAAUACAGAGAACAAACUGAUGGUUGUCAGAGGGAAGUGGGGAGGAGGUUGGGUGAAAUGGGUGAGAUACAGGCUUCCAGUUAUAGAAUGAGUAGAUUAUGAGAAUGAAAGGAACAACAUAGGGAAUAUAGUCCACAGUGUUGUUACAGUGUUUUUUGGUGACAGAUGGUAGCUGGUGACACGUGGUAGGUGUAGCAUAACAGAUAGAGAUGUUCAGACACCAUAUUGUACACCUGACACUAAUGUGACAUUGUGUGUCAACCUUAUUCAAAUGAAAAAACUUAUUUAAAAAACCUAUACUCUGAAGACUGGCAUUUGUUUUAAUAUGAGAAGGGAAACAUAUGAAGAUGUAAUUCAUAGAGUUCAUUUUUCCUGGUAGAAGGGCAACUCUGCUCUAGAGCGUGCCAGCUUCCCAACUAUUCUCAAGUACUUAGGAUGUGGAUCGUAUAGAACCAGAACUGGAUUGUUGUAUGACUCAAAUGAAAUUCUGAAGUGCCUGUAUGGGGGGGGGAACUACAAUUUUUAGGGCAGUGCAAUCAAGUAGCAGUUCGAGAACUUCCAAAUUCCGUGAAGAUUGUGUUCAACUCUGUCAUUGUUUGAAUGAUGAACUUAAGAUGGGAAAGAUAAAACAAUCCUCAAGUCAAAUCCUAUCACGUCCAAUCUAUCAUAUUAAUGAUGUUGUGGUACAAUUCAACGUAACAAACAUGCAUAAAACUUCUGCUGUAUGCCUACCACCAUACUAGCUUUUUUGGGGAUGUGUGUUUGUGUGGAUGUGUGUUUUAAGAAAAGUAAGAGAUAAUUCUUUGUCCUUAAAAAAGAAAUUUUAUUCAGCAGAAGAAAAUAUACAGAUACAUGAUGUGGAGAAGCUAUAUAGAGUUAUUAAAUCCAUAAUAAAACUAGAAAACAAGUAUAAGGUAAUAUUAAUAUAGUAUAGUACAUAUUAUAUACAAUUGCUCACUGAAUUCAAUGUAAUAGAACUAUUAUUAUGGGGUAUGGUUAGUGAGGGAACUUAUAACAAAUGGCAGGCCUGUGGGAAAUGUUUAGGAUUUAGCUUAAUGAGGAGGGAAGGAGCUGGCAUUUCAGAAAUAGUAAAUAACCUGACCAAAUAUACAGAAGAUGAACCCAGAGGAGUUUAUGUGAAGACAUAGGAAGAUUGGGCUUAUUAUUAAACAGUGACAAUUGUAAUAAUAAUUAUUUUAAGAGCUACCACAUGCUUUCUGUAUAUAAAAUUUCUAUAUAUAAAAUAUACAAAACAGUUAAAAAUUAAUUAGAAAAGAUUAUGUCAGGGGCACCUGGGUGGCUCAGUCUGUUGAGCAUCCAACUUCGGCUCAGGUCAUGAUUUCAUGGCUUAUGAGUUCAAGCCCCAUGUCGGGUUCUGUGCUGAUAGCUCAGAGCCUGGAGCCUGUUUCGGAUUCUGUGUCUGUCUCUUUCUCUCUGCCCCUCCCUCACUCAUGCUUUGUCUCUCUCUAUCUCUCAAAAAAGAAUAAACAUUAAAAAAAAUUGGAAACAAUUAUGUCAGUUAACUUUUAUGACAAUAUGAGGUUGGUAGUACUAUGUUCUUCAUAUUAUAUACCAAACACAAAGCAAUAACUCCUAUUAAUAAUCAUUUUAGCCUGAUUUAAUUUCUCAUGAAGGAAAUCAUCAUUUAUGGAAUCAUCAGAAUUAUAAAUUUCUAUAAUGUUUGGGUCAUUUAAAAAUGUAUUUUUAGGGCCCCUGGUGGCUCAGUCAGUUAAGUUUCCGGCUUCAGCUGAGGUCAUGAUCUUCAUAAGUUCAAGCCCCACAUCUGGCUCUGUGCUCCAGCUUAGAGCCUGGAACCUGCUUCAGAUUCUGUGUCUCCCUCUAUCUCCGCCCUUCCCCUGCUUGUACUCUGUCUCUGUCUUUCAAAAAUAAAUAGUAAAAAAAAAAACACAAAAAACCAAAAAAAAAACCAAACCCCAAAACAUUAAAAAAUGUAUUUUUAGAAAUUAUUUAGUCCUUGUAUUUUACAUUUUCAAAGCAAAUGGGAUGGAGAAAAAUCUAACAUUUUCUAUAAUUCUGAGUCAAAACUUCUUAUUUAUUUGAGGUAAAAUGACCUGGUGAUUAUCUAAAAAUAUAUUGGUGUGACUAUGGAAUUCAUUUGUGAUAUAUUAAAAACAACCUGGUGAUGUAAACAGUACUGUCUCCUGAAUUUAUUAACAAUUAUUUCUUAAACCAUACUGCCAAUAUGUUUAAAUUAUUCAUUACCUUUGUGAAAAGUGAUUUUACUUGAGAGGCUUCUUCUGAGUGUUUCUCUUUGUGGUUUAUUCUGCUUAGUUCACGUUUUGUCUUGUUUUUUGUUUUUUUUGGAGAGUUGGAAAAGGGUGAGCCCAGAGGGCUUUUGAUCAAGUCAAGUUCUUUUUUGUCCUAAAAUCAAGUUUGUUGAAGAUCUGUUCUCCCACAGCUCACUUACUGUUCCCAAUAUUAAAGAAUUUUCAACAUUUGCUUUAUUUUUAGUUUUAAUUCCUAAGUUAAAAACAUCAUGCUUAUAGAAGUGCAUGAUAAAUUUGCUGAACAUGAAAAUAUGAGGAAUCAUGAUAAUUUAUCUAUUUUUACCCUUUUUAUUGAAAAAAAAUGUUUCUUAUAAUGGGCAAAAUUCAUGAUAACUUCUGCAAAAAAUAGUUGCUCCCUGAGACAUGCUGUUCUUAGUUAUAUUUAUUUCCUCCUUGCUUCUUGCUCUUAUCUCUCCAGGUAAAAAUCAGCCUACCUUUUUUUUUUUUUUAAUUGCAAACUAUUAUUUGCAGGAUUUGUAACUUGAGUAUAAAAAAUUCAUUAAAAUGGAUGCUGGAAUAGAUAAAUCUUAUCCCAGUUUCCUUUGAUGUUUGACUAGUUUUGCUUGAAUUGCUAAGAUUAUUUUAUAGAUUGAUAAGAGGAAACAGACAAAAGCUUUGGGAUAUCAAAGAACUCAUAUGCUCCUAUGGAUUGUUUCUUGUCUUGUUCCUUCCACUGUGGUGCUAAUCCAAGCACAGGGCUCUCUUUGAAGUCAAAGAGCUUCAGAUUUAGAUCAGCUUCACUCAGCGCCAGAUCCCAAAAGCAAAGAGGUCCUGGAAUACAAAUGGCCAUCAAAUUAAAACAUGAAUGCUUGAAGGGUAUUAGUUCAAAGUGUGGGCCCUACUGUCCUUUGAUAUUGAAAUAGAACGGAACAGCUAGAGUAUACUGAGCUAAUUUGAGAUAUAAAGCAUGCUUGAUAUUUCUUUUUUAUAGAUAGAAUCUUAAGGUUCUGAAUCUGUUUACAUUAGUAUGGUAUAAUUGAUAUACUUUAAUUUCAGAUACAGUUUUAAAAUAUUAAUUCACAUUAUAAUCAUGGUCCUAGACAGGAUGAGCAUCUCUCUGGAUGUUGUUCAGUCCACUCUUUGAUUAACAUCUAUAUUGUUUGAGACGUUUCUGCCCCUUGGGAAAGGGAAUAUCAUAAAAUUAAUUCCCGGAGUUGUAUUUGGGUUCCCAAUAUAUUUGGCCUUCAUUUACAACCUAAUUUAAAGUUUUCUCCUAGGGAGUUAGCAUGGUGUUCCCUAAGGGGAUUUGAGGCCCUUACCUCAAAACUUUAAACAUCUUGCCACUUACUGAAGAUGGUUUGAAGCUCUUUUCUGACUAUGAGAGCUCCAGUGAUGUGCCUGUCUUGGCCUUACAGCUAUUUGGACACAUAGUUUAGGGAUCAAUUGGGAGCUUUUAAAUGUUUCAUGACCUUUUAUAGUUGGUGUUUUAUUUAUAAACCUCAUUCCUUGAAGACAUUAAAACAUUUCCGGGGCGCCUGGGUGGCUUGGUCGGUUGAGCCUCCGACUUCGGCUCAGGUCAUGAUCUCACGGUCCAUGAGUUCAAGCCCCGCGUCGGGCUCGGUGCUGACAGCUCGGAGCCUGGAGCCUGUUUCAGAUUCUGUGUCUCCCUCUCUCUCUGCCCCUCCCCUGUUCAUGCUCUGUCUCUCUCUGUCUCAAAAAUAAAUAAACGUUAAAAAAAAAUUAAAAAAAAAAAACAAAACAAAAAAAAACAUUUCCAAUUACAUCACCCUGAAAACUUGGUGACAAUAGUCUCCAUGUGACUGUCUCCAUUUCUGCUGAUCCACAUGUAAUCUGAGACAUGAGCAAUAUGGAAUGUACCCUCAUGAGCUAAAAUGGUCAAUCUGGUUCAAGCAAUCGAUGUGCACUGAGUGCUUAUUAUGUUCAAGACACGUUACAAAGUCAGGAGGAUGUUGCAACAAAUAAAAUUGCAAAAAUGCUUGCUCACAGAAAGGUCUUGGGCGGAAGAGAAACAGUCAGCAAUUACCACGUCCACCUCCACGACUGCCAUAAGUAAAUUAUAGCAGGGUAUGGGGUAGUGUCACAAAUUUAUACUGGCGGUCAUGACAGGUUCCUUUGGGAAGGUGACAUUGAAGGGGGUGAUGCUCCUUAAGAGAGUAUAGCCAGGAAAAAUACCUGAUGCCAGAGAGUGCUUGGCAGGUACAAAGGUAGGAGAGCCAGUAUCCCAAGAGUGGAGUUAGCAUAAGGAGGUUGAGAUUGUCAGAGGGACAUGUAGCUGCGAGCUGGGUCCUGUGAGGUCUUGUGUGCCACUUCUUAGUCACUGAUUUUUAAUUUGAGUAAGAAGCCAUCAGAGGGUUUUGAGUAGAUAAUUGGCACAAUCUUGUCUAUCUUGCGGCCGUGUUAAGAAUAGACUGUAAGAGGGUGAAAGCUGAAGGAAGGAGAAUUUAGGGGUCUGUUGGAACAAUCCAGGCAAGCGACGAUGAUGGCUCUGGUGAGGUUCUAGCGGUGAAGGUGAAGAUGAUGUAUCCGUAUAUAUUUUGUAGGUAGGGUAACAAACCUUCACAAUCAUAGGUGAAAUGAUAGAACAGCUGAAACUAGGUAUAUGUAUCUUCUUGUUUGCUUUUCUCCUUUUGUUCCUCCUCCACCUCUUCACCUCUUCUACAGAAUUCUUGGUGCCUUUGUGGAGAUUCUAGAUUUUCUAUGAUUCUCCCAUCCCUCCUAUGUGUCACUUACAUUUCUGUGCUAACCAAUUCUGGGUCCCAUUCCCUUUGUUUCUCUCCAGCUAGCCUUUAUUAAUUGUGCUUAGCAGUGAUUCACACUCAAGUGUCAGUAAUUGACAAAAACCUUUUUUAUCCCUUGAGGAAUUUUUGCAUUUUAAUUCAGGGAGGGACUUGUGCAGUUUAACUUAAGCAAGGUAUUAAAAAACAUAGGGAUGGGGUGUCUGGGUGGCUCAGUGGGUUAAGUGUCCCACUUAGGCCUAGGUCAUCAUCUUGCUGGUCUGGAGUUCAAGCCCUGCAUCAGGUUCUGCGUUGACAGCUUAAGACCUGGAGCCUGUUUUAAAAUUUUUUUUUUUUCAACGUUUAUUUAUUUUUGGGACAGAGAGAGACAGAGCAUGAACAGGGGAGGGGCAGAGAGAGAGGGAGACACAGAAUCGGAAACAGGCUCCAGGCUCCGAGCCAUCAGCCCAGAGCCCGACGCGGGGCUCGAACUCACGGACCGCGAGAUCGUGACCUGGCUGAAGUCGGACGCUUAACCGACUGCGCCACCCAGGCGCCCCUGGAGCCUGUUUUAGAUGCUGUGUCUCCCUGUCUCUCUGCCCCUCCCCGACUCAUGCUGUCUCUGUCAAAAACAAACAUUAAAAAAUAAAAAUAAAAAUAAAUAAAUAAAAUAGGGAUUCAAGGUCAAGAGUUCAAAUCCUGAAACUUCGUUUCAUUGAAGGACUUUGACAAUUUAAUAUAUUAGAAAUGCCUUCAGGGCAUACUUUGAAGUGGGAAGAGGGUCUCUAAUCAGCCAGGCUUAUCUAAGACUUGAACAGUAGAUGAGGAACUAAAAUUUUGUUUUUUCAUGUCCUCUGAAUCUUUCUGUAAUUUUCAAUAAAAUACUUCAGGUUAGGUCAACAAAUAUGUGCUGAAUAUCUGUUCUUUGCCAGGUUGGUAUACGAUAUUGGAAAUUGUAUAAAAUAUCUUCUCUAAAAGACCUAUCAGGCUAAUAGGGAUGGCAAAAUAUUGUAAUACAAUAACAUAUUGCAUAUUUAGAGUACUAGAAACACAGACAGAUAAGUCAGCCAUGGAGACUGCUAUUGGGAAGAGAGUUGUUCAAGGAAAUUUCUCCCUCUCCCUGCCCUGCCACCCCUUCCCCACUGCUUCAGUUCUCAGGAUCAUCAUAGAGAUUAUACUCUGCCAGUAAUCCAGAUGUAAGGGAGGUCUCUGGGCAAUUGGAUCAGGGCUUGGGUUAAGCUUUUGUCUCAGGGAGAUUCUGACUCAGGCAGUACAUGCAUGGUCACUGAUGAGCAGGAAGGGCUCUCUUGGAGUGCCUGGGUGACUCAGUAGGUUGAGCGUCUAACUUCUGCUCAGGUCAUGAUCUCACAGUUCAGUUUCUGUGUUCAAGCCCCAUGUCUGGCUAUGUGCUGAGAGCUUGGAGCCUGGAGCCUACUUUGGAUUCUGUGUCUCCCUCCCUCUCUGCCCUUCCCCCACUCAUUCUCUCUCUCUCUCUCUCUCUCUCUCUCUCUGAAAAACAAAUAAACAUUAAAAAAUUAAAAAAAAUUAGAAUGAUGAUGCUCUCAUUUAUACUUGUGGAUGCUUCAGGAAAGAGAAGUUGGCCCUGGUGGUAGGGAAGCUCUUUUGUUCAGAAUUCUCUCUUGUUCAUGUAAUCUGAGGUUCUGCCCUUCACCUGUACUUAAAGUGUAACCAUGAGUUCAAAUUUCUAAUUCUCAAGGCAACUAAUAUAGUUUGCUUUGAAAUCUCAUGGGUCCUUAUUACUGGAGCCUGUGGAGGAAUUUUAGCCAUCAAUAAUAGUGGAUGUGAUAAUGGUGAGAAAUAUUUUCUGAAGGGGAAAGGUGUGUUUUUGCUGUUCUCACUUUCAUACCUGGGAUUUAUGUUGUAAUUAUCUAGGAUAAAUAGAAUUUAUAAAUAGGAUUAGCUCUGAAAAAACUUCUAGGGUAAAAUACCAUUUCCUUUUCUAAACCUAAACUUUACUCUGCCCCUUUAUGUGGUAGAUAUUUAAGAAAUAUUUAUUGAAUGUUGACCAAAAACAUAGAUUACAAAUUGGAGAGAUACAAUAGGUAUCACUGAAUGUUUUCUGGAUUCAGGGUCAGGCUGGUCAGUUCUACUUUCUACGAUUAGCUGAUGGUGAUUCCAGCCGGUAUUACUACAACUUACUAUUCAAGUUAUAUUUACCUUAACUAGAGAAAUUUGUAAUUUUAAACCAAGGAAAGGGAACCAGUGAAUUUAAUUUAACACCUGGAAGACUUAGAGUGCUAAAGAAAAACUAUAUUCCAAAUUAGAAUAUUGUUAAGAGAAACCUGAAGAAAUAUGGUGAACCCAAAAAGUAUCUCUAAUGGCAACAAGAAUGAUUUUCAGACUGAAAAGGAAAGACUACAUAUGUCUUAGGCACACAUAAAACCCCACAGAUGGGAACUAGAAGGAAAUAUCUAUAUGCUCUAAGUUCCUAUCUCCUGGUUUAGAUAAACUGUAUCUCAAACAAACCAAAUUUCUACUUCUAUUGUAAAUGAUGGGCGAUAAGAGAUUUGCCAGAAAAAGAAACAAGCCAUAUUUUCUGUUUAUCACAAAAAAGAGGAAGGUAAAUUCUGAAAAUGAUUGCCUAUAUUCUUAGUUUGUGAUUGUUUACAGAAGCAGUUAAGACUGAAAGUCAGACAUUUUUUUCAAUCAACAGAUGUCUGUUGGAUUGCCUUCCAAAUUCUAGCUUUUGUGAUUUUUUUUUUUUGCUAUAUCAUGAAAAAAGAGAGAUAUGUGAAGUGUAAUGACAUCUCCAAACUCAGAUUUGUUCUGAGUGCCCAAUCUAAAGCAUUCUGCAUGUUACUUUCAGUGCCAUUAUCCUAUUUUAAUUUUCUGUGUUAUUACUUAUCUCACUAGGAUAUUUCUUUUCUUUCUUGUUUCUUGGCUUAUGGUUUGUCUCUUUGGGUGUAAGCUUAGUGUUAAGCUCUAGAGAGCAAAGGCUUUGGAUGUUUUGUUCACUGCUGAAUCUGUAGUACUUAGAGCAAUAUAAGUCACAAAGUAGAUAAUCAUUAAUAUUUUGUUGAAUGAAUCUAUUAGUUGAACUGCCAUAUCCAAAUAGAUUUACAGGAUAGAUUGGUGUCCCCCAGGUUGGUAGAACCCAGGAGGCAAGAGGUCCUGAUCCUUGGUAUAUGACUUGAAUGAAUAAAAAUGACAUGCCUGACAAAAUGGUUCAUGAAAUAAUUAUAAAAAUUCUUAUCUUCAUAGUUUACAAUAACAAACCAAAACUGAUCAGAUGAAAUGGGAUAGAGAUAAUGCCUGAAGUACUAUUUUGGGAUCUAGAGAAGAAUAACAUAACUGCAGGAUGGAGUUUAAUUUCAACAAAUGUUAAACAAAAAAGAUGAAAGGAUUAGAGAUUUUAGGUGGUAGCAUACUCAGUGUGAUCCAACAAUAUGAAAUGACUCCAACUUCACUCUCCUGUAUGUAUAUUCUUCACUUAUGACAAAAGCAAGGAGACAGUUCCAGUUACUAUCAUCUUCAUUGUAUUAACUGAGUUUAUUAUCAAUAGAUGUCACGGAGGUGAUGAUUAUAUUCUAUUUUGUGUUAAAAAUACAUCUCGCUAAGUGCACACAUUUUCAAAAUGUAAAGGAAUGUUGACAGAAGAAAGUGAUGAGGAUAGUGAAAUCUUCAACUGAGGAUCAGUGAGGAUGGGUUGGAGGAAACAGCAUUACCACUCUCAUGCAGAAGGGAGCUCUUCACAUGUGUCAUCAUUCUAAGGUGGGGAGAAAGGACCAAUGGAGUAAGGUAGCAGGAAGUACAUCUGGCUCAGUAUAAGGGAGAAUUUUGUACCAAUUCCAACAAUGAGGCCUAAACAUGUUGUCUUGGGAGAUAGACAAGUGUUCAUGUGGUAGCUGAACAGAGGAUUGAUCAAAGAGAUACAUGUCUUAGAUGAGGGUGUUAAGCCAGAUGGCCCUCAGGAUCACAUCUAAUUCUAAGAUUCGGUGGCAUUAUGUGUGUGAUAACAAUAUAUCUCUUUGUAAAGGCUUGUCCAACUAUAUACUUUAGGGCAUUUGGGGAUAGAAGAACAAACAUUGUAAAUUAUUGUGUGUCCUGCAAUGAGAGGCAAGGGCAUAUGGUAGAUAAUUGCACAAUUGUUGACUAGUGUGCCUGCAUCCAAAUCCCAGCUAUGACUUACUACCUAGUGACCUUAAAUAAGUUACUUAACAUCUGUGUACUUUAGUUUCCAUAUAUAAACUGGAUAUAAUAUAAUCUAAUAGCUUGGUUGUGAUAAUUAAAAGAGAUAAUACACAUAAAGCUUUUAGAAUGGUACCUGGCUCAUAGUGAUUAUUAGCUAUUAUUAUUAUUAUUAUUAUUAUUAUUAUUAUUACAACUAUUAUUAGAGUUAAGUAUUCAUAAAACCAUCAUGGAGUAUUAAUGAUAUAAUGUUAUGUAUUACUUGUCUGCUUAGGUAUACUUUGAGAGAAAAUGUUAUCUUCUAGAGGAAGCAAAUAUAUCUUCUAAAGGAGGCAAAAAGGCCUGAGUUCCAUACCUGUUUCUGUUCUUUAUGGACUGUCUAUCUUAGGCAAGUCACUUAGCCACACUAUGCCUCCUUUCCCUAAUGGUUCUGUAGUUAUAGGGCUUCUGUAAAAGUAAAUGUAAAAUUAAUUUGCCUAGUAAUAAGUGCCAGCUGUUAUUCUGCACAAAGAGAUGGCAUUUCAUUUUCAGUUCUUAUCCAAAAUAUGUCCUAUGUAGAUUAUAGCAGUGCAAGGUCAGUAUAGAGACCGGGGCUUGAAGGGCCCUGAGACUUUUUUCCUCCAAGUCUGGCAUUUUGAUUUUUCUCUACUUCACCCUCUUUAUAAGGAAAAUGAAUGUGCCAGCCUCUUACCUUCCUCACACUAUUUUAAUGGAAGAUUGCUUCAAUUAUAUCUAUAAAACUCACAGGUUUUAUUUUAUUUGACUAUCAUGUCUUCUUCUGUAGAUCCUGUGGUCUGCUUUCCAGGGGACUAAGACAGCUUAGAGCUGCGUGCCAAUUUCUAGCUGGGUCUGGGCCCUCUGGGGAAGCUGCCUGAGACAGGGGCUUUUGAAGUGAUAAGAGCCUUGAACUUAGUUAAGCAGCUUGGGACCCAGAGCAAUAUUAAAACUGGGCUUUUGAUUAUGCAUAGUAUCCUGAUGCAUACAACUUCCUCAUGCUCUACCCUCUCUCUCAAAUACUCCCAAACUAUAUUACUCUGAGUUUUAUUAAAAGCUCAGGAUGUUUUAGCAUUUGAUUCAUUAAUAUAAUUGUAUUAGAAAGAGCAGGAGAUGAUGAAGUUUAAAAAGGUGAAUUUAUGGGGUACCUGAAUGGCUCAGUUGGUUGAGCGUCCGACUUCAGCUCAGGUCAUGAUCUCACGGUUUGUGGGUUCGAGCCCCGCGUUGGGCUCUGUGCUGAUGGCUCGGGGCCUGGAGCCUGCUUCGGAUUCUGUGUCUCCCUCUCUCUCUGCUCCUUCCCUGCUCACACUGUUUCUCUCUCAAAAUCGUAUAACUUCGUNACACGACGCUCUUCCGAUCUCACCAGGAUGUUUUAGCAUUUGAUUCAUUAAUAUAAUUGUAUUAGAAAGAGCAGGAGAUGAUGAAGUUUAAAAAGGUGAAUUUAUGGGGUACCUGAAUGGCUCAGUUGGUUGAGCGUCCGACUUCAGCUCAGGUCAUGAUCUCACGGUUUGUGGGUUCGAGCCCCGCGUUGGGCUCUGUGCUGAUGGCUCGGGGCCUGGAGCCUGCUUCGGAUUCUGUGUCUCCCUCUCUCUCUGCUCCUUCCCUGCUCACACUGUUUCUCUCUCAAAAAUGAAAAAAAGAUUAAAAAAAUUUUUUUAAUAAAAAAAUAAAAAGGUGAAUUUAUGAUCAGAAGUUUGGCCUUUUAGCUUUUUCAUUAUGGAAUUAAAUUGCUGAUAUUACCUCUAUUCACAAUAUGCUACUUAAUAAACACUGAUGGUAAAUUUUAUGUCUUCUGACCCUUGUUUUUAUGAAUGAUGCAAGAGAAUGUAUCAAGAGUUCAAUUAAGUUUGUUGGAAGAAUGUUUGUUAAUUAUGGCACUAUAAAAAAGAACCGAUUUCCUUUGAGGAUCAAGGAAAAAAAGCCCACUCACAUUUAUAGACUAUGAGGGGCACACUGCUCAUGAGAUAUUUAUAUAUAACUUUGCAGAAAUGGAUGUUUUUAAGUUCUGAAACUGUAUAGCACAUAAUUGCCUAUAAUCCCUAGGCUGAUAUUUUACCGUGAUGUUUCUUUUUUUCUCAUUCUAAUAAAAUAUUAACAUGGUAAGCUAAUUUGUUUUCUGUCAAAAACAAGUUGUAAUAACUGUUUUCUUCAUUUGAUAACCUGUCAUUUAACUUGGUAGCACUAGUCUAAAAUUAUGUUCUAUUCUUCCCUCUUUUCAUCUCCACUCUUGCUUUCUGGUUACUCAUUCUAGCAAUACAAGACCAAGUCAAGCUACAAGGCUUUUGCAGCAAUCCCUACAAACACAUUGCUUUUGGAACAGAAGGUCAGUGUUGGUUCAAAAGCAGAGGGAAUUUUAUGUUUCUAGUGUCAGUUUUGUUAUAUGUUCUAAAAAUGUCUGUUUUAAAGUUCUGCUUUUACUAAAAUUUGCUCUUAGUUUAGGGUGACAUGAUGAAAGCAUCUUGGUGAAUAGAAUUUGACACAUCAUUGCUUUAUCACCAGCCGCUAAAUAUGAGCCUAGAAUUUAUCACCAGAGGCUAAAUAUGAGCCCAGAAUUGUCCAGUUCAUUGUAAAGCAGUCAUGAAAACCUGAUGCAGAUUUUGAUACAUCCCUGUCCUUUGGAAUUUUAAGCGAUUGUUGUAUUUAAGAGCUUCCACCUCUUUUCACAUUGAUCAAAAGAGUGGAGGUAAAAUGGGGUUACAUGUGGGCGACUUGGUCAAGACUUGGUCACUGGUAGUGGCUUCCAUAGGGUGGAAAUGUAUUAGCUGAGUAUCCAAUGUAACGGCUUUGAUCCUGGCAUGGGCUAAACCUCUUUGUCCAUUCUCACCAGCCAUUGGUCCUCCUUCCAUGAACGGGAGGGAGGAUUGAGAUCACUUCUAGUGACCCAGCUGCUUUCACAUGCCUUUAGGGCAUUUUUGCUUUGCUAUUAAAAGUCAUUAAUUAUAAAAUUACAGGCUCCUGCUUCAGUAGGUAAAUUAAAUUAAAGCCUCUUGUUUAAUAAGCACAUUACAUAUGCUCAAAUGAAAGCCACAUGGAGGAUUAUAUCAGAAUGGAAGUGAAAUCAAUUACCAAGUGUAUGAAAUUAUUCAUUCCAUGUUAUUUUUAUGAUAUUUAUUUAAGCAAUUUACCUCUCAGUGCAUUAAGCCUAUUUUCUUCGGUGUAAUUAUAGUAUUUCAAAUACUGUUAUUAUCAUGUGUCAAAAUGUUAAUGCUUGCCAACCAGGUGGUAUUUUGACCACUGAUUUAUGAGUAUACUUUCUUGUUAUGUCAGUAUGAUCUGGGAAAUAAAAUCUUUGCAUGAUCUCUUGUCUAAAAUGUAGUAACUGUUAGUGGGAGAUGCUUUGUAGCGUAUAGAUGGGCAUUGGUGGGCAGCACCUCUGCUGUCAUAUAUCUCUGAGAGCUAAUUCCCAAUUAUCCACGUGUGGCCCAGAGUCUAUGCUCUAUAUGUCUGAAUGCUUUCAACUAGGGGGUUGAGGAGUUGCUGGGCUGCAGAGAGAUCUGCAACAUUUUCUCCAGCUUCUCUUCUGAAUCUCUACCUUUCUUAGCUCAUGAAAAGAUGAGAUGGGCCUAAAACAGUGACUUUAGGAGGCUCAGGAGGAUGCAGGAGGUGAUACUUUUGCCAGUUGUCCCUUAUCCUAUUGUCUUGGGUUGUCACGUUGAGUCAUAGCGGCAAUAUUUUCUCACCGCAGACCCUCUGCCCAUUUUAGAUGGACAGUUUCUGGAAUCUGGUCACAGUGUCUCCCUCCACAGAAAUGGGAGAAACUCUCCUCCCAGCAGCUGGCCAGGCAAAGAGAAUAGACACCUGUCGGUGUCCCUCCAUCAUACUUGUCUUACCUACCCUAGCACAUUCUCCCGUACCUGUGUGCUACCACUGUAUCCAUUUUCUGUUUAGAGAAAUAACAGUUACUUCUUCUUGGAAGACUUUUGUAAGAUAAGGCUGGAUAUCAUUAUUGGUUCCAGAAUCUCUGUCUACCAGCUCUCUUUUCUUCCAAUUAAAUGGAUUUUAGAGGUUAUAACCUAUUAGUUGGUCAUUAAAAAUGAAAAACCAUUAGUUUAAUUUCCAAUUUCAUCACAAACCCAUUCCAUAAAUGUGUACUGUGGCAUCACUAUGUAUCGAGCCUGAUGCAGUUUCAUAUAGGAGAGGUUUUGUGUUUUAUUUAUGUAUGUAUUUAUGUUUAAGGAUAUUGUCUACAUAAUUUAUUCUUUUUAAUGAAACAGAACUGCAAUACCAUUUUAAAAUAGAAGUCUAUGUUUCAUAAUAUUUUUCUUCAUUUAUUUUUAAGUCAAAAUUUAUUUAUUUAAUUUUUAAAUUUUAUAAUUUAUUGUCAAAUUGGCUAAUAUACAGUGUGUAAAGUGUUCUCCUGGUUUUGGGGGUAGAUUCCUGGGGUUCAUCACUUACAUACAACACCCAGUGCUCAUCCUAACAAGUGCCCUCCUCAAGGUCCAUCACUCGUUUUUCCCUCUCCCCCACCCUCACUCCCCAAAAGACCUACUCUUUUAGGAAGCAUAUUUUUAUUUUUUAUUUUUUAGCACAACAGAAUAUAAAUGUCAUGAUGUCUAAUUAAAAAUAGUGUUUUUCUAGGGAGAAUUGAAACACUAGUGUAGAAACACUAGUGUGGGUAAUUGUCUUUUGGCUAAGAUAAGUUGGUUUUGGACCAUAAAUACUUGAAUUGUUCAAAGGUCAUGAAACUUGGCAUAUGUCUGUUUUUUCUUUAGAGCCUUUGUAUAAUUUAAUUUAUUUAUUGUUGGCUUUUCCAUGACGUGUGUUCCUUAAUGAGGAAUUUUAAUUUGUAAGAAUUUUUAAAUAACAAAAGUCUUAUCUUUAUAUUUUAUCAGCAUUUAUUUCCAUUUUCACUAAUAUUUCUUGAAUGAUAUUAUGGUGCUCCUUUCAUGUUCUGUAGCUUUAAGAAAAAAAAAUCUGGGGGUCACCUGGGUGGCUUAGUCGGUUAAGCAUCCAGCUUCAGCCUAAGUCAUGAUCUCCUUUUGAGUUCCAGCUCCACAUCCGGUUCUGUGCUGACCGCUCAGAACCUGGAGCCUGUUUGAGAGUCUGUGUCUCCCUUUCUCUCUCUGCCCCUCCCCCACUCACACUCUGUCUCUCUCAAAAAUAGACAUUAAAAAAAUUAAAAAAAAAUAAUAAAUAAAUCUGAUAAUGUAGGUCUUUUUAUCCAUCUGUUUAUAUAAUAGAACUCUUUCUAUGCAGUUAAAAUUAAAGGGACUUAUUUCUGAAUUGAGUAGGAAAAUUAAGACUAUACUUAGCAGAAACUCAUCUAUUUUGGGAAGGAUUAACACUUUGGAAUAUUUUCUGAGAUCCCUUUACUAUCACACAGAGUACCACAAAAGGAAGGGUGCUGCAGUCCCAUUAUAGUAUUCUGUUAGGAUUUACGCGGUGGAAUGCCUUAAAGAUAGAGCCAAUGUAUUUAAUUCAGUUUAACAAUUAUUCUCUCCCCUAACCAGAUUAAACUCAUGGUUGAUAUUUUAUACCACAUUUUGUUUCAUAGUAUAUGGUAUAAUUAAUGAGGAAUCAGAAUCACUUUAAAAAAUAAUGCUAUCUUUUUAAAACGCAAGGUUUUCUCCACAUUGAAAUACAGGCAUCCCUUUCAAUCAGAUAUUAAAUUCUCAUGGAAUCACUGGAUUGGUUUCAGCUUUAAUCACUCCUAGACGAAACCCAUAAUUUUCAAAAGAGUACAUUUUGUUGGCAGCGGACCUGAGGUUUCUGGUAUUUCUGUUUUGUAAUUUAUUGUCUGCAUCAAAACUUAAAUUUAUAGCUUAUUCUGUAUUCUAUCAUUUUUCUCCUCGUGAACAUUUAGGAAGAAAGCAUUUUUAGCUUAACUAAGGCUUUAUAAGAAGAGAUAAAUGUAAGACAUAUUUUAACGUGUUAGCUUCAGAGUCUCUGGCUUCAUCUCCUGCCAAUAAUCAUCUUCUCCAAGACUGAGAUAAGGAUGAAAUACAAGUGAUUACAAAGCAGGAACAAAGUAAUCAGAUCAGCUUACAUUUGUGACUGUCCAUGAACCUUAUUACGAUAUAUUCAACAAUAUAAUAGAGGAAACAACUUUAUACAUUACUAUUUCGUCUUGUUAUGUGUACUAUUGUUCUGUUCAGAGAGUGUCAAAGGUCUUUCUCUUAUUGACUAAUUUUUCUUCUUCUCAUUGAGCCUGAUAGCAAUAGGUAAACAGUUAAAAUUAAACUGAAGGACUCAUGUUAGUAUUCUAAUUAAUGGCUUUUUAUUUUUAUUCUGAAAAUAUAUUAAGGAAAGAUGAAGAAAGCAGUAUUUACACAAAAUAAAAUAGUAUGCAUCUUUAUUGUUUCACAAGUGAUUAAUAUUUUUCCAGGAAAGCACUUUUUUUUUUUUUUUAGAGCAGUUGAAGUUCUCCGUUCCUUUCUGCACAAGUAUUCCUCAGGAUAAAAUCAAGGUUAGAGUUAGGUACAAUUUUCCAACAAAUAGCAUUACUAUCUGCCAAUUUCAAGACACAUUUAAUUCAUAAACUGUGUGAGUUUGAAAGAAGAAUGAUAGGGUAGCUCAAUUUUAUAAAUAGCACAUAUAAAUUGUAGGGUUAAUUAUUUAAAUAAAAGUUAAGGUAUAAAAAUAAUUUUAUUUUUCCUGGUAGAAGGAAGUUAAAGAGAGCCAUUUUGAAGACAAUUGUAAAAACUGUGCUAUAAAAAUGGAAAGGUAAAGAUUUGAGAUGUCUUGUCAGUUUUCAAAUCAAUUUAUUCUAAAUUGCCAGCUUAAAUUUUUUAAACAUGAGUUGGUAAACUUUAAUCUGAUUAAGCAUACGUCUUUGGGUGAGAAUAUUUUAAGGUCUCUGAAUGUCUCAAAAAUUUAACAAAAUCUGGUUGCUAGCUUAGCAUAUGGCCUAUACUAGAGAGACAUCUCUUACUUGAUGGAAAAGUGCCCAGGACCCACAACUAUUCCAGUUGGUUCUCCUCAGGCAGUUGUAUACCAUGCACAUAUCUCUUUUAAAGCACUUGCCAAACCAUAAUUAUGCAUGUUGGUGGUUUUUUUCCCCCACUACGAACUAUUUGAGAAAAUAUAGUAGUUUUUUGUUAAAUGUCCAUUGAAUGAAUUACUUUGGUUUGCAACUGGGUAGGUCUCUAAAAUUUCCAAUUUUAUUUCAUAGGAUUAUAAGGCAAAUUUUUGCUCAGAGGAUUAUAAAAAUCAAGGAGCUUAGUAUUUGAUAACUGAGACAAUGAUAAUUAAAAAUCUUUCUUUAGGGUGGAAUAAGCUUCAUAAAUUCUACUUCCAUGGAAAAACUAUAAAGAACCUUUUUCUAUAAGGGAAUUGAGUUGAUUUUAGAUUUGAUAACUUUUAACAAUUAGAAAUACAAUCACAAUACUUGCCAUAUUGAAUAUUCUAGUGAAUCUGGCACUCAGCUAAAUACUUUACUGUCCUCACAACUCUGUGAAGAUUUUGAUGUUCAAAGAUACCAAGUAAAUUCCCCAAAGCAGCAGAGCUCGUAAGUUACUGAAUUGGACUUUAUGUGAUUAUCUCCCAGCCUUUCCCUGUUUACCAGGCAACAGUGACAGUGACCAGCUAAAGUGAAAUAUUGACCAAGAAACGAUGAUUUUGGAUUUCUGUCUACAAUACUUUCUUUUAUUACUUGCUAAAAUAUAUUUAAAUCCUCAUUCAAUUAGAAACCAAAUCUUCUUUGUUUUUUAAUGAGGAACAAUUAAAGAGACUUGGAAAUUACUUAGCUCUGAGACUUGAGUAAGGGAGGUUUACAAACUAGCUCAAUCCCUUGAGUUACUGAAAGAGAUGAAGCGCAUUCCAGUGAAAGAGGUUUGGGCUGGAAACAGGCACACCUUUCUGACGUCCUUAAUUAAAUGAAGGAAAAGUAUGAAUUCUUCUGCCUCUGAGCCUAGAUGAAUGGGUUUUUAAAAGGCUGUAAUGGUUUGCACAAACUCCCUUCCUUCUGUCUGGUAGGGACAGACAGUCAACCCUUCAAAGAUUUUGGGAUUAUAAAAGCCAAGUAGAUUUCCUCAAUUGUUGAAGCUUUUACACCUCUCAUGAAAAUAAUGUAAUGAUAAAUAUCUCUAUAUCUUUAAAGAAGCUGUGCUUUUAAAUAUAAAUAGAAAGCCCUUUCGGCUUACAGUGUACAUUUCCCCUUUUUCUUCAGAUCUGAAUGCUAUUCAGAUCUGAAUCUCCAACUAUAUAAUCAAAGUGAGAUUUAUUUUCCUGAGACUAUCUCUAAUCCUACAAAUGGUUUUGUACUAAUGAUCGAAAAUCAAACAAGGCUUUUGUAGUCUUCAGAGGAUUUAUUCUACCAAAUACAUAGCUGGUCAGAUUAACAAAGUAUAGGAGUGCUUAGGUUUAGCAUGAAUCAUUUUGGGGGUGAUUAAUUUGAUCGUGACUAAAACAGAGUCACCAGCCCAUGAAAUCUUUGAAAUCCAAACUAAUUAGAUAGUUUAGGCAUCACAAAAAGUUUAUGAGCCCUGUUCGAUUAUUCUCCCUUUAGAAGUAGUUUACUUUCGGGGCGCCUGGGUGGCGCAGUCAGUUAAGCAUCCCACUUCAGCCAGGUCACGAUCUCGCGCGCCGUGAGUUCGAGCCCCGCGUCAGGCUCUGGGCUGAUAGCUCAGAGCCUGGAGCCUGUUUCCGAUUCUGUGUCUCCCUCUCUCUCUGCCCCUCCCCCGUUCAUGCUCUGUCUCUCUCUGUCCCAAAAAUAAAUAAACGUUGAAAAAAAAAAAAAAGAAGUAGUUUACUUUCUAACUUCAUUUAGAGUACAACUGAUUCAUUCUGUCUUCAGAUUUUUAGACCUUAAUCCUACUUCCAGAGCGGAGGUUAGACUGAUUAAAUAUCUCUGACUUAAGAGUGCUUAAAGUUCCAUCAGAGAUCUCCUUUCAGGUGAGAAACACCCAUGAUAGUUUAUUGGCACAAAUUCCCAUAAGAACUUUGAUUUACAGUGCUUGGUCACAGUCCUUGGCUCUUAGUUGUAAUGUAGUGCUGAGCUCAGAAACUACUUUCUACCAAAAAUGCGAUUUACUAGCUCUCAUUUUGAAAACAGGGCCCCACGGUUGGUUAUUCUGCACAAAAUAUAAUGACUUUUAAUGACAAUAUUAAUGAUAACUUACAUUAGUUAAGAAUCUUUAAAAAUAGAAUUCAAACCAUGUGCCAUUUAUGUCUCACUUGGUUGUAGUCCAAUCUGGCAGAAAAUAUAUGUUUUUAAUAAAAAUAUUUUAUUGGAGAAUGUUCUGACACAACUUUAUUCAAAUUAAUAAAUCUAAAAAAAACCCCAUCAAUACACUCCUGCUGGCUAAGGUGUCAAAAAGCAAUUUAUGGUUACAGUUCUUUUUAAUGGAGAUUUAAUAUAUUUUUAUUAAAAUACAUUUUGUAUUGCAGAGAAAAAACCCUACUCUUUGUGGCUGCUAGAAGGAGUGAAUCAAGAUGAUACAUUUGACAAAUAACUACUCAUCAAUUUAAAAAAAAAUCAAUUUUAGUAAACUUCUAAGCUAUUUAAACUCGAAAUAACCUUUCAUCCAAAUUUUAAUGCAGUCUGAGUAUUGCUCUAUUUCAAAGUUGCAGCAUUAUUCACCUAAUACCAGUUAUCUUUCUUGAUUUUCCAAGGGCUCUGAGUAGUUUUUUUCAUUUUUUGAGUAAAUUUCAAUAUUUUAAAUAGCCUAUUGAAAGUUGUGUUUGCCUACUGUAAGUUCUCACAGAGUAACUAAGAUGUUAACCUUAUUUGAUUUUGGCUGGAAAAAUACCUGCUCAUUACACUAACACGGAUCAUAUGCUCAGAUCUUUGAUGGUAACAAAUUUAACUGAAAUGCAGGAAAAAAACUAAUGUAUUUGUUAUUUAAAAUAUUCAAAUAGUUUAAGCCAUUUCUCUAGAGCAUGUUGCUGAGUAUUAAAAUCGUAUUAUUUGUAUGAUUCAUUUAUUCAUUUCAUUCCAUUCAGUUGUUAGUUUACCCUUUCAAUUCAUCCUAAAAUCUUUAUUGAUUACAUUUCAUUGGCUGUAACCUGGGGCUGCAAUGAUAAAUACCAUAUUUUUCUGACUGUGAUGGAGACAAAUGGUUGAGCUGGGUAUAGAUACUGUUGAAAAGUAAUUAUGCAAUUAUAUGCUUAGAGUAUGUCAGAAAUGAUAUGGUGCCUGAGGAGGAAAUGACAGACUUUUCCUGGUAUGAAGUCCAAAAAUACAUCAAAAGAGAAUUUGAUUAGGAUCUUUAGGAUGCAUAGGAGUUUUCUAAGUGAGCUGGGAGUGAAGGAAGGACAAUCUAGGUGGAGUUAGUAACAUGAAGUUAGAAGGUGACCACAAGGUCAAAGGACUCCAGUGGUUUUUUGUGAUUGAAGGACAGCAUGCAAGUGAGGAGUAGGUGGAAGGCAUGGCUGGAAAGGGGAGGAAGGGCUAGAUCAAGCUUCUCUCCUGAGGAGUUUGUUCUUAGUCCUUGUCCUUAAUUUCAGACUUUUUUCUUCUCCAUAAUUAUCAUUAUAAUUAGAAGCCAUGUGUGACAUGAAGUUUAAAAUUAAGACCCCAUCUUAUGUGCCGUCUUGACAUAUAGUGAAAGAGGGGCCUCAAGUAGCCUAACUGCAAGUUCCCCUCCCACUUUCCACCCACAGAUAAGGUCCCCUAACCCUCCUUAUCAAGCUGACCAGGUGAAGUUCCUGCUGAUUCAGACAAGCCAGUCACAGCCUUCUGCAAACCAGGGGACAUGUAUGUCACCCUCUUAUACUACGAAGCCUGCUUCCCCCUGGUUAUAUACUUUGUUCCUGAGCACAACCCUCAUGUGGCUGAGCGUGCUGUGCAGCAUUCCCUUCCCCUGGGCUGUGAGUACAUGUGACUAAUAAACUGUUGUUGAUUCCAUCUGCCCAGUGGUAGAGGUCAGGUAUUUGGCCAUCCCUAUAACAGUAAGGUUGGGACCCUUCCUCCUUACUCACUGACAGGGUAAAUAGAUGAUUGUAACGCUGUGUCAGGGAAAAAUUAAACUAUCUGAACACCAGCUAGGAGUUAUCUUUACAAAAUUUUCUGUUCCUGCUAUUCAUUGCUCAUGACUAGUAAGUUUAGGGGACAAAGGAGGAAAGCAAAAUAGAAAUUCUUAUGAUAAGAAAGAGGAAAUCUCACAUGUUUCUAUUAAGUUAUCAUAGACAAUGUUUUAUAUUUUGUUAUUUAAUGCAGAAUAGUAAAUUUUGCAAAAAAAAAGUUCCAGACAAUAUUUUGCUUUGUGAGUUAUUGAAAUAAGAAGAUGAUAAAUUCUUAUUUUUAGAGGUAACUUUUCUGAAUUCUUAGGAGGUAUAUUCUAGGCCAAAAAGACAACUAGCAUGUGGACAUGGUUCUUGUUGGUGAAGGUUAAUAGUUCUGGGUCUGUUAUAUCACUGGCUCUGUUAGAAGAGGAAAAAUUGAUUCUGCUGAGCCUUAGAUUCCAUGGUUCCACAGCUGAUGUGACACUUUCUGGUCAGGAAAUGGAUAUAUCGACUGAUAGUGAAAAAGUGAGGAACAGAAGUAAAUCUAAAGAAGAGGACAGGGCAGCCUAUAAUUUUCAGUUGAAUACAACAUUUUUAUGUGGUUCAUCCCAAAUAUAACGCUGAAUUCACAAAAAUUAGGGGAAAUCCUCAUGGGUCGAAUACCAAAAGCAAGCUGAAAUUCAGAAUGUUUGGUUAUUCUGCCGGUAUCAUGCUCACUAACUGCAGGGAUUGCGUUUUACUAUGAACUCAGUGAAGGGAGAGAAAGAUUUGGAGCUGAGUGAUAUGAGGACUGGAAUUGCCUCCUUGUCAUAAAGCCAGGAUCUUUGAAGGGUUACCCUCUAAAUUACAAGAUGGAUAAGAAGAAAAUUGCAAAGGGAAAUGACAAGUAAAUAUUCUUAUAUCAUCUGGACUCAGUGUAGGAAAAAGGAAUCUUUAACCCCAAGCCUACCCCGAAGUGGGUUUGAGAUUUGAAUUUACAUAAUCUCUGCUAAUAAGGAAAAUUGGUGCUGAAAAAUUAAAAUUAGUUUAUCUCAUGAUGCUUAUAGAAAUUGAAGAGUAGCUUGAAUUGGACCAACUCUUGUGGAUAACAAUGAUAAACUGUGGGCAAAAUACAAAAAAUAAAAUUGUUCAAAAGUACUGGACCAAGUGAUCAGUAGAAACUGCAGUAGAGUCCAUGCUUGUAAAGACAUAAUGGAAUUGAAUGUUUUUUGAGAUUUUAUGAGUUUGGCACCUAAGGGAAGCUCUACCAUGGAGCAACUAAAACUCAGCAAGAAACCAGCAGACUUACUGAAUGAGGAAACAGAGAAGACAACAUAAGGUUACACAGGAGCUAAAAAGUGAGGGGAGAAGCCAGGAAAAGAAUGAGUCACAGAAAAGAAGCCCCAUAUGUUGCAUAUAAACUCUGCCCAUACCCGUGGAUGACCACUGAGUUACACAUGUGCCCGUUAAGCCCAGCUAAGUCGAGGUAAGGAUAAAUUACCUGAAUGGAGAUUCUAGCUGCUGCCCACCAGCAGGAAGGCAGAAUUUGGAGCCAAAUUAACCAUCUGCUAAAACUAAGCAACAGUGACAAAAAGACUCUUCAGGGGACCAUAAUAGAAUUUGGAGUCUUUAUAACAUGUCAUUCAAGAUAGCUAGGCUACAAACAUUUCUAAUCUCUGGACAUACAAAGGAACAGGAUAAUGUAAACUAUACUCACAGAGAAAGUAUAAGUCACAAAGAUUGACCCAAAGAUCUUCCAGGCGUUGCAGUUAGCUAGCAAGGAUUUUAAAGCUAUUCUCAAGGGUAUAAAGGAAAAUAUGUUAAUAAUGAAUUAUAUAGGACUUUCCAAAACUAGAAACUAUAAAAUAUACUCAAAUGGAAAUUCUAGGAUUGAAAGCUGAAAUAUUGAUGAGGCAACUGGGUGGCUCAGUUGUUUAAACGUCCAGCUAGCUCUUGGUUUUGGUUCAGGUCACGAUCUCACAGUUCGUGAGUUCAAGCCCUGAGUCGGGUUCUGUACUGGCAGUGUGGAGCCUGAUUGAGAUUCUCUCUCUCUCUCUCUCUCUCUCUCUGCUCCUCUCCUGCUUGCUCUCUCUCUCUCUCUCUCUCAAAAUAAAUAAAUAAACAGAAAAAAAGAAAAAAAGAAAAAGGAAAUAUUGGAAAUAGAAAAUUCCCUGGAUUGGUUUAAGAUAAAACUGGAGAAGCAGAUGUGUUGGUGAACCUGAAGAUAAAUUGCUAGAAAUGAUCUGAUCUGAAUAAAAAGGGAACACAAUUAAGUAAAUGAAAAGAGUUCCAAUGACCUGUAGCAUGGUAUCAAAAUGUAAUUAGAGUCUCAGAGGGAGAUGAGAGAGAGAAUGGAGCAGAGAAAAUAUUUGAAUAACUAAUAAUCAAAAUCUCUCCAAAUCUAGUAAAAGAUAUAAAUGUAUAGUUUUAAGAAGCUCAGAUAGUCUCCAAAGUGUUUGAUUCAAAGAAAACCAUGACUGAACAUAUCACAAUUCAACUUCUACAAAUUAAAUAUAAAGAGGAGAUCUUGGAAGCAAUUAGGGGAAAAUAAUGCAUUACAUACAGAGGAAGAACAAUACGAUGAUGGCUAACUUCUCCUAAGAAACAGUGGAGGCCAGAAGACAACAGAAUGACACCUUUAAAUGCUGAGAGAGAAAAAGAAAACUAAAUUGUGUAGCCAGGGAAAAUUCCUUCAAGAAUGAAGACAAAAUGAAGACAUUUUCAACUAAAAGAAAACUAAGAAAAUUUAUUAAUAAAUUUUAUAAAUUAAAUAAAUUUUAUAAACUUUAUAAGUAAAAUUUAUUAAUAAAUCAUACAGAUUUGUAUGACAAAGUAUGCUGAAGGAAGUUUGCCAAGCUGAAGACAAAUAAUGUUGAAUAGAAACUCAGAACUGCAGGAAGGAAUGCAGAACAUGGGAAAUAAUAAAUAUGUGGGUAACCACAAUUUUCAAAAAUUCCUUUGAAAUACCUAUAACUAUUUAAAGCAAAAAUUUUAACAUGAUGAUAUGUUUGUAGCGUAAUUAAAUGUAUUUAAGGCAAUUGGAACAUAAAAACCAGGGUAGGGGGUGAAGACUACACGUAUUCUUGUAUAGUAUGUGAAUUAAAUCUAGAUUUUGUAUUGCUUGGUUUAGACCUUAGGAUGAAUGGAAAACUUUCCAAGACUAAUUUGUAAAAACCAGCCUAUAAUAUUUGUAUUAGUUUUAAUGUAAGCCAUACUCACUGCCACAGUGGACAGACCCUGAUAUUUCAGUGGCUUAGCACAAUCAUUGCUUAUUUCCUUCCCAUGUCACAGUUUGGUAGAGUUCAUUUUGGCUCUCUCACAUAAGCCUCAGUAAUUGAGUGAUUCGGGGAUGUAACCUGCUUCCAUCUUGCAUCUUAGUUAUCUGAAGGUGAAAAGAGAGAAGCCAUAUCUGUUUCUAGCCGCCUUGUGCCAGAGGUAAGUAGGUAGAUGCAACCUUAACAGAGGUUAUAUAUGACUUCUACUCACAUUUAUUUAGCAAGGAUUAGUUACAAGCUCAUACCUAAACUCUUGAGACCAAGGAAAUGUAUUUCUGUGUUCGAAAAAAAUCAAAGUACUUGGUGAACACCUAACAGUGUCUGCCACAAUGUCCAAAUUGGUGGAGGGAAAAAUGAGUAAGUAAAAACCCCAAAAAUUUAAUCAGUUAAAACAUUCAAAAAUUGAAUAAAAAUGAAAUAGAAAAAGUGAAACAAAAAUAAAACAGAUAUGUUGGAAACAUUUAAAUGUGUAAAUAAUUGUAAUAAAAGAAACGUUAACCUCUUUAAUUAAAAAACAAUGUAGAUGAGACUGAAUCAAAAAAUGAAUUCUAGACAUCUGCUUUUUAUAAACCACUGAUUUUUAAUGUUCGAGUGCAGGAUGUUGAAAAUAAAGAGGCAAAAACUGAUAAACUAAUAAAAUGCUAAUUAAAGCAUUUGGUUGUAUCAGGCAAAAUAGAUAUUAAGACAUCAAGCAUUACUGGGGAGAUAGAGGGUCACUUCGUAAUGGUAAAUAUUUAAUUCAUGAAGGAAGAAUACUUCUAAUUAUGAAUGUAGCUAAUAAAAUGGCUUCAAACUAUGUUGAGCAAAAAUUGCUGGUAUCACGGAGAAAUUAACGGACCCAUUAUAAUUCCCUGAGAUUUGAUGAUGACAUCUUUAGUUACUGAUAGAAUAAGUAUGUAGAAAACCCAGUAAAACUAGAGAUAAUUUGAACAGAACAAUGAAUAAUUUCAAUCACACACACACACACACACACACACACAGAAUCCCACAGACAACCUCUGGAAAAUAGAUACUUUCUUAAAUAUAAAUGAAAUAUUUACAAACACUAUGUCUUACGCCAUAAAUCCCAAACUUCACAGCAACUUACUAUUAUGAACAAGUUCCUUGGCCAUAACAUAACUAAAUUAGUAGGUAAUUCUGAAAUUGGAAAAAAUCCUCAUAUUUUUAAAAAUUAAAAGGGAAAACUACUUUUAAAUAACCCAUGAAUCUAAGCAAUCUUAACAGUAAUAUUUAAAGAUGUAUUGAGAAUGAAUGGCAAUGAUCACACUACAUAUUUUAACUUGUGAUAUGAAACAAAAGGAAUACAAUGAGGAAAAUCAGGAUAAACCCAAAAACGAUAGAAGGAAGGAAAUAGUAAAGAUGUGAACAGAUAUUACUGAAAUGGGAUAUGAGUAUGCCAAAGAAAUUCAAGGCUAAAACUUAGUCUAAGAGAGUAGGAAUUGAUCAUUCUCUGGAGAAAUUGAUUUUUUUUUAAAGUAGGUAGAUGCAAAUAAAUAUGAGAAAUGAUAAAGGUGUGGGGCCAAGAUGGUGACCUAGGAGACUUCUGAACUUCCCUCCUCCCACAGACACACCCAAUAUACAGCUAGCUAUACAUGGAGCACUUUCUCUGAGAGAAGUCCAGCGAUUCUGUGAGUGACUCCAACAUACUGGAUGAAUGACACUAUCAAAACAGGUAAAAAUAAAGAAAGAAAGAAAGAAAGAAGGCUGAAACACACUCUCCUUAAAAACUCUAAUCCUGGCAUAGCUCCACGCAAUUGGGAGAGAACCCCCACCUCCCCACUGUGGCAUGAAGGGUUUAGAACACAUAUCUAACACCCCUACUUUUAAGACUCUCGCCCAAGGGAGUGAGUGACUUAUUAGAUUAGGAAGGAGUUUCUGAAAGGAAACACCAACCACAAAGGAAAAUGAUGAAAACUUGACCACACUGCAAUGAAAACUUACAUGUGUUGACAAAAGACAUCAUGACAAUCAUGAAAAGGGGAGCCAAGACUUUGAAGAUGUUUCCAUGAUAUCUAAUUGACAAAUAUUUUGCAGAUUAUAUCACAUUUUCCAACAAAUGAAUAAAAAUCAGAUCACCCAACAGAACAAUGAGCAAAUAUAUAAAAGAAAACAUGAAUAACCAGUAAAUAUAUAUGGCCUCUAAUAUUUUGUAAUGCUUUACUUCUCAUUCUCAAUGGAGUAGGUACACUAUACAGAGGGCCAUCUUAUUUUCUCCAUUUAUAUAUCUGAAGUACAUCACAAUAAAUAAAAAAGUAUGUUUCAAAAGAGGUUUGAGUGUCAUUUGAGUCCAAAUCUGGUGAAUAAGGUAAACAAGACUUUUUGGAUAUAAAUGAUUAAAAAUGAGGCAGGUUUGGGGCAUCUGGGUGACUCAGUUGGUUGAGCAUCCAACUUCAGCUCAGGUCAUGAUCUCACAGUUUGUGAGUUCAAGUCCCGCGUCGGGCUCUGUGCUGACAGCUCAGAGCCUGGAGCCUCCUUUGGAUCCUGUGUCUCCCUCUCUCUCUGCCCCUCCUCUGCUCAUGCUCUGUCUUCCUUUCAAAAAUAAACAUUUAAAAUUUUUUAGAAAUGAGGCAGGUUUUUUUUUUCUUGUGUGUGCAUGUUUUUUGUAAACUGGCUCUGAAGCAUUUCCUCAGACAGUUUUUAUAACAUAAUAAGAAACGGCUACAUCAUUGUUUCUGUGUGUGGCUUCCCAAGGUGACUUCUUUGAAGGGGACAAGGCUCAUUUGGAUAUACAAGAUGUCCAAGUUCAAGUUUGUAUGUUUAAAAUCUCAGCCACCUUUCUUUAUUUCAGAAACUUAUAUUGGAGAUAUUAAUUACGUUGGAGAAACUAGACAAAUAUGGAAAAUGCUUCCAUGCCAAAUAAUAGCUCAUCAAAUGAUUCAAACAUAUUUUUUUUCUUUUUUGAGAUGUUGAGAACUACAGGGCUUUCUUUGAAGAUACUUUUCUACUACUUCUGUAUUUGACUAAAAGCCUCACAUGAGAACUAUUUCAUUUAUCACUAGGCACUCGAUGAGCCAGCCAAGACUGAAAGUGUCUUCAAGGACAACACAUUAGACCCGCCUCUGGAGGUAAUGACUUCAGACUACCCAUGCUUUUGAAACAAAGAUCCCGAAACUCAUUGCUAACUCAGUACUGGUUUCAAUUCUUCCAGUUUUGUUUCCCUGCACAGCUCAGACAGCAAACUGAAGAGCUCUGUGCUACCAUUGAUAAGGUCUUACAGGAUUCCUUGUCUAUGGUAAUGCCUUAGACUAGAAUGUGCAAUUCAAACAUUUGCUUUGCUUCUCUUCAUUUUCCUCUUUUUGAAUAAGCUGUAUCAUAGGCUUGUCCUUUUUUUUUUUUUUUCCAGAAUUCUUCUGAUUCUCCUUCAAGUUCCUCACAGACAUUGUUGGUUUCUGACACAAUGAAA
rnacentral:lncRNA from 1 species